AAUUCACGGGGAGAUGCCAAAUCUAACCGAGUUUACUCAACUUUCGUUUCUUUCCGUGGAUUCGAAUAAUAUGUCUGGUCCAUUACCCCUCAUAUCAUCCAAUCUCGUUUACCUUGGCCUUUCAUAUAACUCAUUCCCCGGGUCAAUUUCUCAUUUCUUGUGUGACAAAAUCAACGAGACAAAGAGAUUAGAAGCUCUUAAGCUGAAUGAUAAUUAUUUACAAGGAGAAUUACCUGAUUGUUGGGUGAGUUAUCAAAAUUUGAAGAUACUUAAACUAAGCAACAACAAAUUCACUGGUAAUCUUCCAAACUCAUUUGGUAGUUUAGCUUCUCUUGUUUGGUUGGAUCUUGGUAAAAACAGACUGUCUGGGACAAUACCUGUUUCUCUUAAAAAUUGUACAGCAUUAGAGUCACUUGAUGUUGGUGAAAACGAGUUUGUUGGCAAUAUUCCAGCAUGGUUUGGAGAAAGAUUUUCAAGUAUGGUUGUUCUCAACCUUCGUUCCAAUAAGUUUCAUGGCCCUUUACCCACAAGAUUAUGUGAUCUAGCUAUUCUUCAAAUCUUAGACAUCGCGGACAACAAUCUCUCCGGAGCCAUACCAAAUUGCAUUAAUAAUCUCACUGGCAUGGUGACAGCGAACUCUUUUUCACGCAGUGCUUAGCAACAUCUACCUAUUCCUCUGGACGUGGAUGUGAUUCUUACGGAGAAGGCAUCAGUUGUGAGGAGAGGGGAAGUGGUUGAAUAUGAUGAGAUUCUCAAUUUUGUAACGGUGACAGCUGUUUCCUGGAAUGACUUACCGAAAAAAGUUCCUUUGGAAGUGAGAAAUCUUAAAGCAAUGCAGUCAUUAAAUUUUUCGCACAACACUUUCACAGGAAGAAUUCCUGAAAGUAUUGGUGUUAUGAGAUCAUUGGAGUCUGUUGAUUUUUCUGUAAACCAACUUUCGGGUGAAAUUCCACAGAGCAUGUCAAAUUUGAUGUCCUUGAAUUAUUUGAACUUGUCCAACAACAAGUUGACUAGGAAAAUUCCUUCAAGCACUCAACUCCAGAGCUUCGAUGCAUCUAGUUUCGCUGGCAAUGAUCUCUGUGGAGCUCCUCUUCCAAAGAAUUGUACUGAGAAUGUUUCAAAUUCAGAAGAUGAAAAUGGAGAUGAAGACGAAGAUGAAUUGGACCAUUGGUUUUAUGUAAGCAUUGCACUUGGCUUUGUGGUAGGAAUUUGGUGUUUUAUGGGCCCUUUGAUUUUCAAUAGAAGAUGGAGGUACAAAUAUUGUCGUUUCCUAAAUCGCCUUGAGGAGAGAGUUGUUGGUGUUGUAAGAAAACGUGGCUAGAUGUUCUCUGUUUUUGAGUUGUUCUGCUUCUUCAUGUACUGUGCUCACUGAAAGGAAUAGAAUAUUAUUUAAAAUAAACGAAUGGCCUUUGAUUUGUUUGUGCCUGUAAGGGAAAAUUAAUGUGAAAUUAUUUUGAAAUAAAGCGAUGAUAUUCAUAUUCAAAAUCAUAUAUAGGAGACCUUCCCAACUCAACAAAAUUAGUACUGAUAAAUCAAAAUUCAAAAAAUAUAUUUUAUGGACAGUUCACCAUGUAUAGGCUCAAUGAUUUUUAUACUAAAAAAGAUCAUAAAUCACAACAUUGGUAUCAAAAUGUUAAGAUCUUGAAAAAAUAAAUGGAAAAGCUUCUUAGAUUAACAAGCAGCACUGCAACAGGGCAGUGGGCUCAACUAUUCUCUAUUAUGCAAUCUUGACCCAUACUUCUCUCUUUUUUCACAUUUUAUCUAUGGAAUAUUUUCAAUGCAACAUUGAGUUUCACAACUAUUCAUGUGAAGACUAAUUGAAAAAAAAAAAUCCACCCUCCUCCUUAAAAGCAAAUAAAUAAAUAAAACUUAGUCUUGGUUUAUUUCAUUAAAUAAAGUUAGUCAAUAACAUGUCAUGAGAUAUAUGGGUAGUUGUCCAUUUACUAUAACAAUCGAUUGGGUUAAAGUCGUCAAAUCUGAAUAUCGUUAUCCACCAACUUAAAAGUCGUUUGCGUGGAAAGGAGGUGAAUCCUAAUCCAAUUAACAGUAGGAUAAUGUUGAAUUGGAUUAUGCGGAAGAAUUAUAAGGUCACAAGUUAAGUUCAUUAAUUUGAAAGAGAGAAAUGGCCUUAUAAAUAGCAAGGUUGUUGGUAACACAAAUUCAAAUAGACAUUGAUUCUGAUUAAACCAAAGAUGAGUGUUGUUCUCGUUUUUGCCUUGUUUCUCUUUGAAUUACUUGUCAUUAGCAUUAGCUUCUGCAAUGGAAGCUCUGAUCAUAUGGGUUACCUUGAAAGUGAGAGAGGCACUCUUAAGAUUCAAGCAAGAUCUCCAAGACCCUUCCAAUCGGCUUGCUUCUUGGAAUAUUGGUGGAGACUGUUGUACAUGGGCCGGCAUUGUCUGUGAUAACGUGACAGGCCAUAUCAUUGAGCUUAAUCUUCGAAAUCCUUUCACUUACUACCAUCGGUCUCAGUAUAAAGCUAAUCCAAGGUCAAUGUUGGUUGGUAAGGUAAAUCCUUCUUUGCUUGAUUUAAAUCAUUUGAGUUAUUUGGACUUGAGCGUUAAUGAUUUCCAAGGGGUUCAAAUUCCUAGAUUUAUUGGUUCUAUGCGGAAUCUAAGGUAUCUCAAUCUCUCUGAUACUCAAUUUGUAGGAAUGAUACCUCCCCCGCUUGGAAAUCUCUCCAAUCUAAAGAGUCUUGACCUUAGUUUGAAUUAUUUAUACGUUGAGAAUUUUUUGUGGCUCUCUGGCCUUUCAUUUCUGGAACAACUCGAUUUGUGUUAUGUGAAUCUCAGCAAAGCCUCUGACUGGCUGCUUGUAGCAAACACACUCCCUUCGUUGGUAGAAUUGAGAUUGUCAAAUUGCCAACUCCAUCACUUACCUCCGUUAGCCAUCUCAAAAUUUUCAUCUCUCACCAUCCUCGACCUUUCCUUCAACCAAUUCGAUAACUCGUUAAUUCCUGGUUGGGUUUCUAGUCUCAGUCAUCUAGUCUUUCUUAGUUUCUAAUAAUUUUCAGGGUCCAAUCCCCAGCUGGUUGUAUAGACUUACCCAUCUUGAACACUUAGUAUUGCAGACCGCCCAAGUCGCUAGCCCAAUUGCCCACAAUUUUGGGCUAGAGAGAUAAGGCCAAGAGUGCUAGCUUAGCCUGAUUCCGGAAAUUUCUAAGCAACUCUAGCACAUUUGAGCUUGUAUAUAUCUAGAAUUUUCUACACAACUCUAGCACAUAUAAAUAUCCAGAAUUCUAGGCAAGUGGUAGAAUUCUCUAGAAUUGUAGAGUAUGGCAAGCCUCCCCUAUAAAUAGGGCAUGGCAUUUGGCAUUUGAGCAAUAAGCUUAAAGUAAGCAACUCAAGCAUUCUUGUAAGCUCUCUUGUAAGCACUCUUUGAGUAAUACAAUUUCUCUUGUUCGGCUCCAUUGCUCGCUUCUCUCUAUCUCUUCGAAAACCUCUAAGCUUAACUAGUCGAGAAGUUCAAGACUUACUUAGCAACAUUCGGCAAAAGUUGUCUAAGUGCCACAUGGGUUCGUUGCGCAAAACACUCAACCCGUGACAAGUGGUAUCAGAGCUAAGGUUUGCACCCACGCAAGUUAGCUCACGAGUAAUGGCGAACCCUCCAAAUCCAGUGCAAGAGGGCGUUGUUGGUGUGGAAGCCCAACCGGAUCCAAGCCACAAUCGUGAAGAAUGACGCACCCAAGGCAAGAGUGGACGGUCUUGAGGGAGAAUAUGCCGAAUUCACAGUGGCAACAAAGGCCCUCAUCCAAGACCAAGCAAACACUCUCCGAGGUUAGUUUCGAUCCUUCCAUGAUGAAUUGCUAAAACUUUGCAGCUUUAUUCAAGAUGAAGUACGCGCUGUCCGUGCGGAAGUGGAGGAAGUCUGCUCGAACUGGGCAUGGCACAAGCGUACACUCUUCGCUAGUCCAACUUCGGCAAGUACGAGUGAUGCGCGAUGCAUUGACGUGCUAAAGCCCGACACCUACAAUGGCAUACGCAAUGCCACUAUUGUUGACAAUUUCCUCUUCGGGCUAGAUCAAUACUUAGAUGCCAUGGGUGCGAGAGACGAGGCAUCGAAAGUGGGCACAACACCUACUUAUCUUCGAGGCGCUGCACAACUAUGGUGGCGUCGAAAGCAUGGCAAGAUGGGUAAAGGCAUUUGCACUAUUGAGACUUGGGCUAACUGAUAACUCUAUGAAAUGAGAGUUAUCGUGGCACUUUUAGACUUAAAUCAAUACUACUUAGAGAGUAAAUUAUGUGUUUCUAUUGCAUUUUUGUUACAUUUUGCAUAAACAAUCAUUUUAGUCAAUCUUAAUAAGUUUUGCUCGAUUUAAAGUAAUUUGUGCUUAAAUUGUGUGCAUAAUUGUAGGUUUCCAGAAGCUUAUAAUUCAUGGAAGGAAUGCUAUGCAAUAGGCUUGCAAAAAUAAGGAAAGAACAUGGCUACAAAAGAGUUUAAACAAAUCUGGAACAGUGCAGUUGCUGUAGAUAUUGCUGUAGCAACCAUUGCUGUAGUCGUUGCUGUAGCAAUCCUGGAACAACGACAGAGAAAAUUCUGUGCGAGAUAAUUGCAGAAUCGCGAUCUGUAGUUUCCUAAUCUGACUUAUAUGCGCCCUAGGCUUCCGUUUACCCUAAUUUUCAGUUAUAAAAGAAGCACACAUCAUAAGGAAUAGAGGGAGCCGUCACUCAAGGAGAAAACACAAAGAAACAAAAGAAAAACAAGAUUCAAGAGAGAGAUUGAAGGCUACACAAGAGGAAAAAUUGCAGAGAUCAAUUGGGAGCUCAAUCAUUCUUAUCCUUCUCUUGUUUUCGUGUUUUCUAUUUAUUCAUGGGGAUGUGUUUCAUGACUGAAACUUUGUUCUUUAUUUUUCUUUGCAAACCAUGAACUAAAUUUAUUUGUGGUUGAGUGAAAAACAAUCUUGAUGGUUUAUUGACUGAAUAUAUGUGUUGCUACAUGUUUGCUGUAGCAGUUUGUUUUGAUAGUAUUUAUUUUUAUUCAUUAUUUCGGUUGAUCACCCAUUUAAUGAUACAAGUUAGGAGAGAGCCGUAAAAGGGCCUAUCUUAGUGGAACAUAUCAGAGCAAUACUUGGUUUUAGAUUGAGUUUCCUGGAUUGAGUUUAACUUAUUCCAAAAGAGCAAUGCUUAAUCUAAAAUUAGUAAUGAACUAGACAUAGGGAUUCACCUUGUAGGGUAAAUAGAACCUAAGCGUGUAAUGUUAUAUCUUAUAUUGGCAUAACAACUGAUCACUGUUAGGUUACAUAUAGAUAUAAGAUAUCCAACAUGCGACGGCUGAGGAUACAUAAGGAUUCUGCCCAGUGCUGUAGCAAAUACUGCAGCAACCGACCCAACCAUUAGAAAAUAGUCAAGACCAUUAGGAGAGUUUAUUCACUCAACUACUAUAUAUUCCCAUUAAUUUUAUCCUUGAGCUUGACGUGAUAGUUUGCUUUGUUGCAUUUAUUUAUUUCGUUUUUAUUUUAAUUAGUACAUUAGUUUCAUUAAUUGUUUAUUUUAUUUUAGCACAAAAUCUGCACUGUUAAGAUUGCUGUAGCAAAUCUGAUAACAUCAAUCCCUGUGGAGACGAUCUUGAAUACUCAUCACUUUAUUACUUGUUGUGUACACUUGCACAUUGACACCAAUAGCAUUAGUAUUUAUACACCAACAAGUUUUUGGCGACGUUGCAGGGGAUUGAUUGUUCAUUGUGAUUUGUGAAAUUAGUUUUAACGGUGCUAAUUUUUUAUUUUAUUUUAAUUUGUUUAUUUUGUUGACAUAGGUGAUCUAGCAACCCUUGCAUGCGCAAAUAUAAAUCUGUUGACUUCUAGUUUGAUCCAGAAAUUGAAAGAACUGCAAGGAGAUUGAGAAGAGAGCAUCGGGAAUUACAAGCUGCUGUAGCAAUGGAUGAUUUGCAAGAUUUGAGAAACUUGAACCAUAGAGAGGGGAUACAACCAGUCAAUGUACAUGAAGGUCUGAAUGGACAAUGUGUUCAAAGGAAACCAGGGAACAACAACAUUAUUCACAUGGCGAACGAUAGAGAUAAAGCCAUUCGAGACUACGCAGUGUUGACUCCUCAAGCCAUACAUCCGGGAAUAGUUAGACCCGAUGUUCAAGCUAACAAUUUUGAGCUCAAACCAGUGAUGUUUCAGAUGCUACAAACAGUGGGACAAUUUAAUGGACUGCCAUCAAAAGAUCUUCAUCCACAUCUUAAGCUAUUUUUGGAAGUGAGUGAUGCUUUCAAGAUUGCUGGAGCAUCGCAGGAAGCAUUGAGACUCAGACUUUUCUCGUUUUCUUUGAGAGAUCGAGCAAGAGCAUGGUUGAAUUCUCUACCACCAGAUUCUAUCACUACAUGGAGUGACUUGGCUGACAAAUUUUUGUUGAAAUACUUCCCGCCAACCAAGAAUGCAAAGUUGAGGAACGAGAUCACAUCUUUCCAUCAACUUGAAGAUGAGAGCUUGUGUGAUGCAUGGGAGAGAUUUAAGGAGUUACUCAGGAGAUGUCCUCAUCAUGGUAUUCCUUGCUGCAUACAGUUGGAAACUUUAUAUAAUGGUCUCAACCAAAGCACUAGAUUGAUAGUGGACGCUUCAGCAAAUGGGGCCUUGUUAUUUAAGUCUUACAAUGAGGCUUAUGAAAUUUUGGAGAGGAUAGCCAACAAUAACUAUCAGUGGCCAUCAACCAGACAAGCUGCAACAAGAGGAACAGCAGGAGUUCAUAACGUAGAUGCCUUGACAGCAUUGUCAGCCCAAGUAACUUCAUUAACAAAGAUGGUAAAGGCUAUGACUACUGCUCCAGCAACUGUUAACCAAAUAUCUGAUAUGUCUUGCGUUUAUUGUGGAGAAGGGCAUUUAUUUGACAAUUGUCCUGGUAAUCCAGCUUCGGUUAACUAUAUGGGCAGCUUCAAUAGACAGAACUAGGACAAUCCAUAUUCAAACACUCACAACCCUAGAUGAAGACAGCCAAACUUUUCAUAGAGUUAUCAGAACCAGACUGCUGCAGCACCUAGUGGACAGAACAGACCUGCUCAACCACCUGGAUUUUAUCAACAAAAUCAAGAGCAAAUAAGCAUAAACAAUGAUCAACUCAGCUCCCUUGAAGGUUUGAUUAAGGAUUAUAUUGUGAGGAAUGAAGCAGUUGUCCAAAGUCAUACUGUAUCGUUGAGAAACUUAGAAAAUCAAAUUGGACAGCUUGCUGCAGCAUUAAGUAACAGACCUCAAGGUAGUUUACCCAGUAACACAGAGAACCCAAGAAGAGAAGGGAAAGAGCACUGCAAAGUGAUAGACUUGAGAUCUGGAAAGGAGGUUGAUAGUUCAGUUGGUAUACCGAACAGAAGAAUUGAGUCCAAUCAAGGCCAAGAAGACACUCAAGUAGAGAAGAAGUCACAGUCUUCCACUUUUCAGAAUGCAAAUCAAUACAGUUCUGCUAUAGCAUCUGCAGAAAGUUAUAAUCCAGCACCUGGUGGUGAGGAAGCUACAACACCAACAGCAACAGACCUGAGUAGAGCAAAAGAGAAGCAACCUGCACAACCUGCUGCAGCACAACAAUUUAGACACCCACCACCCUUCUCUCAAAGAUUUCAGAAGCAACAACAAGACAAGCAGUUCAACAAAAUCUUAGGAGUACUGAAACAGCUGCAUAUCAAUAUCCAUUUUAUGGAAGUUCUAGAGCAAAUGCUAAACUAUGCGAAAUUUUUGAAGGAUAUUUUGACAAAGAAAAGAAGACUUAGAGAGUUUGAAACAGUUGCUUUAACACAAGAGAGCAGCCGAAUGCUUCAGAGUAAGAUACCACAGAAGAUGAAGGAUCCGUGAAGCUUCACAAUCCCAUGCUCCAUAGGCACUAAAUACAGUGGCAAAGCACUUUGUGAUUUGGGACUAGCAUCAAUCUCAUGCCUUUAUCAAUGUUUAAACAAUUGGGAGUUGGUGAAUGUAGACCAACAACAGUGUCUUUACAACUUGCUGACAGAUCUCAUGCAUAUCCAGAAGGGGAGAUUAAAGAUGUGUUGGUGAAGGUGGAUAAAUUUAUUUUUCCAGUGGAUUUUAUUGUGCUAGACUUUGAGGCAGACAAAGAAGUGCCAAUCAUUCUAGGACGACCUUUCUUAGCCACGGGAAAAACUCUAAUUGAUGUUAAAAAAGGAGAAUUAACCAUGAGGGUGAAUGACCAGCAAGUUACAUUCAAUGUGCUGGAUGUCAUGAAAAGUCCUGAUGAGAUUGAAGAUUGUAAUUUUAUCAAUGUUGUGGACUUUAUUAUAGUAGAAAGAUUACACAGUUGCUGCAGUAAGGAAGAAAUCAAUGUUGUAACAUUUGAAGAACUUGAUAAUGAAGAUCGUGGAGCAGCUAACAUAGCAUUGUCAGGGGAGAAGCGACCUUUCAGAAUGGACGAGCAAAUCCAGCAAAGGGAACUCACUCCAGACCAACAUGAAUUCAAGGUUAAUGGGCCAAGAGUGAAGCACUAUAUGGGAGAUGAUGUGAACAACCUAAGGAAGGAUCUGUUCUUGAAGGAUCCAGGUUGAAGAAACAAGAAAGGUCAGGCUGAAAGACCUAAAAUCAAGCGCUAAUUGGGAGGCAACCCAAUAAGGGAAGUUGUUUCAAGUUUUUAUGGCAUUGAAUUUAGCUUUUAAAUUAUUUAAUUUGUCUUUUUGUUAUUUUAAGUGUGCAUCUAAUUUUUUUAUGUCUUUAUGUUACAUUGCAGCAAGUAAAAAAAAAAUGUGGGCAAAAAGAGCAGGAGGAAAUUGCUGCAGCAUCACUUACAGCAUGACAUAUAACAGAAGAUUCUCAAACAACAGAGGCACUUCUUGCUUUUGCAGCAGCAAAUGGAUUGAUCAGAUUUUAUGAGAAGGAGCGUUUAAGAAGUAUAUCAAAGAAGAAGUGACCCUUUUACAGCCUAUGCUGUAGCAGUGCUUCCAGCAACAGGGCAGUACCCCUAACCGCUAGUUUAUUUUACUUCUUGCUGCAAAACUUUUCUUUCAUUUAGUUUUAAUUUUCUAAUUUAUUUUGCAUGUCCUUUUAUUUAGUGUAUGCAUGUCUGGUUUAUGUGGUUUUGUUUUGUGUGCUUGUGAGGACACAACAUCACUUAAGUUUGGGGGGGUUGUGUUUCUGAGUGCAUGUGUUGAUGCUUGUGUUGUGUGAAGCUCUGUUAUCUAAUAUUUGUGUAUGGAUUUGAAAACAUAAUGAAGAUAAAUUGAGUGUUAUUCAGUAUUUAUGAAAAAGCCAAGUAGAGAUAGUUAUAGAUGGAGGUUGAACUUCUGUCCCGACAGUUAGACUUUGGUUGAGUUUUAUGAGAAUGUUGUAGCAGAGCCAGGAAAACCAAAAAAAAAAAGAGUAGAAAAUAUCUCAAGUUUGGGGGAAAAAUUUUUGUUGGACUGUGCCUGUUAUGAAAUAAAUUCUGCUCCAAUAGUUUAAGUUGCUGAGUAACCAGGGUUGAGUAUGCACCCCAUAUGCAAACUUGAGUCCAAAGGCAACACGAGCUACGAGCAGCGCUGCAGCAAUUAUAAAAAAAAGAGAAAAAAAUAAGAAGAAAAGCAAAAAAAAAAUGGUGAUAAAGAGGUCCGUUACCUAGGAUACUGAGUAACCUGGUAUGUUCAUGAGCCCCAUGUUCAGCCUUGAGUCAAAGGCGUCCAAAGGUAUGACUUACAUGUAACAUCCUGAAUGCGUUGCUGUAGCAACUCUGACAUGUACUUUGAAUGAGUAAUUGGGUGUCGUCAUUACAAGUGAUAGGCAUUCACAUGAAAGCUCAAUGUUGCAUUGAAGGGUUUAACAAAAAAAAAGUAUUAUUAUUGUAGCACAAUUUGAGUUUAUGUGUGAAUUCUACUCCCCCAUAUGUGAAUAUAUUUGUGUUCUAUCUCUGAAUUAUAUGUCUGUGCAAUGCUGUAGCACCUCUGGAAUUUGAUCAAAGUGGCACACACACACUCUGGACAGAAUGAAGCCUAAAUCUAGAACUAAACUACUAUGACUAUUUUGCGUGAUUAAGAAUGUGAUAUGAGGGUUGAAGAAUCCUUACAGAUUUGAUGACAGAGCUAAGUUAUUUAUUGAAUGAUUGUGUGAUUGAAGUGUUAGUGUUAUUGUCAUUACUUGAGGGCAAGUAAUGGUUUAAGUUUGGGGGUGUGAUAACUCUAUGAUAUGAGAGUUAUCAUGGCACUUUUAGACUUAAAUCAAUACUACUUAGAGAGUAAAUUAUGUGUUUCUAUUUCAUUUUUGUUAUAUUUUGCAUAAAUAAUCAUUCUAGUCAAUCUUAAUAAGUUUUGCUUGAUUUAAAGUAAUUUGUGCUCAAAUUGUGUGCAUAAUUGUAGGUUUCCAGAAGCUUAUAAUUCAUGGAAGGAAUGUUAUGCAAUAGGCUUGCAAAAAUAAGGAAAGAACAUGGCUACAAAAGAGUUUAAACAAAUCUGGAACAGUGCAGUUGCUGUAGAUAUUGUUGUAGCAACCAUUGCUGUAGCAAUCCUGGAACAACGACAGAGAAAAUUCCACACGGGAUACUUGCAGAAUUACGAUCUACAGUUUCGUAAUCUGACUUAUGCGCGACCUAGGCUUCCGUUUACCCUAAUUUUCAACUAUAAAAGAAGCACACAUCAUAAGGAAAAGAGGGGGCCGUCACCCAAGCAGAAAAACACAAAGAAACAAAAGAAAAACAAGAUUCAAGAGAGAGAUUGAAAGCUACACAAGAGGAAAAAUUGCAGAGAUCAAUUGGGAGCUCAAUCCUUCUUAUCCUUCUCUUAUUUUCGUGUUUUCUAUUUAUUCAUGGGGAUGUGUUUCAUGGCUGAAACUUUGUUCUUUAUUUUUCUUUUGCAAACCAUGAACUAAAUUUAUUUGUGGUUGAGCGAUAAACAAUCUUGAUGGUUUAUUGACUGAAUUUAUGUAUUGCUGCAUGUUUGCUGUAGCAGUUUGUUUUGAUAGUAUUUAUUUUUAUUCAUUAUUUCGGUUGAUCACCCAUUUAAUGAUACAAGUUAGGAGAGAGCCGCAAAAUGACCUAUCUUAGUGGAACAUAUCAGAGCAAUACUUGGUUUUAGAUUGGGUUUCCUGGAUUGAGUUUAACUUAUCCCAAAAGGGUCAUGCUUAAUCUAAAAUUAGUGAUGAACUAGACAUAGUGAUUCACCUUGUAGGGUAAAUAGAACCUAAGUGUGUAAUGUUAUAUCUUAUGUUGGCAUAACAAUUGAUCACUGUUAGGUUACAUAUAGAUAUAAGAUAUCCAACAUGCGACGGCUAAGGAUGCAUAAAGAUUUUGCCCAGUGUUGUAGUAGUUACUGCAGCAACCGAGCCAACCAUUAAAAAAUAGUCAAGACCAUUAAGAGAGUUUAUUCACUCAACUACUUUAUAUUCCCAUUGAUUUUAUCCUUGAGAUUGACGUGAUAAUUUACUUUGUUGCAUUUUAUUUAUUGUGUUUUUAUUUUAAUUAGUAAAUUAGUUUCAUCAAUUGUUCAUCUUAAUUUAGACACAAAAUCUGCACUGUUAAGAUUGCUGUAGCAAGUCUAAUAACACCAAUCCCUGUGGAGACGAUAUUGAAUACUCAUCACUUUAUUACUUGUUGUGUACACUUGCACAUUGAUACCAAUAGCAUUAGUAUUUAUACACCAACACCAACUCUAUGAUUUUUAAUGAUUUUUAUAUAAAGCCAAAAAUUACGAACUUAAAUAUACAAAAACUAGACAUAUACAUGUACAAUAAUAAAAGUUCCUAGUGUUAACAUGUAUAUGUUCAUUAUAUUGAUUUUGAUGAUAACAAACUUUAAAUUUUUUGAUUAAAAUGUUGGAGUUUUCAUUAAUAAACAAAUUCUCAAAAGCCGUAUAAUCUUUCUAAAUGUGUUCAUGAAAUAUGGAUAAUCGUUAACUUCCAUCGGAAUAUCAUUUCCUGUGAAAUUUGGUUAAAACUGUGAUUCGGAAGUAAACGGUGAAUCGUUAAAUUUGAAAUGGUUAACCGAUAAUUUCAUAGAGGAAUAAAUCCUUAAGCUUGAACCGGUUAGCAAAAAUGGAUAAGGCAAAUGAGUUUUACAGGUUACUGGAAUUAAAACGGCGAACCGUUAACUUCAAACGGCUAACCGAUAAUUUCUAGAAUGCCAUUCCAUGCUAACCUUCAACCAUUUAGCAAGAACGGAUAGUAGAAAUUUGUUUUGCAGGUCUCUGGAAAUUAACGACAAACCGAUAGUGGAAAACGGUCAACUGUUACUUGAAAUUUAGGUCAACGGUCACUUGGACCAGUCAAAACGGUUAACCGAUAACGGUUAACGGCGAUCCGAUUUCGGACAGAAAGUCAACAACGGCUAUUUUUCAGCUCCAACUGUAAAUAAGCUCAAUCAAAUUCAAACAAGGGUUGAUCGCAACGUUAUCAUUUAGUUUAUAAUCGAGAAUACAACAUUCAUUGAGCUUUAAAUUUAUUCUUAUUUCAUUUAUUCACACAUUGAGCAUUGAUUUGUAAUCUUAUAUAUUGUGUGAGAGAAAAACAAAUUUGUAAUCUUUGUUGUGAGUGAUUGUAAGUGUUGGGAUACACUUGUAUUAAGAGAUUGUGGAUAAUCUCUUGGUGUAAAGGUUGAUUGACACUUUUGAAGUCAAUUGUAAAUGUUCUUGAAGCCUUGAAGGUUUAACUAGCGGAAUCCUCAAGCUUGGUGUGCUUGGAGGUGUGGACGUAGGUAAGGUUGGCCGAACCACGUAAAAAUCUCUGUAUUUGAAUCUCUUUUCCCUUAUCUUUUUAUAUUUUGGUUGAUUUAUUCAUUAUUGCUUUAAAUUCGUUUAAGAUUUGCAUUAAGUUUUGUUUAAGAAUUGCAUAAUUUUUAGAAACCCAAUUCACCCCCCUCUUGGGUUGCUUGGAUAAUAUUUCACCUAGAACUUUCAAAAGUUGUUUGAGUUACCCAAUAAAUUAUAGAAAUGAGAACUCUUGCUGAAAAUCAAAAUUUUUUAGCACCAGUGUUCGAAUUUCAAAAAAAAUCAAAACAAUUAAUAUGCAAUGAGUUUAUGAAUGAUAAGCAUAUGGAUAGAAAAAUAAAAUGUCUAGUUUAGUAAACUAUAAAGUUUUACGGAUGAAACUUAAUGAAAGUAGUAGUCAUAUAACAUUGAAUGUAUACUAUUCAUAGUUUUCAGGAUAACAUAAUAGCACUACUUUCAUUAAAUAACAACAUAAAUCAAUACAUGAUCAUGCUUUCAAAAUUUUAUUAAUAUAACACACGCAAAAUUAUUCAAUCAAUCACAUAAAAUUAAAAAUAAAAACUAGAAGUUUAUAGGAUUAUAAAUUCUUACCUACCUUCAAAACAAAAUCAAAACUCACUAACUUCUUUUAUAGAAAAGAAAAAUACAAUCAAAAUCUUCUCCUCUUCUUGAAAAAAAAAUGAAUUUUCUCUUGUGUCUGCUGCUGCCCCCCCGCCCCUUUUUAUUAGUCUUUAGGGUUUUACGAAACAAAGUAACAUAAGAUGAGUUUUUGUAAAGCUGAGCCUUUUAAUACCCUUACCUAUUAAGGAAUUUAUUUUCUUUAAGGUACUUAAUAAAUUGGUAAAUCAAAUAAAUACAAAGAAAUAAACCCUUAAAAUCAUUGGCCUAAAAGACUAUAUUCUCUAAAAUAAUAAUGAUGAUGAUGAUGAUGAUGAUGAUGAUGAUGAUGAUAAUAAUAAUAAUAAUAAUAAAAAUAAAUAACGGGUGUUACAUUUUCAAAAUCAGAUUUUGAAAACCUAUUCAUUCCUCACUGUUCAAAAUCUGCUGCAGGAUGGGGUGAUUUUGCCAAAUGUGAUUUUUAAAAAAAUUUACCAAACAUUGAAAUUAGCUUUUAGAUUUUUAAAAUCACUUUUGAACUUCCCAGAAUCAAUCUCAAAUGGGCCCUGAAUGUCUUUAUGUGUUAUAUUGAUGAAAUUGUGAAAGCGUGAUCAUGUAUUGACUUUAUGUUGUCAUUGAGUGGAAAUUAUUAUUUUGCUUAUUUUGCUUAUUUUGCUUAUUUUGAAACUAUGAACACUGUGGAUUGGGUGCUAUGUAACUGCUGCUUUCAUUGAGUCUUAUGCAUGAAGCUUUAUAAUUUAUUAAACUAGAUAUCAUUAGCUUUUUAUUGAUAUAAUUAUUGUUUAAAAAUUCAAAAUAUAUUGGUUGUGAUGAUUUUUCAAAUUCAGAACACUAGUGCCAUAAAAUUUCAAUUUUCAACGGCAAUUCUCAAUUCUAUUUUUUAUUUUGAAACAUAAAUAACUUUUGAAAAUUAUAGGAAUUUUUUUUAUGGUACAUAUAUGUCUAUUUUAUGUACAUAUAAAUUUGUAAUUUUUAACCUUAUAGAAAAAUCAUUGAGUUGGGUUACUGCAAUCUUGGAAACUAUUCUCCAAAAUUACUAAGCUGAUAUCAAAGUCAGUAUGGGUUAAUUUUUCAUCAUUAAAUGCCUUGUAAAAUUUCCUAAUUCUUAUUGUUUCCUCUAAUUAUCAAAACUUGAAUUACUAUUUUUGGACGUGUGCAACUAAAAUUAUGAAUUUUUGAAUAAACGUACAUUUGUUGAUAUCACUACUAGAUAGUUUUGACAUUUUUCUAGAAAAUCAAUUUUUAGGGAUGUUUUGAACUCUGAUUAAUUUUAUAAAAUUUUUCAUCGAAUGCCACACAUGUUGACAAUUUCUAAUUGUAGUAUUUGUGUUUUUCUGACAUGUUUAUAACUCGUUAGAAAUUAGCUUGUGUAGGAUGGUCCCGUGUAGUUUAGUGAGUUGAUAAGUUUAUGUAAGUGUUAAUGGUCUAAAAAUGUUUAGGUUUCCGGUCAAGGUCAGAAUUGGUAAUGUUAUUUAUAAGAAUCUUGUCUUGAUAAUUAUAAACCAAGACUGAGCUCAUGUAAUUGAUGAUAUUGUUUGGUUGCUUUAGAUCAAGAUAAGGGUAUGAUAAAUUAGCGUAUGAAAAAUUAGCAUUCUAUGCAUAUGAAAAGAAUAUUAUUUAUAUGAUAAAUUAGCAUUCUAUGGUUUUAAUACUAUGAAAUACUUGUGAAAUAUUAUAUAUAUAUAUAGUCAAUUGACUUCUUUUAAAUUUGUACUUUUCCAAAACUAUUUUCUAAGUGGCUUUGAAAGAUACUUGAUUUUUUUUUUAUAAAUUGCUAAACUUAAAAAUAUUUGAAAAACUUUGCCAAUUGAAUGUCUCGUAAGAGUGUUUUAUUGAUAUAUUAUUGAAUGAUUGAUAUUGAAAAAUUGAAAACUCUAUUUAAGGUUUUGACUCAUUAUCCGUAGUUACUGUUACUAAUAUGAGUGAACAAUUAGCCGUAUAACCAUUGUGCGCACCUAUUGAUGAAUAUUGCGGGUAUAGUAUCUUGAUUGAUUAAUUGGCUGGGUCACCAAUAUUAUAGGUGAUAUAUCGAUUUCCUAGGUCGACAGAAGUACAAGUGACACUAAGUGGCAUGAAUAAUUGAAUAAAAUAAAAAUUUUAUUAUUAAAUAAUUUCUUAAAUGAUUAUAUAUUGAAAAUAAUUAUUACGUUAUGACUUAACUUAUUAUGAGUUUUAUUGUACUUUUACAAUAGAUUGUAAAAUGAUCAUUGUUUUCCAAUUUAUGGUUCUCUAUAAUGAUUAUGUGUUUUCUCGUUAUUAUAACCUUAUGCAUGAGUUUACUUACAAAGUUGAUAGCUCACCCGCCAUCUCCUACAUUUUGUAGAUUGAUUUGAGAGAUAUAAGCUUUUUUGGUUUAGAGGAGAGGAUUUAUUAGUUGAAAACUUUAAUUUUUUUUUUUGAUGAAAAAAUUGUAACUACUUUGGUUAUUGUUUAGAACUGAAUUAUUUUUUUUUGGGAGGAUUAUUGUUAUAUUUAUUGUUUUAGAGAUUUUAUUUUGCCUGUGGAUAAUAUUGUUUCUUUUGGAAAUAGUAAUAAAAUUAAUAUUACAAGGUUUUAUUCCAAAUUUCUCUUUUAAAUUCUUAGGUGAAUUUGGCGUGAUGUAGUCGUACUCUUAGCUCAUAACUAAUCCCAAGAUUUGGGAGAUAUUUUUCCUGGCACUAGAGUAUAAACAAAAAACAAAAUACUUGAAUAUGUAAAUACAUACAAGGACCACCGAUGAUUAAGUAAUUAUAAAUUAAGCUGUUGGCUGAGAACGUAUCAAUUACUCUUGACAAAUAAUUUCAUCGUAUAUCAAUCAAAGAAGACAACAAAUACCACCAUCAAUUCAUCAUUCACGCUUAGGGAAAGACAAAACGACAUUUUCAUCUAUGCAAAACAAAAAUAUUUGGAACACUUGAGAAGUUAUAAAGGAGAGUGCUGUGUCUAUUNNNNNNNNNNNNNNNNNNNNNNNNNNNNNNNNNNNNNNNNNNNNNNNNNNNNNNNNNNNNNNNNNNNNNNNNNNNNNNNNNNNNNNNNNNNNNNNNNNNNAAAUUUGAAAUGUGAUAAUCUUUUUUAAAUAAUCUUCCAAAAUCUAUUACCUUGAAGUAUAAAAUAUAAUGGUAGGUUAUUUAACACAAAUCAAAUAAAUAAGUUGCAAUUGCAAAAUUUAUAUAUGAUAUAAUAGUAAUAAAUAACACAACUAAGUACAUAUACUUAAGUAAAUGUCAUUGUAUAAUUGAUCAUGAAGUAUGUAUUAUUUUUAAUACCUAUUUAACAUACUUAUUCUCUGAACUUUAUAUUUAUCUUACAACUAAUAUCCUUUCAUGAUAGGAAUUUUAAGUUUUAUAAGCCGAUAUAUUUUCAUUUUAUUUUCAAAUAUCACUUUGUUAAUUUCAUAAAAGUUAAAUCUAAUAUAUAUUCCUAAUGAGCUUUAGUUUAUGAAUCGUGAAAGAUUAUUUUAUUGAUAUCCUUUGAUUGUAAUUAUAAAAUUUUAUGUUAUUAAGAGUCAUUACUUUUGUUAUGAUAAUUAAUAGUGACAAUAAAUAAAAUAUUACCUCCAAUAAUAUUUACGUGGGAAAAAAAGUGAAAGAAAAUCAUUUAUAUUUUUAGAUUUUUAUUGACAUGGUAGGAAAUUAUCUCAGCCUUAUAAAAUUUAACUUUCACAAGUUUGUUUUCAUUUUAUUUUCAAAUGUCACUUUGUUAAUUUCAUAAAAGUUAAAUCUAACACAUAUUCCUAAUUAACUUUAGUUUAUGAAUCAUGAAAGAUUAUUUUAUUAUUAUUCUUUGAUAGUAAUUAUAAAAUUUUUAUGCUACGAAGAAUCAUUACUUUUAUUAUGAUAAUUAAUAGUGACAAUAAAUAAAAUAUUACAUCAAAUAAUAUUUAAUGGACAAAAUGAGGAAAAACAAUCAUUGUAUGUUUUUAUAUUUCCAUUAUAAAGAUAUGGUUUGGGAUACUUUAACUUAAAAUUUUGGCACAAUAAUUGAGCCACUAAUAUCUCAUAGUCUAAUGGUUGAUAUUGAAAGUCAAAGCAUCAUUUCAUAAUGUUAUAUCCUCCACCAUUGAAUUGCAUGAAAUAAAUAGUUUAAUUUUUUGAUAAAAAUUUAAAUCAAAAUAUUUCUCACUCUAUAGUUAUAUAAACAUAUAUAUUUUUCAAUAAUAAUUGGUGAAUAAAAUAUUUCUUAUUUGUUGUGACUCAUAUAGUAUUAUUAAUAAAACACAUAUAAAAUAGUUUAUUGCAAUGCUUUCUAUUAUCAUUAUUGUUUAGGUAUUAAUGGUUUGUAAUUAAAUUCAUACAAUACAAAUUAUUACAAGAUUUUGUGUUAAAUAACAUACUUGAUAUUAUAUUUUAUACUUAAUGGUAACUGAUUUUGGAAGAUUUAUUUAAAAGAAAUUAUCAUAUUACAAAUUUAAAGGAGGGCUGAAAAGUAAUUUUAAAUAAAAUAUACUAUUUAAGUGAAAUUGUUUCAAACUCUAAGGGUGGUCACAAUUAUUUUACAAAAAUUAUCUACCCACUUGAACGGUUACCAUUAUUUUUAAAUUAUUUUUUUAGAACAAAUAUUGUAUACCAUUGAUUAGAUCUAAUGGUUCACAAUUAAUACAUUAUUGAUAUUGUAAAAAAAUUUACAGCUUCAUAGAGGAACCCAUAUAAAAAAUAAAAAAGCCAAAUAUAUAAUUAAUUAAUAUAUUAUUAUAAUUAAUUAAUUAUUAUAUUAUAAUUAAUUAAUAUAUUCAUACAUUAUUAACAAUAAUCAUUAAUAAUUAUAAUUUUUGAAUAAAUAAUCACAAUAAUUAAUAUAUUAUUAUAAUUAAAUAAGUAAUAUUAAUAUUAUUAAUUAAUAUAUUUUAUAAUAAUUAUUAAUAUAAUUAUUAUAAUUAAUUAAUUAGUAAUUUUUACAAUUAAUUAAUAUAUCAAUAUAUUAUUGACAAUAAUAAUAAUUAUUAUUAUUAUAUUUUUUUUUUGAAUGAAUAAUCACUAUAAUUAAAAUAUAAAAUAAUAAUUAUGACAAUAAUUCAUUAAAGGUGUGUUUGUGAUUAUGGUGUAUUAUAACACUAUUCACAUUAAAAUAAUAUCAAACCCAUGUUUGGAACAAAAUUGCAAGGGAUUGGGGUGGGGGGCCUAAUGCGUCAACUGACGCAUUAGCUUUUUUUUUUCUUUUGCUUUUAACUUUUGCUUUUUGCUUUAUUAUUAUUAUAAUACUAAAAUAAUAAAUAAAUAUAGUUUUUAAUUUAAUAUAAUAUUUUUAUUUUAUUUGUUUUUACAUUAUAAUUAUUAAUAUAAAUUAAUAAAUAAAUAAUUUAUCAUUCAAUAAUAGUAUUUUUUAAUUUUUACAUUAUAAUUUAUUAAUAAAUUUAUAACUUAUUAUAACUAAUAAAAAUAUUUAAAUAUGAAUAAAUAUUAAUAGUAUUGUUUGGUGAAUUUAAAACAUUUUUUUAGAUAAUGUUUUAUAGUAUUGUUUGGUGAAUUUAAAACUAAUGAGUUAGUUGUCAAAGUGCGGGAAUAAUUUAAGUAGUUUGUAUGAUGAAUGUAAAUUGCUUUAUUGUGAUGAUGUGUAAGUAAUAGAAGCUGUGAAUGAUGAAAAGAAGUUAGAGCUUGAUACUGAGGUUGAUGCUAGGAUGGUGUUUGAUUCAGGUUAUAUGAAGAUUUUAAAAGACAAUAUUUCUAUAGAGUGCAAAACAGAAGUAAAUCUUUACUUGACAGAAUUAUAUAAGAACCCAAAAAAUGAAAGUCUUGAAAUAUUAGAUUGGUGGAAGAGUAAUUCUUCCAAAUAUCCAAUUUUGUCUUAUGUUGCUCGGGAUAAGAAUAUAUUUGAUGAUGCUUGAUAGCAUUUGAUGGCAUAGUAAGGGUAAAUAUUUAUUAAUUUUUUUAUUCAAAAAAAGAAUUUUAUGUGUUAUUUAUUUCAAUUAUGUUUAUUUUUUUCAGGUUAAAGUAUGGAAUACAAAUUGGCGUGGACAUUUUUCUUUUCGAUGUGUCAUAAUUCGAAACUUUAAAUGUAUUAUUGUAACUUUAUUUGAACCAUUAAUUUUGAUGUGUUAUAUUUUGAAACUUUAAAUGUAUUAUUCUAACUUCAUUCGAACAAUUAAUUUCUGUGUUGUAUUUUAAAACUUUAAAUGAAUUAUUCUAGCUUUAUUUAAAUAAUUAAUUUAUGUAAAUAUUAUUCAAUUUUGAAUUUGAUUGGUAGUAAAAUAUUUUUAUAUUAUUUUUAUUUUAUUAGUUCGCGGAUUGGAUAAACGAAUAAUUUUUAAUCCACAAACCGAUCCACAAAAUGACGGAUUAAAUACGGAUUGGGUCAAAUUCACAUCCAAUCCGCAGACAUAUGCAUUGGAUUUGGAUUGAAAAUUCAUAAUCCGCAAAAUUGUGGAUCGGAUAUGGAUUGAUGUCUGAUUCGCAAAAUUCGAUCCGCGAACCCCCUAUUUUUAAUAGUACCGGUGAUGAAAAGGUUGGUGCUUGGCUCGGCCUGGGGUCGCUACGGAGGGCUUAAAGAAGAAGAAAAAGGAGAAGUGGAAAAGAGCCACCGUAAGCCGCGAGGAUCCGCUAUUGCCGCUCUCAAAGCCAUCUUGGGUUUUUAGCUAAAACCCUCCUAAUCUUGAGAUCCUUAUGAGGGUGGGGGAUUGGGGGCUGUAAAAUGACGGUAUUAGCCUUCUUCUGAAUGGAGCUGUAUUUUUUUAAUUGUUUAUUGUUAUGUUACAUAACUACUAAUUUUAGAAUUAGAAAUCUAUUCGAGACUAGUCCUGAUCUUAUUAUGAUAGACAGCAAAUGCAUGAGCCACGAAGAUCUGGAAGAAUGCCAAAGCCAAAUCCUAAGUUUGCUACGUGAGGGCACCAUGCAAGCCAUGCAUGAAACAUGCAUGUGCUGAGAUCGUGAAGAUACGUGCUGGAGCUGGAGCCGUGAUCUAGGAAUACGCUUAUCAACGAUUGUGCAGCAAGUAAGGAGGGAAGCUAAGACAUGGAAGUUGUUUUCGAUUAUCUUUCGGUUUCGAAUUCUUAGCUAAGUUGUUAUAUUCUUUUAUUUAGCCGUAAUUGUAGGAUGGAAACCAAAGUCUUGUUAUUAUAAAUAAGCUCCAGAAUAUGAAUAAAAGCAUUGAGAAUUCUAAACAACAAUUAUUUGGUCCUUUCUCGCCAUAAGCAGAAAAAUAUCACUUGUGUUACGCGUAAUCAUUGGCUGCCUCUGACUGGGACCUAACAUAUUAUUAUUAAUUAUUACAUACUACCAAUACUAGAAUUAAAAAUCUGUUGAAUCUCUUUCCUCAACAAGAAGUAAGAAAUGAAUCUCUUCCCUCAAAAGUUAGAGAAGUGAAGUGAGAAUUAGUUAACUAAAUGAUUGUUUUCACGUUUGGAUUCUUAGAAAUAUGUGAAUUAGGAAUGUGAAUAAUUGUUUUAAUUUUUUUAUUGAAUAUAAAUUAAAUGAGUUAAUAAAAUUCUUUUACUUUAAAAUCCACUGGGGGAAAUUAAGUUAUUAGGCUGUAUAAGAAAAUUUAAAUUCUCGGAAAAAAUGAAAUAGAUGAUAGUUUUGUCUCAUACAACUAAAAACUUCAACUUUCUUCUUGAAAGAUUGGUAUCGGGCAAGAUUUACAAUGUGGGCCAUUGUUGAGGCCCUUAUAAUAAUAGAUUUAUGAAGAUGUCAAAUUAUUACUUAAUAUCCACUAUAUUCUUGAGCAUACUCAACUUUUUUACUUAAUUGGGGAUCCAACGAACUUUAUCCCUUGAAAUAAACGUAAAGCUACUAUUCAUGGGAAAGUAAGGGUUAUUUUGGACAGCGCAGUCAUGCGCAUAAAAAAGAAAAUCGCAUAGACAACUUAUAACAUCUGCCUCAAAAGACAAAGUCAGCUAAUUCAUUUUGAGAGGAUUGGCAGUGAUCCUAUUGAUCCAACAAAGACUAAAGUACAUAUCAAUUAUGGUAUCAUUACACAGACGAGCGACAUCGUGUUAUUCUUACACAGGGAUGCAUGGUUAUUAUUUUUCAUACUAGUACUUAAUUCAAACACACACUUAUAAUUUUAUGUGUAUACAAGCAGAGAGAGAGUUAAAUAUUGUUACAUGGGAAGAGGAUCAACAAGCAAUGAUGCAAUUCUAUCCUUGGUUUUCCCUGUCGAGUUAGUAUAACCAUCUCCAUUUUGAUAUAACACCACCAUCAUCCGAGCAAGAUUCAGGGAAGGAAGAAGCCAUUGCAACGGAGGAUGGUUCGGAUCUUGAAUUUCUUCAUUGAUGUUCAUCCAUUCAAUUUCCACCAUUCCUUUGAUUUUGUUGCACGCUUCUUCUUCAGACACGCCAUACUGUUGCACGUAACAUUCCACACUUGAUGGUGCAUCCCCUCUCUCUUGCUCGACCUUAACAAUUUUUUUAGAAGCAAUAAAUUAAAUUCAGUUAGCUUAAUUUAUAUGCCGUUAAAAUUGCAAAAGAAAAAAGUCUUUUUGAGUUCUUUUACUGUUAUAACCUCAUUGUGAUUAGUCUACUUAGGGAGCUAGGGCAUUUACUUACAAAGUGAGUAGGCAAUUGAUCCCACAAUAAUUUUAUUUUUUUAAUUUUUUCACCUUAAAUAUGUAUUUUUUUUUAAAAAGUUAUGACAGUCAUAAUAAAUUUAAAAAUUUGCCCCCGGUAAGGAUCCGUACAAACUAAAAAACUAAUCUUAUAAUGGUUUUACGUAGUUGCACCUAUGAGACAAUUUCUUCGCUCUACCCCUGAGUUUUUUCAGAGGAACAUUGCUGAGGAAUUUUAUUAAUUAAAUGGGUUAAUUCUUGAUUAUAUAUCCUCCUCAUGAAUUGACUAUUUUCAAAUCACCGUCAUAUUUUUUAAAACUUUAAUGUAUCCUCAUUUUUAUUCAGAAGACAAAAAAAAAAUAAAAUCAACUACCCCAUUUUUACUUGUCUUUUGAAUAAAAAAACAAUGUAACUUGAGGUUUUCAGAAGUAAAAAAAGGUGAUUUGAAGGUAGUAAAUUUACAAGAAUAUAAUCUAAAUUUUACUCAAUAAAAAAGAGUAACUGGUCCUUACAUCUAUUUAAGGGAGGAAAUAAUGUGCCUCACCCGUGGGAAAAGGUAUAUUAGAAAACGACGUCUAUCUUUCAAUAGUAAAGUUCAAACUAAAAUUAUAGCAUUAUGAAUGUAUUGGGUAAUUAAAAAUAAAUUAGGAACCGAGGUGAUUAAUAUAAGAAGUAUUUAAGGACUUACGUAUCAUUCUCCCUAAAUUAAGUAGUUAAAAUUCCUUUAAUUUGGUAUUUGGUCAUAAAUUCUUUAUCGAUAUAGUACAUACCUUGUACGUAUGGACGUCGUCAUCAAGGCGAGCAAUCAAGGAGGAAGAUCUAAUAAUUUUAGGAACACUAAUCGCCCAAUCAAGUGCUCGCUUGGUAAUUGCCAUAUCUUCUAAGCCUACAAGAGCUUCAACAGCAAGCAUGGGGUAUCCACUGCUCAUUGUAGAAUUCUCCACACAUUCUUCAAAUGUUGGCACAUAUUUCGCAUGGAACCACUUUGCUUCCACAAAGUAAGCCCUUACCAGCCCUUUUAUCUGAGAGAGAAUAAAGUAAAUUAAUUAUUCAAUUUGGAUAGCCAUAUAUGUAUUUAUUUGUGUAUAUCAAUUAAAAAAAAUUGAUAAUGAGUAUAUUCAUGAUUAUGAGUGUACUUACCGCCUCUUUUGCAUAGUACAUGCAACAAAGUGGUUCUUUAUUCACCAGCUUGUCCUCCAUUUCUUUGACAACAUCUAAGAGGGCAAAAUAACAGACUUGCAUGUAUUUUGGUAACUCAUUUGCUGCCACAACUUCCCACCUACCAAAAACAAUGUGGAUACUGUACUUUGAUUAUACGAAAAAUCGACUGCCACAUUAUUAAUACUUAUUAAUUUGCACACACCUCUCGAUUGCAUGAGUGAAUAGCUUAAGUUCUUCCAAAGUGCCAUACACAUCAUAGAUAUCAUCUAUGACAGAAGCUAUUGCGAUGAUUUUGGUCAUAAAUUUUCUAGUUGUGGAAUAUUUAGGCUCAAAAUAAACUCCUAAUAUCCAAAAGUAGCACUCCACCAACCUAUCCCUUGCAAAAGGUAGCUUUGUUGCAAAAUCAAUAUCUUUCCACCACCUGCAAAAAUUUAUUUUCCAAUGUAAAAUCGAUCUUCUCAGUCUUAUAAUGGAUUGAUUUCAAAUUUAUAAAAUAAAUUACUAGUUUUGAUGCAGAAAUAUGAUCAAAACCCCAUUGUUGUUCUAGUAAAUUAAUAGUCUACUGCCUCAUGUUCUAAACGCUCAUAUCCAUCAAGGUUUCAUGGAGGGGAAAAAAAUAAUAAAAUUGCCGAUCUCUGUGGAGUUAGCUACUAACAAUUUAACAAACAAAAGUAUUUUAAAUCAUAAUUUUGAUUUUAUCGGUAAAAUAGAAAAAGAUACAAUUAAAAUCGAACUGUAAAAGACCCUUUAACAAUAGAGAGAUUGUUGAUAGGUUUUAAAACAGUACAGGACAAAUGAUAAAUUUCAACAAACAAGGGGAGGUUUUGAUAUUUGAUCACCUUGAGAUCUCACUUAGCUCUAUCCGGUGUAACGCCUGCAAAAGAUUAAAAUCUAGCUUUGCAAGUUCUAAUAUUAGCUCAUUUCGUGUUGAAUUGUCUGCUUCAUAGAUGGAAAUAUACUGCCUUGCCUCCAAUCUUGGCAUCCCUCUGUGCAAAGGUAUCUCCAGGGAGUGCUCAACUUGGUCAGCUAGAGGAGUGCUUAAAUGGGACAAUAAAGAUUUUAAGUGCUUCCUAGAAAAUUCACAUGCUUCUUCCAAUAUAUUCUCCCCUUGUACUCUCAGAUAUGACGCCUCAUACAAACAUAGCAAGCCUUUCGCGUCAUUUGUUAACAUGGCCUUGAAUUCACCUUUUUCAUCUCUGAAUUUUUUAAAUAUAUCUGUUUCGUUGUUGUAAUUCAAGUGUUAAAAUUAAUUACCACUGAAUAUAUGUUAAAAAAAAAAUUGAUUGAAACUUUUGCUUAUGCAUACCUGCUGACACCUUGUAACCAUGCUGCCUUAGAAGCCGAAAUCGAAGAGCAACUAUGUAGAGAUCGUUAUUAUGAUCGUAAUUAACAUCACAAUUGCCGUUAACAUGGCUAUCAUAGAUUGUUUGUAAGGCCUCUUUGAUCUCAUUUUCAAAAUGAUAGGCCACACCAAGGCGUUGAAGUUGAUUAACAAUAGCCACAAUUUCUUCAAGUGUUUUCCAUGCUGUAUUAUUGCUCACCAGCAACUUUUCAAUUUCUGCUUUUAAUGUUUCAAACCGCUUUUCGACUUCCGUAUUGGUGUACUGCAUCAAUAAAAUUAUCAAAAUCAUGAUCACAUAUAUUGUGAAUUUUUAUUCAGAGAUCUAUGACCAUAUUAAAAUUAUGAAUAAGUUAAAAGAUAAAAAAAUAUAUAUUUUAAUAUAUGACAAAAUAUAUAUUUUUUAUCUUUUAGUUUAUCUUUAACUUUAAUAUGAUCUAAAAUCCCUUAUUAGAACAUCUCUUUCUAUAUAUAUUAGAGUCACAUGAUACAUACCUUUUCAUUUGAUGACACAUUAAUGAAAUGAUCACCCCAAAUGCUAGGAUGAUAAUUCGAGGAUCGACGGUUCACAUCGGCUUUCGUGCUUUCUUUUGAAGAAAGAACACUCUUAAGAUCCCUUUUUUUUUUUUUCCAAUCCAAGAUUUUUGUUGAGACCGAUCAAAUUAUACAAUAAAUAUUAAACAAGAUGAUAUAUAAAGAAAAAUAAAAAUAACGACACAAAACACAAACUGAUAUAUUAUAACAGAGAGUAUAAGUAUUAGAGUAUAUACCUCAUAACUCCAACAACCCCUAAUUCUUUCAAGUUCUCUCAAACAGUUCAAGAAAUAAAAUCACUUCGGAGCAUGCGAUGCCUUUCUUGAAUGCUUUCAAAUUUAUAGGUAAAAGAAGAGCUUAAAGUAAAUAAUGCAGGGGAUAAAAUCCCAUCAGAAAACACUAAUUAGAGUACGAUGAUGUCGACUGAAGGCGCCUUGUCGUCGCAUGCGAUGCCUUUCUUAAAUUUUUAGUAAGGGUUUGCCUACCUUACGUUUAUUUGUCAAGGUAGUAUUUGAUUAGCUUAGUAUAUAGAUAAUGAUAAAUAUUUUAAAGUUUUAUUUUUAAAGAAUAAAUAUUUACAAUCUUAAACUUUUAGAAAAUAAUAAGGUAAUUCUUAAAUUUUUAGUAUGGAUUUGCCUACUUAGCGUGGUAGCAGCUCUUUACUAAAAGGAUGCCUUACCAACAAAUUAUUCAAUGCCAACAAAUAAUAGCUGAAUAUAUAGUAUCUGGGGUACAGUCUGUCGGCAAUCAUUGAUAAAAGACAAACUUCAAUAGAUAAUAGUGUCUUUUCCUCAGAGUAUUGUUUUUAUUUGGAAAAUGUGGCAAGAACUGCAAAAACGUGGCUGCCUUCUAAAACAUUAGUUUCUUGGUGGCUCACAUCCACUCCACAUACCUUAUUAAUUUGAUAAAUGUUAAGUUAUAAUAAUUGUAACAUAUAUUUUUCAUGUGAACCACAUAAAUUAUGAAUUCUAUAAUUUUGUAUGGUUCACAUGAAGAAUGUAUGUUAUAAUUAUUGUAACUUAGAGGCUCCCUAUUAAUUUAGGUCUUGAGUUUUGAACUUUUAUAUAGUAAAGAUUCGUCAAAACCUAAUAAAAUUCAACUUUCUAACACCUUUUCUUUUUCUGUCUUAUUUUGUUGAUUUCAUAAAAAUUAAUUCUAAUACGUUUUCUGGAUUAGUUAGUGGCUGAAAUCAUGAAAAAUUAAAUUUUAUAUAAUUUUUCUGUGAUCAUUGAACUUUACAAUUGAAGCUGUCCAAUCAGUAAGAUUAAUUGUGCAGUCAGGCUGUGUUUUGAAGAACGCAAAAUUCUUCUUGUCCAAAAAAAUAAAUAAUUAUGGUGCUUGCAUCAGUCAUUCAACAAUGAGUAUAUACAAAUUAAAAAAUUGUGCAUUCACCUUUUAAAUUCACACACUUUAAGCGUAUAUAUUUUAUUAAUCUAAUUAUUAGUAGCUGCUCAAGCUUGUAUCAGUUGUGACUCGGUUUCCAUUCUUAAAAUCUUUGGCGCAUGGAUUCAUGUUAUAGCCUGAAAUCAUACUAAGGUCUUUUAUAUACACUUUAAGCGUAUAUAAUUGAUUAAUCUAAUUAUUAUUAGCUUAGCUAUUUAAUGCCUGGAAGGAUAUAAACGGACAGCGCCUCCGCCAAAAUGCUGUGCCAACAGAGCAUAUGGACUCAAGCUUAGUGUUUUUCGACUUCUUCCCUGCUUAAUAACCCUGAUGCCAUUAUGAGCUUGGAUUUGGGUUUUUGUUUCUAAAAAUUGAAAUGUGGUCAUCCCACAUAGUAAGCACACCAUACUUAAAUAGCUAAGUUACGAUAAAGAAUAGAGUUGUUGGUACUACGUAAUUUAUCUAGUUUAAUUUGUAGUCUUUAAUUAAAAUAAAUAAAAUGAAAUUCUUAUGGCAAUAUUUGGUGAAAUAGAAAUAAUGAAACUAUUGGGCUUCUUUCCACAAACUUGCAUGACAUAUGUCACAAACAAAAUAGUUGAAAUAGAGUGAUGAUACAGCCAUAAACUCUUAUACAAAUUGAUUUGGCAUUAAUUCAUUGGUUGAAUUAAAAUACAAAAUAAUAAAAAUAAAUCAUGUGCGCCAAGAGAUAUAUGAUUCAACUAAUUUUAUCGUACCACAUUAAUUUGUACAAAAUAAAUUUGUAUAAGAGUUUGUGGCUAUAUUAUUACUCGUUGACAUAUUAUGGCGCAUGCAAUAGCAAUAGCACACAUUUUUUCAGCAAUUUGAUCCUUUUCCAUAGGAAGGGUAAAAUGGUUAAAUUUACUUUAUCUUCACAAGAAAAAUUUUAGAGCCAAAUAUAAAAUCAAGAUUAAAAGGAGAAAAAUUCUAUGAUAUCGUGAUUAAAAUUAUGGUAUCAAUACCAUGAUAAAUAUAAAUUUUAUAAAUUACGCACAAGACUAAUGAAUGGAAAGUAAAACAAAUAAACUAAUAUAAGAAUAGUAAAUUGGUGUUUUAUAAUUACAAGCAAAAUAAAUACUUGUGAAAAUUACAUAAAACUUUUAAAUUAACAUUAAAUUUUAAUUAAACAAAAAAUAAUUUAGUUAUUUAUUUAAUUUAAUUAAAUAAAAAAUACUCAUCAAUUUAUUUUUAAUUGAUUGAUAUUGAAACAUAAAUUGGUUGAUAGAGAAAGUUUAAAUUAAUUGAUAUUGAAACGUGGGUCCAGGCCAAAUAAAUGUAAUUAAUUAAUUUCCUUUUACACCAUUCAUUACUAUCUUUUUGAACAGUUGUCACCGUAGUUUUGGAGGUUAAAGAAACAAGCAACGCAAUGUUUCAACUUUGGCAGGCCGCGGAAUGGAAAUCAACUACAGUGAGCCUUUUGAUGAAGCAGGGUGUUGAGUCUCACAAGUAGUGUACCUUGCCGAGGUUAUAACUUAAACUAUAGGUGUUUGUUUUUUACAUAUAAUAUAUGGUUUUGAAGUUUACACUGAGAUGAACAAAAGUCAGAACCGUCUAAGCCAUUAUGUCCCAUGAUUAUGUCAAAGUUUGGCAUGGUGCAUCUAGAAUACAUCUAGAAGCUUGGCAUAAACAAAGAAUAGUGGCACAUGGCUUUGAAACUUGAACAUGGAUUUUACCCACCAAGUUUUGAUGAACAUGGUUUUUUACCCACCAAGCUUUGAUGAACAUGGUUUUGAAGGAGUUUUUAAUAUCCAUGGCUUUGACUUCCUUGGCCUUGAUUUUGCUAUAAAUACAAGUGCUAAUGAAGAGUUUAUGCAUUCCAUUUUUGAGAGCAAUUAAGAGAGUUGAGAGAGAGUUUAAGAGCUUGAAUUUAUAAGCUCUUAUUUUAGUGAUUUGAGAGUUUGGGUGUAUUGGGUUUUGGGUAGUGAGCUAAAAUACUACAAUACUUGUAACUCCUUUUCACUAGUAAAAUAUUUCCUUCUGUCUUCGCCCGUGGAUGUAGGCUAAAAGCCGAACCACGUAAUUUCUGGUGUCCUCUAGUGUGCUUAUUCUUUAUUUUAUUUCCAAUUUUAUUUUAGCUGCGGUCCUGCUGCACCCACCAAUUUCCUAACAGUGGUAUCAGAGCCAUUGGUUGUAUUUUUGGAGUCGGGAAUUGUUCACGUAUACGGCGUAUGGAACUAUUCACGUAUACGGUAUACGGCACUAUUCACGUAUACGGUACUAUUCACGUGAAACGGUGGAAGUGAUCCAAGAAUUUUACGGUGCAAAGCAGGGAAUAGUGGUGUGAGUAAAGCAACUGUGUGAUUUUGUACAUGUCUAGGAAAGUUCUGUCAUAAAGGCGAUAAGAGCUUAAGGAGUCUGGGUUUUAAGUGGGACCAUUGUGACCUCUCCAGUCUUUCCUGGGAACUUUCCUGGUGUGCAUUCUCACACAUACUCACAACUAUUCAAGGUGGUAUACUAGCUUGUGUGCAGUAUUUAUCAACAAAAUGGCGGCAAAGUAUGAAAUUGAGAAAUUUAACGGAAAUAAUUUUUCGUUGUGGAAAAUGAAGAUGAAAGCUGUAUUGAGGAAAAAUAAUUGCUUGGCAGCAAUUGGAGAAAGGCCCAUGGAGAUAACUGAUGACAAGUGGAACGAGGUAGACAGCAACGCCAUUUCUGAUCUACACUUGGCACUUGCGGAUGGAGUAUUAUCUAGUGUGGCAGAGAAAAAUACGGCGAAGGAAAUUUGGGAUACUCUCACAAAAUUGUACGAGGCCAAGUCACUACACAACAAAAUCUUCUUGAAGAGAAAACUCUAUACUCUUCGAAUGGCGGAAUCUACAAUGGUGACCGACCACAUCAACACAUUGAAGACUCUAUUUUCACAACUCACAACGUUGGGUCAUAAUAUAGAGGAAAAUGAACGUGCAGAGCUUCUACUUCAAAGUCUACCAGAUUCGUAUGAUCAACUCAUCAUCAACCUGACGAACAACAAUCCAGUGGAGGGUCUAGUUUUCGACGAUGUUGCAGCCUCCGUAUUAAAUGAGGAGAGCAGGCGGAAAAACAAGGAAAACAGACAAGCAAGUUCGCAGCAAGCAGAAGCGCUAUCGGUGACGAGAGGGAGAUCAACGGAACGUGGUCCCAGUGGGAGUCAAAAUCAGGGUAGAUUAAAAUCCAGAAGUAAGAAGAAUGUUAAAUGCUACAAAUGUGGCAAGAAAGGGCACGUCAAGAAAGAUUGUUGGAGUAACCAGAAGAGAAAAGAGGGCAAAGAACCUGAGUCAUCAAAUGCUCAGGGUUGUGUAGCAAGUACCUCGGAUGAUGGUGAAAUUCUUUACAGCGAGACAACAACUAUUUCAGAAGGUAGAAAACGACUUUCUGAUGUCUGGCUUAUAGACUCAGGAGCUACCUGGCACAUGACCUCUAGGAGAGAAUGGUUCCACACAUAUAAACCUAUCUCAGGAGGAUCUGUAUAUAUGGGAGAUGAUCAUGCCUUGGAGAUCGCUGGUAUUGGUACUAUCAAAUAAAAAUAUUUGAUNNNNNNNNNNNNNNNNNNNNNNNNNNNNNNNNNNNNNNNNNNNNNNNNNNNNNNNNNNNNNNNNNNNNNNNNNNNNNNNNNNNNNNNNNNNNNNNNNNNNNNNNNNNNNNNNNNNNNNNNNNNNNNNNNNNNNNNNNNNNNNNNNNNNNNNNNNNNNNNNNNNNNNNNNNNNNNNNNNNNNNNNNNNNNNNNNNNNNNNNNNNNNNNNNNNNNNNNNNNNNNNNNNNNNNNNNNNNNNNNNNNNNNNNNNNNNNNNNNNNNNNNNNNNNNNNNNNNNNNNNNNNNNNNNNNNNNNNNNNNNNNNNNNNNNNNNNNNNNNNNNNNNNNNNNNNNNNNNNNNNNNNNNNNNNNNNNNNNNNNNNNNNNNNNNNNNNNNNNNNNNNNNNNNNNNNNNNNNNNNNNNNNNNNNNAUGCAUUCUAGACUUGAUUCAUUCUGAUGUUUGGGAAUCACCGGAUAUAUCCAUGGGAGGUGCAAAGUACAUGGUGACUUUCAUUGAUGACUAUUCCAGAAGAUGUUGGGUAUAUCCGAUUAAGAAAAAGUCAGAUGUAUUUUCAGUAUUUAAAGAAUACAAAGCGCGGGUGGAACUUGAAUCUGGUAAAAAGAUCAAGUGCUUGAGGACAGACAAUGGUGGAGAAUAUACAGACGGCGAGUUUCUUGCUUUCUGUAAGCAAGAAGGUAUUCAGAGGCAGUUCACGGUGGCAUACACUCCUCAACAAAACGGAGUGGCAGAGCGGAUGAACAGAACUCUUACAGAAAGAAUAAGAGCUAUGUUGAGGACUGUUGGUUUACCCAAUUCAUUCUGGGCAGAAGCAGCCAAAACCGCCUGUUAUAUAGUAAAUCGGUCGCCAUCUACAGCUAUUGGGUUGAAGACAGCGAUGGAGAUGUGGACUGGAAAGCCAGCUGAUUAUUCCUACCUACAUGCAUUUGGAUGUCCUGUGUACGUGAUGUACAAUGCCCAAGAAAGGACAAAGCUAGAUGCAAAAUCUAGAAGAUGUAUCUUCUUGGGGUAUGCUGAUGGAGUAAAGGGGUAUCGUCUGUGGGACCCCACUGCCCACAAGAUCGUCAUCAGCAGAGAUGUUAUCUUUGUAGAAGAUCAACUACAAAGGAGAGAUGAGGAUGAUGACACUACAAAAGAAAAGUCAGAGACUGUGCCGGUAUAUGUUGAAAAUAAUCUAGAAGAUUCACAUUCUUCUGAAGCAGCACCAGAGCACGAGGAACAAGAACCAGUCGAGUUUGAGGCUCCAGAAGUUCGUCGGUCAACUCGUGAGAGACGACCGCCUGUGUGGCACUCGGAGUAUGUCACAGAGAUCAACGUUGCAUAUUGUCUUCUAACGGAGGAUGGAGAGCCUUCAACUUUCCAUGAAGCUUUGGAAAGCUCAGAUAUUGCUUUGUGGAUGACAGCAAUGCAGGAAGAAAUUGAAGCUCUACACAAGAGUAAGACAUGGGAACUUGUACCACUACCACGUGGAAGAAAAGCCAUUGGAAACAAAUGGGUCUACAAGAUCAAACGUGAUGGCAAUGAUCAAGUGGAGCGGUAUCGUGCGAGAUUGGUGGUGAAAGGAUAUGCUCAGAAAGAAGGUAUUGACUUCAACGAGAUAUUUUCACCGGUGGUUCGACUCACAACAGUCAGAGUAGUCUUGGCAAUGUGUGCUACAUUUGACUUACAUCUUGAGCAGUUGGAUGUGAAAACUGCAUUUCUUCAUGGAGAACUUGAAGAAGAAAUAUAUAUGCUCCAACCAGAAGGUUUUGCAGAAACAUGAAAGGAGAACUUGGUUUGCAAGUUGAACAAAUCUCUAUACGGUCUCAAACAGGCGCCGAGGUGUUGGUAUAAGAGAUUUGAUUCCUUCAUCAUGAGCCUUGGAUACAACAGACUCAGUUCAGACCAUUGUGCAUAUUACAAGAGGUUUGAAAAUAAUGAUUUCAUUAUUUUGCUGUUGUAUGUGGAUGACAUGUUGGUAGCAGGUCCCAACAAAGAUCGAAUCCAAGAAUUGAAGGCACAGUUAGCUAGGGAGUUUGAAAUGAAGGACUUGGGACCAGCAAACAAGAUUCUAGGGAUGCAAAUUCACCGAGACAGAAAUAACAGGAAGAUUUGGCUUUCACAGAAGAAUUACUUGAAGAAAAUCUUGCGGCGCUUCAACAUGCAAGAUUGUAAGUCAAUUUCUACCCCACUUCCUGUUAAUUUCAAAUUAUCCUCAAGUAUGUGUCCUAGCAAUGAAGCAGAGAGGAAUGAGAUGUCUCGAGUACCGUAUGCAUCAGCAGUAGGAAGUUUGAUGUUCGCUAUGAUAUGUACUAGACCGGACAUUGCACAAGCAGUGGGAGCAGUCAGUCGAUACAUGGCGAAUCCUGGUGGAGAGCAUUGGAUAGCUGUGAAGAGGGUUCUGAGAUACAUCAGAGGAACCUCAGAUGUUGCAUUAUGUUAUGGAGGAUCAGAGUUUACUGUCAGGGGUUAUGUGGAUUCAGAUUUUGCAGGAGAUCUUGAUAAAAGAAAAUCCACUACUGGUUAUGUGUUUACACUUGCAGGAGCAGCUGUAAGCUGGGUUUCGAAACUGCAGACCGUUGUGGCUUUAUCUACAACAGAAGCAGAGUACAUGGCAGCUACACAAGCUUGCAAGGAAUCUAUUUGGAUACAAAGGUUAUUGGAGGAGCUCGGGCACAAACAAUAGAAAUUUUCUGUGUUUUGUGACAGUCAGAGUGCCUUACACAUUGCAAGGAAUCCAGCCUUUCAUUCCAGGACAAAGCACAUAGGAGUCCAGUAUCACUUCGUUCGUGAAGUAGUGGAAGAUGGAAGUGUGGAUUUACAGAAAAUUCAUACUAAAGAGAACCUAGCAGAUGUUUUGACCAAGCCGAUAAAUACUGAUAAGUUUGUCUGGAGUAGAUCCUCUUGUGGCCUAGCAGAAACGUAGGCAACAUGAUUAUGGCGAAGUAGAAAGGAUGGUGUGGAGAUUGAUUGUUUUUCAAUUUAAUCUCCAAGUGGGAGAAUGUCAAAGUUUGGCAUGGUGCAUCUAGAAUACAUCUAGAAGCUUGGCAUAAACAAAGAAUAGUGGCACAUGGCUUUGAAACUUGAACAUGGAUUUUACCCACCAAGCUUUGAUGAACAUGGUUUUGAAGGAGUUUUUAAUAUCCAUGGCUUUUACUUCCUUGGCCUUGAUUUUGCUAUAAAUACAAGUGCUAAUGAAGAGUUUAUGCAUUCCAUUUUUUAGAGCAAUUAAGAGAGUUGAGAGAGAGUUUAAGAGCUUGAAUUUAUAAGCUCUUAUUUUAGUGAUUUGAGAGUUUGGGUGUAUUGGGGUUUUGGGUAGUGAGCUAAAAUACUACAAUACUUGUAACUCCUUUUCACUAGUAAAAUAUUUCCUUCUGUCUUCGCCCGUGAAUGUAGGUUAAAAGUCGAACCACGUAAUUUCUGGUGUCCUCUAGUGUGCUUAUUCUUUAUUUUAUUUUCAAUUUUAUUUUAGCUGCGGUCCUGCUGCACCCACCAAUUUCCUAACAGAUUAAACCGAAAAUUCCAUUUUUUUGGGUCAUUUUUCAGUUUUAAGAUUCUGUUAUAUUUUUUCUGCUUCUUCUAGGAUUUUCAUCUUUUUUUUUUAACUAGAAUUUGAGUGCCUUUUGUUUUCCUUCUCUUACUUUGGUUAGAAGAACUUAAUUAUCAUAUUAAAUUUCGGAUUUACCUAUUUUGAUAAAUUCGCAUUAUUCAGACUUAUUAUAGAAGGGGCUCAAAACCCUAGUUCUAUUCAUUCAAACUAUUCAAUGAAGCUUAUCAUUAUUUAGAAACCUAAUUUCUUCUCCUGAAAACCCAAUAAAGUUUCCGUUUUGUCAUUUGAUACCCCUCAAAAGUCAAAAUUCCGCAUAAACUAGAAUAAGCUUUUUGAAGCCUUUCAUAAAUUCAUUGCAUAAUUCCUCUUCCGUUGUUUCAACAAAUUUUUAAGCCUAAAGCCAGGAACUAUAGAAUCAUAUUUGAGCACGUCGGGACAUUAAGUCACGCCGCAACAAAUUGUUAAGUGUUAACCAACAUAAUAUUUUAUCUUUUUUUUUAAAUUUUACUCCCGCAAUUAUAUACAACUUUAUAAGAAGACUCAAAUUCGCUAUUUUUUUUUUUUUAAAAGACAAGUAUCAACCAACUAAAUUAAGCUAAAGAGUGGUUUGCUUCCUUUUUCUUUUUAAGAACCCCAGGGAGUUUUUUUUAAAAAAAAGUGCAAGUAGUUAGGGGAUGUAAUAAUGAGCCUUACCCUUUAAAUGAAACUUGAAACCAUACUCUCAAACCAAAGGCAGCAAGAUGCCCCAAAAACAACAAAAAGUGAAACCAACUAAACAAAUACUGAUAAUUUUCCAGUAGCCAAAGUACGUACAAUUCCAGCAAACCAAAAAGCUAGCCGUUAAUGCGCAUUGUCGGCUUUAGUUUAAGUUGGAAAACAAGCAAAUCUUGGUGUUUGAUGGAUGAGGUUUCUUAUUAUCAUCCAAACCAUAAAAAGAAUAAAGUAUUAGUUGAGAAAUUAAAGAAAGAAACUAGAUAAUAAGCUAAAAUUGUCACAAAUUUAGAAACUGAGUUAAAAAUAUAUAUUUUUGAAUUGGAUAUUAAAUUAGAGAAGGAAUUAUGAUUUAUUAUUAUCUAUGAGGAAAAUAUAUUAUAAGAAAAAUGUAAUAAAUUUGUAGGAUUUUAGAAGUAUUACUGAUUAAACCACAAUUUAGAAUAAAAAUUAAGAUACAAAAGUUUAAAGAUAUUCAAAAUACUAAUUAAUUGAAUGAUAUUUUUCAACUUUUAUUAUAAUUUAAUAAACAAAAUUUGCAUAUUAUUAUUAUUAUUAUUAUUUUUUAAAAAUAUCUUUAAGGUGCCCGGGCGCCCUGCUGGUCGCCUUGAUAAUCAGCAUCUGCCGGGCAUGAAAAGUGGAGACCAUUUCGUGCAUAAUUUUUCACGUGCCAGCGAGCAUUUUUUUGCUUUUUAGUUUUUUGAUAAUAAGUUUAAAAUGAAAGGCUUGUAUGAGCUCUAGUCCUAUCGGCCAUUGUCCCCAUCAUCCUUUUGUUGUUUUGACAUGACAAUUAAUAUUAUCCAAGCGAAUGAUCUAAGAGAGCUGCUACCUUACAUUUAAUGUAUGUACAGCCUUCUCUAUUGGUUGUGCGUCCAAAUGAGACCACAGUUCAAUUUAUGAGGAAUAUAUCUUAUAUUAAAUGUAAGGUAGAGAAAUUCAUGAUCUAAGGGAGCUGUUAUAAGGCUUGUAUAAGCUCCAGUCCUCUCGGCCAUUAUCCCCAUCAUUCUCCCAGUGUUUUGACAGAACAAUUAAUAUUGUCCAAGCGAAUGAUCUAUCAUAAAAACACAUCAUAGAGCUUAAGUUUUGUGGACGACAAAAGGACUUUUUUUUUGCUUUGAGGCAAACUUCAGCCGUACGAGGAAAAGCUUUAUUGGUUAGUAAGAACAAAGACACUACCAAAAAAAAAAAACAAAAAGAUUUUUUUUUACUAAUGAACUAACUGUGAUGCUGUUAUGGUCUUAGUUUAGUGGUGGACUUAUUGAGGGCACAAAUUUAAAUUUCUAUAAAAAUUUUAUAGUUCUCUUUCCACAUACACGAAUGAGGUAGAUUAUCCUAAAAUAUGUAGUGGAAGAUGAUUUUUGUAGUCAUUGUGAUUCGAUAGUGAAAAUAAUUUAAAUUUAUCACAAAUAGAUGUAGGCAAUUAAAAAUAAAAAAUUAACAACUUAAUUAAUUUUUGAAAAUAUUAUUCACCGUUAUUGUUCACGAUUACUGUUACGAUUACUGUUUAUCCACAUCAAAAAUAUUAAUUUUCCAAAAAACACAAUAAAUUGCAGAAAAUAAAUAAUUCGGAGAUUUUUACAUGGUUCGAAUAAUUAAUCAAUCCUACAUCCAUGAGGCCAAGCGCAGAUGAAAAAUAAUUCACUAAGUUGAGAUGUUACAGCUUAUGGAUUUACCAAACUUAAGAUUCUCACUUACAGUUUAUCACCAUACAGUUUACUCAGCCUUAGACUGAAUAUGCUUCUCUUGAAUAAUUGCUACCCCUCUUAAUCCACGAUCCUCAAGGCACUUUGUAAAGUAAUCAAUAACAAUUCUUCAAUUUUUCAACGUCGAGUGAUCCAAGAUCCACAUAGACUCUCUACAGAGAUGAAAAGAAGAUAAAUAAAUAAAUCAACACAACAUUAUGCGCCAAAUUCAAAUUCUCUAGGGAGGAGGCUGAAUUUUGCUACUCUAUUUUAUACUCUGCGUUGUGCGUACCUUCAAUUGUGAAAUACCUCUCUUUAUAUAGGCAUUAGGAUUUCACCAAAAUAGCAAGUCUUAAAAGACUUGGAAUCUGCAUAGGAAUAAAUCUGAUCUACUUGCCUUACUUGUCUCCCAAGAAAUAUCUAGAGCAUUUAAUGAACUUUUUGUUUGAACAAACUUCUCGCUCUAAAUAGAUCUCAUGCGCCAAUUAUAAAAUCUCAUCAUUAAUAGACUUUCUAAACUAGCCAUCUAAUUAAAUUAAAAAAAAUAUUUCUAAUAAAUUACUAAAUUAGGGAAUAAUAAAUUAAUCCCUAUUACAAGAUAUGCAAUAAAUAAAAUUUCAAUUUAAUUAAACUUACCAUAAGAUGCCAACUCUAUAAAUAAUGAACUUAACAGAUAGACUUUUAAAUUGUACUGUAGCUGCAUUUUUUUUUAACAACUAAAAACACACACCUAGUAUAAAGCCCAACAUACAAUCCGUAGAAUAAGUGCAUGUAUUUUAAUUUACAAAAGGCUUCAAUUGUAAUAUAUCAAUUUUAACAAAUUUCAAUAAAUAAACACCUAUAACCGCAAAAAAAAAAAAAGAACUAAAUUUAAGUCCCCUAAUCAAAAAUUUUACUGCUAGAGUAUAAACAUAAUUUUUACAAUUUUAUAACGACUCUGGUCUUGGUGAUAAAAAUGGUUCUUUAAUAAAAGCUCUAGUAUAAGAAACGACGAUCAUCCUUUUAAUUUAAACAAAAUAUCAAUGCACGAGACAAAAAUAGCUACACUUACGAGGUUUGCUCAAGUGCAUGUGCCAAUCCAUCCGUGGAAUUUUAUAAAUGAUCGUACAAACUUUUACUUUAACUAUUAUUUUUUAAUAUUCUAUUGUAUUUAUUAAAAACUUUAAAAUUAAUUAGUUUAGUCAAAAGGUAUAAUAAUAAUAAUAAUAAUAAUAAUAAUAAUGAUGAUGAUGAAAGGUAUAUUAAUAAUUCAUAAAGCUUAAGGAUAUAGAUUUCAGUAAAUAUUAUUACCUCUAUGUGAUAUUCUUUUAAUGUCAUGUUUGAUUUAAAGAAAUUAAAAAAAAAGAGAGGAAACGAAAAGAGAAAAAGGAGAAAAAAAAACCAGAGAAUAAUGGAUGAAUUCUAUUUCAAAUAAGGGUCCUCCUAUGUUGCAACGUACAACACUUUUUGUCAUGCAAAUGCUAUCAUGCUCAUUUGGCUUGAUUGAUGAAGAUUCAUUCUUCAGUUUGUUUUAUUUCUAGUCCGAGAAAGUACUUUAAUUCUCCUAUCAUGCCCAUUUCAAAUUCUUUACUCAUACAAAAUGAAAAUUCCUUACACAGAGUUAUUAGUAGAACCGAAAAUAAUUUCAUCAACAUAAAUUUGAACAAUGAGUAUGUCUUGAUUCUUAUGCUUAAUAAAUAAUGUAGUGUCUGCUUUUCCUAUUGUAAAACCAUUUUCCAAAACAAAUUUAUUAAGUCCAUCAUACUUUACUCUAGGUGUUUGUUUUAAACUACACAAUGCUUUAGUCAGCUUAUAAACAUGAUCCAUAAAUUUUUUGUUUUCAAAACUAGGGGUUUGUUUCACAUAAACUUCCUCCAUAAUGUAUCCAUUUAAAAAUGCACUUUUAAUAUCCAUUUGAUAUAAAAUAAAAUCUUAUGACAUGCAAAUGCUAAUAACAUUAUAAUAGAUUCUAAUCUAGCUACUGGUACAAAAAAAUCAAAAUCAAUUCCUUUUUCUUGGUUGUAACUUUGAGCCAUUAAUCUAGUCCUACUCCUUAUAACCACACUGCUUUCAUCCAUUUUAUUUCUAAAUACCCAUUUAGUGCCUAUGAUGGAUUGAUGUUCCGGUUUAGGAACUAAUUCUCAUACAUUGUUUCUCUCAAAUUGAUUUAACUCUUCUUGCAUUGUCAUAUCCAAGAUUCAUCAUUUUUUGCAUUCGGAAAGGAUUUUGGUUCAAUUUGAGAUAUGAAUGCAACAUAUUAACAGGUAUUUCUAAAGGAUGACCUAGUAGUUGCACCUAGGAUCACCUAAAAUUAACUCGUUGAGGUGAGAAGAAAUAUACUUCCACUCCUUGGGGAGUGUUUGUGAAUUACCUUUAUUUUGUUUGGUAUUCAUUUGUUCUUCUUCUUGUUGCUCCACUUGAUUUUCACAUAGUGGGUCAUCUUGUUUAACAUUUGAAGUCACUUCUUGUAAUUCUUCAUCUACAUCAUCAUUAACAACAACUUUAUCUAUAGAGGAAGGGUUAGACUCAUCAAAUGUAAUAUGUAUAAAUUCUUCCACAACCAAGGUCCUUUUAUUAUAUACUCUAGAAGAUUUAUUGUGUUUAAAUAACUAACAAAGUUACCAACAUCAGAUUUUGGAUCAAAUUUAUGAAGAUUAUCUUUAGUAUUCAAUAUAAAACAUUUGCAUUUAAAAAAUUUGAAAUAACCAAUGUCGAGUUUUCUAUCUUUCCAAAUCUCAUAGAGAGUUUUAUUGAGAUAAUAUCUAAUCAACCCACGAUUUAAAACAUAGCAUAUGGUGUUGAAGGCUUUGGCCCAAAAGUAUUUUAGUGAAGCAUUCUCAUUUAAAUACUCCUAGCCGUUUCUUGAAUAGACAUAUUCUUUCUCUCAACAACUCAAUUUUAUUGUGGUGUCCUAGGUGAUGAGAAUUAAUGUUCAAUGCCAAACUCAUUACAAAAACAUUCAAAUGCAUUAUUUUCAAAUUCUCCUCCAUGAUCACUUCUAAUGCAUGCAAUACUAUAACCUUUUUCAUUUUGAAUCUUCUUACAAAACACUUUAAAAGUAUCAAGGGAAUUAUCCUUAUUGGCUAAGAAUAAUACCCAUGUGUGUCUAGAAAAAUCAUUAACAAUUACAAAAGCAUAAUACUUUCUACUCAAGCUAAUAUAUCUAGAAGGUUCAAAUAAGUCUAUAUAAAGUAGUUGAAGUGGUUUUGAAGUGGAAAUGUGAUUUUUUUUUUAAAAAAAAGAGGUUUGAAUUUGUUUACCAUUGACUAUUUUUUUUCAUUAAUAGUACCGUUACUGCAGCAUCUACUAUAGCACUGAGCAGAAUCCCUCAUGCAUCCUCAGCUGUCGCCUGUUAGAUAUCUUAUUCUAAUGCAACCUAAUAUUGACCAAUUGUUACGCCAACAUUAAAUAUAGUAUUAGACGAUCUAGGUUCUAUUUACCUUACAAGGUGAAUCCUUAUGUCUAAUUCUUCACUAAUUUUAGAUCAAGCAUGGCCUUAUUCAAAUUGAGAAUUACUCAACUUGGGAAACCCAAUCUAAAACUAAGUAUUGUUUUAAUGAGAUCGACUGAGUCAGACUUUUUUUAGGCUCUUUCUUAGUUAGUAUCUACUAAAUGAGCAAUUAGCCGAAAUAAGGAAUUAAAAUAAAUUCAAUUAAGACAAAAUGUUAUAGCAAACAUAGAGCAACACACAUAUGACAGUCAAACAUCCAUUAAAAUCAUUUAUUACUCAACUGCAAUCAAAUUCAGUUCAUAAUUUACAAUAAAACAGUAAAAAAAAAUUAUUUCAGCCAUUAAAUAUAUCCCUUAAAUAAAUAGAAAAUAAUAAAACAAUAUAAAAAAUUGAAGUCUACACGAUCUUGUGAUCUCUUUUUCUUGUUCAUUAUGAAACUCUUUUGCAACCCUUAAUUCUCUAUUUUUUUUUCCUUUGUUUUUCUCUGUGUUUUUUCCUUGAGUGAUGGCUCUCUCUUUUCCUUUGCAAGCAUGCUCCUUUUAUAACUCAAAAUUAGGCAACCAAAAGUGUGUGGCGCACGUUCUCCAUUUUUGGAAACUUUAGAUCGCAAUCUUUUAGUUGUGACGCGUGAAAUCCAGUCUAUCAUUGUUCUAGGAUUGUUACAGCAACAACUACAACAUCUUCACUGUUUCAGGCUUGUUUUAAUUCUUCUGUAGCCAAGUUCUUUUAUUAUCCCUGCAAGUAUAUUGCAGCAGAAUUCCUUCUUUAAAACUUGAGCUCUCGGUCACCUAUAAAUAUGCAUAUAAUCUAAGCACAAAUUAUUAUAAAACAAUUCAAUUUAUUAAAAAUAAACUAAAAUGGAUGUUCAUGCAAAAUGUAACUAAAAUGCAAUAAAAAAAAUAUGUCUUUUACUCUCUAAGUAAUCUUUAUUUAAGUCUAAAAGUGUCAUGAUAACUCUCAUUUUAUUGAGUUAUCAGGCACGAUUGUUGAUGAAUGGCUUAAGUGAUGGAUCGAAUACUUGGAAGAUGUUUUUGGAUGUCUUUUACAAGAAAUGUUUUCCUCAGAGUGUUGCUGAAAAAAUGAAGAGGGAUUUGAUUUAAGUUAGUAAGUCUGUGGCAGAGUAUGAGGCACCUUUAAUGCCUUAUCUCAAUUUUGUUCCAACGCUGGUUGAUACACAGGAGAAGAGAUGUAGAAGCUUCCUUAAGAGAUUAAAUCGAUCUAUUAGAGAUCCUUUGGAACCCUUGAGGAUAACAAAUUAUGUUGAUUUGGUGGAUAGGGCUUUUUCUAGAGAGAUACGUGUGAAUGAAUCCCGAAAGAGACAAGAGCAGCGAAAGAAGCCUGGGCGACGAGGAGGAUCACAAACGAAAGGCUCUAAUAAUAAUCAGAGUACAAGCGGGGAUGACAAGUCUUCAUAGAAAGGUGAUGGAGCUUCCUUUCAGAAGAAUAUUCCUCCAUGCCAAACUUAUGGAAUGAUGCAUCGUGGUGAAUACCUUCUGUUAACAAAUGCAUGUAUCAUUGUGGGCAAAUGGGACAUAACAUCAAUGAUUGUCUUAAGAAGCGUAAUGAUGCUAGCGGUACUUGAGAUGAUGAUAGUCCGAGGAAGAAGCCCGAAGUUCAAGGUCGUGUAUUUGCAAUGACAUAGCAGGAUGCUGAGGCAUCUAAUGAUGUUGUGACAGGUACUCUAUCCUUAUUUUCUAGAGGUGCUAGAGUGUUAUUUGAUUCUAGUGGUAUGCACUCUUUUGUAUCAUGUGCUUUUAUUUGGCAUGUGGAUAAAAAUACUAAGCCACUUGAGUGUUAUCGAUCUAUUAAAACUCCUAAGGGUGAUAGUAUAGCAGUGAAUCGGGUUUAUAAGUCUUGCCCAACCAGUUUUGGUGAUAGAGAGUUUAUUGUUGAUCUAUUGCCAAUUUUGAUGCAAGACUUGAUGUUAUUUUGUUACAUAUUUUCUUUUAGAGAUUUAAAACAUUUAUUGUUGGAUAUUAUUUUGAUGGUUUAGAAAUGAGACUGAUGAAAUGCAGUUUCGCUUCAGUUUCAUCUUAGUACUUUAUUAGUGGAAUUAGAGUGAUACAUUUGUGGUAUCUGGUGUGUGUUUUCUAUGAUAUGGGUGUCAAUGUGUAAGGUUACACAACAAGUAAUAUAAUGAUAAGUAUUCAAGAUCUUCUUCACAUGGAUUGAUGUUAUUGGAUUUGCUACAAAAUUCUAACAGUGCAAUUUAGAUUAAAUUAAAAUAAAAUAAUUAAAUAAACUAAUAAACUAACUAAAUUAAAAAUACAAUAAAGAAAAUCUUAAAUCAAACACGAAGAUGCAAUCAAUAAGAAAAGAGUAGUUUAGUAAUUAAACUCAUUAAAUGGUUUUGACUAUUUUUCUAAUUAAGAACUCGUUCUACAACAUUUACUACAGCACUGGCAGAAUCCCUUAUGCAUCAUCAGUUGUCACCUGUUGGAUAUCUUAUAUCUAUAUGGAACCUAACAAUGAUAAGUUGUUAUGCUAACAUUAGAUAUAACAUUAUGUGUUCUAGGUUUCAAUUACCAUACAAGGUGAAUUCCUAUAUCUAGUUAUUCACUAACCUUAGAUCAAGCAUGGCUCUAUUCAAAUCAAGAUUAAUUCAACUUGGGAAACCCAAUCUAAAACCAAGUAUUGUCUUAAUUUGUUCCAUUAAGUCAGAUAUUUUUAAGGCUCCUUCUUAGCUAGUAUCCACUAAAUGGGUGAUCAAUCGAAAUAGAGAAUUAAAAUAAAUACAAUUAAGACAAAUUGCUGUAGCAAACACAUAGCAACACGUGUAUGUUAGUCAAACAUCCAUUAAGAUCGUUUAUCACCCAAUCACAAUCAAAUUCAGUUCAUGAUUUGAGAAAGAAAAAUAAAUAAAAGAGUUUCAGCCAUCAAAUAUAUCCCCAUGAAUAAAUAAAAGACAAGAAAAGAACAAGAAGGACUGAUUUUCAAUGGAUCUCUACGUUUUCUCGUCUAGUGCAGCCCUCAAUCUCUCUCUUGAAUUUUGUUUUUCUUUUGCUUCUUGGCAUUUUUUUCUCCUUUGGUGACGACUCUCUCUUUUCUUUGCAUGUGUGCUCAUUUUAUAGCUUAAAAUUAGGGCAACCAGAAGUCACUACAAGAAAUUUGACUUUUUAAGACGAUUUAUUUUACGAUGUUUGUAGACUUUGUCAUAAACUAGCACUAAUUGUGACAAUUUUUUAAAAUCGUAGCAAAUAAUUUCGUCCUGGCUCAUGUUAUUUUUUGUAACCAAUAAUAUUUGUUUUAGGACCUAUUAAUUGGUUACCUAAUCAAAUGUUUUGUCACAAAUAAAAAAUUAGUUCCAAAAGGGCGUGCUUUUUUUAAUGCAAAAUAUUCCCUCCAAAAUUGAUCAUUUUUUGACAAAAUAUCAUCUUUGGUGACAAAAAAAUACGGUAGCGAAAUAUAACUAUAGGUGACAUAAUUAUUUUGUAACUAAAAGAAGGAUGUAAAAUUGAUCAAACCAUUUGGGACAAAAAAUAUUAGUCUAUAAAGAUAAUAGCGUUUUGAAUAAUUUUAAGACCCUUUUCCGGUCAAUAAUAGGUACUACUGUAACAAAACUAGUAGUUUAAAAUUUUGUCUUGAAUAAUAUUGUAUUUCAUGACUUUUUUAUUUUUUUUAAGUGACAUAUUCUUUAUAAUUCUAUUAUAUUUUGUGAUCAGCAAAUAAUAAUUACGUUGGAUUUAUAAAAAAAAAUUAUUGUAUUGAAUAAAUAUUUAAAAAAAACUUCAAUAAAAACUAAAUCAUCUCACUUAAAUCAUUAAACAUAGCAAGCAGUCUCUGAAUGAAAUCGUGAAACACAAAUUAAUCCCCUCCCACCGAUUAGUGCACCAGUGCCAGCCAUUGUCCAUUGUCCUAAUACCGAAACAUUGAACUCUAAAAUCCCAAACCGAUUAAUCUUCAUCCCCGGUGAUGCAAUCACCAAAAGAUUCCAUGUCGACCCUGCCGAAAAUGACGAAAACGGUGACAGGAGAGAAGUCGUCGUUGAAAAAGCCGAGGGAUUUGUGGUGUUCUCUGGAGCUGCAAUGAGCAUCCUUAAAGCUUUAAACUGACACAACAAAAGCAGAAAUGAAGCAACUUAGCCUCAGCCACAGCCGAUCGCCGAGUCGACUCAGCCCACCCCACCUCCUCCUCAAUAGCCCAUCUUCGCGGUAUAUUUUUGCACUAAUUCAUUUAUUUUUUUCUUUGAAAAAAAUUCUUGGUAAUUUGUAGAAUCUUUUCUUUCUUUGGGUAAUAAUAGAAGCCAAACAUAUUUAUGGACAAAAGUGAGCCGGAGCCAGCAUCGUGUAGAAUAGUUGAGAUAUUGAGGGGAGAUACGCUUUGGGGAUUCUCUAUGAAGUGUGGGGUGUCAAUUGAUGCAAUCAAAGAGGCUAAUGGGCUCUCAGGUGACACCAUCUAUUAUUCUAUUAUUUGUAUAUUUUUAUGCUUAUCAAGUAUUUGACAAAAUUUCUAAGAGAAUUUAGUAAAAGAAAAAUAAAAAAUAUAUGCAAAUAAAUGAAGGAAAUUGGAAGCAAAGUUUAGUGGGUAUUGAGAAACUUUUGCAAAAUCAGAGCAUUAAGAUGAAUUUGCUUUUCAAUUUGGGUAGCAGGUUUAGGUGGGAUGACAUUAGUUUUUUUUUUUAUUAUUAUUAACUAGUCUUCUUCAUAAGAACUUAGAAAAUUGUAAUCUUUCUACUAUUGUUCACUUCAACUUAAUAUGUAACUAAUCAUCUUUCUUUAUUUUUUAAAAAAUAUUAUAGCUAGUAUCAAUAUAAUAAAAAGAGUUAUUCAAGGGAACCGAUAUAAUUAUAAGUUAGAGCUAUAGAAUAUUUAAGCUACAAAAUUUUAACUAUAAAAUAUUAGGUAGCUAUAAUGUAUUGGUUCGAAGGAUGGUGUUGAAGCUUGGGUUGCUACACUUUGCUCAAUAUGUUGUUGGAUUAGCUAGGAAGUGUACAUGAAGCGACAAAAUAAAGGUCAACAAGCCUUUUUUUUUUUUUUUCAAUGUGGUUGUGGUAUGUUUAAUCAAAAUUAAUGUAUUUAUCUAUAUGUUUAAUCAAAAUUAAUGUAUUGAUAUUCUUUUGUACUAGGAUAAAAAAAAGUAUGGAGAGUCUCUUGGAUUACUUUGUUUCAAAAGAUAUAUUGCAGUGAGUGAAAAAGAUUGAAGUAGUCUCUAUACAUAAUCUAAAUGUGUGAGCUAUUUUAUUUUAUUUUUCUUACUUAAUCUCUUAUUUCUUUCAACUUUAUAUUUACUGUAAAUGUUGAUCCAUUGACUGCUUAAUAAUUUAAUUUAGGUUUUUUACACCAACUAUUUAAUAGAUUAACUUAAGAGUUUCGGAUGCAAAAUUUGUGCAAGUGAAUCGAGGUUGAUUGUGUGCGUACUUGUAAUCUUUUGAUUAUUUUGUUAUUCUGAAUAAUGAAAGCAAGUAUGUGCUUGUAAUCUCCUAGUCUUUCAUCUAGAAUUUUUUUUUUCCAUAUAAUUUUUUUGAAUGAAAGAAUUGAUUGUGGAUAUGUUUCAUUGAGAAAUUUAAUUAAUGUUGCGUUCUAACCUAAAUAUUUUUAUUUAUAGCUAUUUGCCUUGCUAUUUACUAUUCUUUUAUGCAUUGGCAAUAAGAUUUUCUUUUAUAAGAUUAUUCUUCUACCAUCAAUUAAGUGUUUUCUCAAUUUUUUUAUUAUUAAUAAUUAUUUUUUUAAUCCUGUAGGGCCAAAUGAAAUGAUAGAUGGAGCAAAAUGAUGUACCAAUAUCAGAUGAUCAAAGUCAUCAUCAACUACAACAUUGUCUCAGCAAUCAAGGAUAAAAAUUAAAAUCAAGUAACAAGAUAGCAAAUUUAAGGAAGUUGAAGCAUUCAUGAAACAACAACCUUUGUUUACUUAAUUCUCCUUUUGUAAUGUUACUUUAAUUUUUCUUCUACAAUGUAAUCUUAUUUUUAGACUAUUGAUCUUUUUACUUUUUAGAUUUUAGAUUUCUUUGUGAUAAAUUAUAUUUAUGUUAAUAAUAUUUUUUAUAUUAAAAUUUUUUAUCAUUAAAUUUUGAAUUCUAUGACCACAUAUUGUUAUUAAAAAUUAUGUGAGACUAUAUAAAUUGUUCUAAAAACAAAUUCGAGACUAAAUUAAUUACCAAUUGUAUUUGCAAAAAUUGUUACAAAUUACAACUACUUGAGACAAUUAUGUAACGUCGCGAUAUGUAAGCUUUUACAUAUUCGUGAGACAAAUAUUAUAGUCACUAUAAAUCACCUAUUAUGACAGAUAUAAAGUGUCAUUGAUUGCGUUUUUUAAUAAUAUCUAAUUUGACCAUUUCGAAUAUCACGUGUGACAAUUUUAACUUAAUUUUAAGAUAAUGAUUUUUGUUGUAAAAACAUAUUUUUAACAACCAAAAUAAUUUUGGUAGCUAGAACCUUUUAAGACGCUCUUUCUGUGACUAACGUGUGACAAUUUAUUUUUCAUCAUGAAAAAUAUAAGGUAACUAAUCGAUUAUCUUUAGUGACUAAAUUUUUUGUAAUAAAAUAUCAUUUCUUGUAGUAAGUCUAGGACACAUAUCUUUCAUUUUAGGAAACUCCAGACCGUAAUCUUCUAUGUAUCUCACGUGAAACCUUCUUUGUCAAUUCUCCAGGAGUGCUACAACAAUGGUGAUAUAGCAACAGUGCUACAGCAAUGGCUUUAGCACCUACACUACUCCAGACUUGUUUCAAUUCUUCUAUAAUCAUAUUUUUUCCUUAUCUUUGCAAGCCUAUUGCAGCAGCAUUCCUCCCUUAAAAUUUGAGAUUCCGAUCACCUACAAUUAUGCACACAAUCUAAAUAAAUAAAUUAUUCCAAAACAACACAAUUUAUCAAAAAUAAGGUAAAAACGGAUAUUCAUGCAAAAUAUAACUAAAAUACAAUUAAAACAUGUCAAAAUUUCAUCAAUUUCCUUAUAUCAUACCAUUUCACAGAUAUGAACAUCUUUAUUCUUUACAUUGUAUAAAUGAAAUUAUUAUUUAUGCGUACUGACGGUACAGAUGUUAUGACAUGAAUAAACCCACAAUUUCUCUCUUUUAGCUUAAAUGGAGAUCAUAAUACCCACAAAAUUACGAAAAUGACUCUUUAUCUGAUCUUUUGAUUUUUCAUAAUUCCAUCCCUAUCAACAUUCUUGGUAUUAUCAGAUAUUUUCAAAUAAGUUCAAUCUUAAAUGUUUUUAUUCCACAAAUAAUGUGCAACUGUCUAUGCACUAGUCUUUCUUAAGACUAGCAUUGAAUCAAUGCAUAAAAUGAUUGAUAUUGAAAGAGUUGUCUUUGGCAGACUAUGUUCUGCCGUAGGUCCAUUUCCACAUUUCUUUGAAAAUAGGAAACAUUUAAGUUCAUUCAACCCAAAAACUACUUUAUUAUAAAAAUGCUACUGUAAUUUAAAUUUUUUCGAUUUUAUCCCAUUAUUUAUAAUGUGUAUCAAUCAUUUAUUAAAAAGAUAGAACUACCUUUACAAAAUGACCACCACUAUAAUUUUUAUUUACUUUUAUUUUAUUAUUUUGCAAGGAAAAUUUUAUCUUUUUUAUGGAUGGUUGAUAAAAAUUUCAUAUAUUGAGUGUAAAAUCAAACAAAUUAACAUAAUAAACUUCAGUGAACAGUUAAUAAUAUUCCUCAAAACUAUUUUUAAUAACAAAAUAAACUUCAAUUUCAAUUUCUAAUCUUUGGCCAAAGGCUAAAAGGAAAACAAAUCCUUUUUUACUUAUGGGGUUUGAUGCAAUAGUCAUUUCAUCGUUGCUUUUAAACAAUAACACAUUCCAUCCCUACUUUUAAAUGAUAACCCAAACUACCCUUCUAUGAAUUUACAGUUAGUUUAUUGUAUAAUUCAUUGAGGGUAAAAUAUGAUUUUCAAUUAAAUAGAUACAAACCAUUUGAAAAUAAAAAUAUCAAGCACAAUUACAUAACAUUUAACUUUCUGUAUAAAUUUAAAAUUUAAAGAUAACUUAAUAAAACAAAAAUAACACUAAAGAAUAUGAAAUACAUAAGUGUUUGUUGUGUUGACUAAAUUUUUUUAAUUCAGUCAACUUAAUUUUUUAGUGAAUAAUAAUAANNNNNNNNNNNNNNNNNNNNNNNNNNNNNNNNNNNNNNNNNNNNNNNNNNNNNNNNNNNNNNNNNNNNNNNNNNNNNNNNNNNNNNNNNNNNNNNNNNNNNNNNNNNNNNNNNNNNNNNNNNNNNNNNNNNNNNNNNNNNNNNNNNNNNNNNNNNNNNNNNNNNNNNNNNNNNNNNNNNNNNNNNNNNNNNNNNNNNNNNNNNNNNNNNNNNNNNNNNNNNNNNNNNNNNNNNNNNNNNNNNNNNNNNNNNNNNNNNNNNNCUAACGCAAGAAUCAUGCUGCAUACGCACACGAGAUGGCAAAACCUAACAAAAAACAAUGAAUUUAUUUUUGAGGUGCAGGGUGUCUCACUAAAUCGGGGUGUGCAUGGUCUGUUUUACGCUUUUUUGAAGAUAAAAGGAGAGUUAGAGAGGAAUGGUUGUGGCGAGAGAUCAGAUCUGGAGUGAGAGAGCUUGAAAGAAUGCCUUAAACCUACAACACAAUAAAAAGGAGGUUAGAGGUGGAGCCGCUGGUAGCUGGCAACCACACUCCACCACUCAAGUUAGGUUUUAGGACUAUUAAUGGUAUUAAGAGGUUGCAAACUCUCUAAAAGGCUGGGUAGAGGUUGAAGGAGACCUCAGCCUAUUUAGUAGAGUUUGUGUUUUAUUAGGGACGAGAAAUGUAGAACCUUGGUAUCUUUGUAUAUGGAGUACCUUGACUGCUCUACCACGUGGUGCAUUUCUAAUGGCGAUUUUGCUGUUCUUUCCAAGAUUUUUUUGUCUUUUUACCUUUAUCAUGAUUAGGCGGUUGGAAACAUGUUUGAGAAGCAAGAAAGAUGUUAUUGGCAGGUUUUUUCUCUUGUACACGUGAUGCAUGUUGCAAAUACCUUUAAAAAUGUUGUUUUGGCAGUUUUUUAGCAUGGCAUCUGAGGAUCACUAUUCUUAGCAUGCUAUUUCUUACUUUUUGCAGGUGUGAUAGCAUGUUAUCCCCUCUUUUCUAGCAAGAUAUUUCAUAUUUGAUUCUGCAAAAUCAAAUAUUCUCUUUAAGCGAUGGAGAUAUUUCAUACAUGUGACAUUUUAUGUAUUUUAUCUAGUCUUUAAUACGACGUACAUAUCUAGCAGAUGUUAUAUAAUUGUGUUUGAGAAUUUUAUUUUAGAAUGGAUUGUAUCUUUUUAUUGAAAAUUUUUUAUUUUAUUUUCAGUGAAUUAUACAGUAAAUUAAUGAUAAAUUAAAAAAAUAUUUUAGACAAUUGUUUAAAAAAUAAUAAAAUAUGUUAUUAUUUAAAUAAUAAGAAUCAAAUAGAUUAUUUCCUCAAACCAUAUGGGUUCUCACGGCUAAACUAAUCGAAGUUAAAAAACGGGUCACCCCCAAACGAAUACCUUCGCACGGAGGUCACCCAGUGGGGCAAUGCGCAAAUUGGAUUGGUGAGAAACUGAGAUUCUCGUUGCUUCUUUCCAAAUUCAAAAUUUCAAACGGAUGCUAAAUUGUUGAAUAAGACACCAAAUUCUAUUUCCACGUAUGUUGUUGUAAUGUUAUUAUGUCUUUGCUGCGGACCUGUCUAUGGUACAGAUUCUGUAACAAACAUCUCCCAUCAUCCCACCAUCCGAUCUUCGAUUGUUUUGUUUCUCACUCCACAUCCAACCACAUCCAACGGCUGAUGCUGCAGUCUGUAGCUUACAGAUUCUGUAAGCUAGCCAAGUCCCUUUGCUGCAUGUGUCACACUCUCACAUCUGUAAAAGAAUAAUAAUAAAUAAAUAAUAUGAGACAACGGAUGGUAAUAUUAUAACAUGCCACCUCAGGUAUGUACCUCAGAAAUAUAUUUUAAAAAUAAAAAUAUAUAGAAAACCCUUUAAUUUAGGUUAAUUUAAAAUGUAUAAGGAAUAUUUCAAAUUUGAUAAAAGGUUUAAAAUGUAUAAGAAAUAUUAAUGUUGAUGUGCGUAUAAAAUUUUUAAAAUUAACAUGAAGUUUCACUUAAUUAGUAAUUAAUUUUAAACACUUAAAAAUUAACAUGAAAUUUCACUUUAAGUAGUAAUUAAAUUUUUAAAUCACUUAAGUAGUAAUUAAAUUUUUAAACACUUUAUUUGAGAAUAAAAUCAUAAAUAAAAAUUAAUGAAUUGCACUUGAUAGUCUCAACUUACCCGAGCAGUUCGGCAUUCAUUUGAAAUUGUUAAUAUAUUGUGGACUUCAUUGUAAUCUCCAAGUUAUGGAAGUGACUAACGUAACGUUUGUUUUUUUGUUUGAAAUCUAAAUAAACUUGAAUUAGUCAGCAUUUUAAAUAGUGUUGAAUCUAAAUCAUUUUUUUUAAUCAUUAAAAAUAAGUAUUAAUUUAUUCUUUCUUUUAACUUAAAAUAUCGAAAAUCAGUAUUUCUACAUUUGUACUCAUAGAAAUUAAAAAUGUUAAAUAAUAAAUAUCUCAAAGAAAAUAAAUAAAAUAAUAUGUUAUCAUAUUGCGAUCUUAAUAAAAGAUUUACUUUCUCUAUCUAUUGGUGUAGGUUAAUGCCCGAACCACGUUAAUUCUCUGUGUUUUUCUUAUUAUAUAACCUUACCUAAACUAGUUCUCUAGUUGACCGCAUUUCUACAUCCAACAAUUCUUGUAAUGUAUAGGCAGCUGAAAGAUUUUUUUUGCGUUUUAAAACCUUUCUGACUGUACAUCGGCAUUUUUUUUUUUAUGCAUACCAGGAUUUGUGACGGCUAUACGGCCAAUCUCCGAUGCAAAUAAUAAUAAUAACAAUAAUAAUAAUAAUAAACGACGUCUAUUUCCACCGCAUAUGACUAUUACGCCAACGUUAUGGAAGUUCCUCACAAAUUUACGAAAAUGACCCUUUAUCUGAUAUUUUGAUAUUUUGUAAUUCUAUCCUCAUCAACAUUUUUAUAUUAAUUAAAAUUUUUUAACGAACAUCAGUUGUAAGGUCCACAUCACAAUGACACAUCGUUAGAUAUGUGACUGCACGCACUAAAUCAAGAUUUAUAUUUUUAAUUAAGUUCAGUCUUAUUACAAAUGCACAAUUAUAUGUCUGCUAGUCUUUUUAUGUUUGCGUACUAGAGUAAGUGUAGGAUUAGACUAAUUUUCUAGAAAAAAUAUUUAUUCCAUGUUUGACGUGCUCACUUAAAUUUGAUUAAGAGGAUUAAAUUUAAAUUUACUUUUACAAUCAUACGAUUAGUUAUCAUAAUUUUCACAUGGAUUUAAGGAAAAUUAGAGUAAGCAAUGUUUGUCCCUUUAUGACAAUCUGUUUGUUCAUUAAUGAGUUGUUAUCUAUUUAAUUAAUUAUUUAUUUUUAUUCAUGAUUUUUUAAAAAUUAAGUAUUUAUUUUUUAUUCUACCCAUGUCAUCUUUUAUCAUUUAUUUAUUUAAUGUUAAAAUAAUUUGUUAAAAGUAAUGCAUUAACAAAAUUACUUUUUAGAAACAUGCCAUUUAUCAUUUGAUUAUUAUACAAAUAUUUUUAAAAUAUUUGAUAAAUAAUUAAUUUUAUAUUUAACUAUUUUAGUUAUAUUUUAUUUAAUAGGCAAUAAUAUGCAUCAUAUAUAAAAGCAUAUAAUUUUCAUAAUUUUAGUUCUUCUUGUUAAAAACCAUUUAAUUUCACUUAAAUUUAAUUUAACAUAGUGUAAUUAAAUAUUAUACUAAAUAUAAGAUUGUACUACAUAUAAAAAAUACAAUGUAAUCUAAUUCAAUUUAAUCUAAUUGAAUUUUAAGUGUUAAUUCAAUUUAAUCAUGCUUACUAAACGUAGUCUAACCUAUAACUAAAUCAUACAGUAUAUGAUUGAUUGAUAAUGAAAGAGUAAUCGCUGGCAGACUUAUGUUGUGGCUUGAGUCCAUUUCUUUGAAAAUAUUACAUCCAAUUUGGCCCUGCCAAUCGAACAGAUAGUUCAAAUUGACAAAAUGUCAAAAUCAAUUCAAUUGCGUGCAAGCAGGUGUUGGCUUUCACUUUGAAUUUUUUCAAUUUCUAAUUUUUGGCAAAAGGCUAAACUAAUAAAAAUCAUAAAGCUGGUCAAUCCCGCAACCAAACACGAGGUGCAUUUGAGUUUGAUUUAUCACUCCUCUUAGGGGUGGCAAAAUGAAUAAACGAAUCGAAUUUGAAUCGAAUCGUAAACGAAUUGGGUCAAGAUUCUAUGGAUUCGGAUUCGAUUCGUUUAUUAAACGAAUUGAAAUUUCAGGAUUCGGAUUCGAUUCGUUUAUUAAACGAAUAUUCGGUUCGAUUCGUUUAAUUCGUUUAAUAGAAUUGAUAAAUGAAUCGAAUCGAAUCCGGAUUCGUUUAUUAUUCGUUUAUCCUUAACGAAUCGAACCGAAUCGAAUCAGGAUUCGUUACAAUUCGUUUAGAAAAAUAUAAUUAAUAAACAAAAUUAAGUAAAAUAAAAUAUAAAAAAAUUACAAAUUUAGCAUCCCAGAACAAAAUACAAAUAACUCAAACCAUAUUAUACAGCCAUCCAACUACCAAAUUAUAAAUCCCUAAUAAUACAAAUAACAAUAAUUAAAAUUCAAAUUAUAAAGUAAAGUAAUUUCUUUAAUUCUCUUCAUUUGUCUUUUUCACCUUGAAAACAAAAAUCCUACACCAAAAAUAAAUAAACGAAAUAAUUCAAAUUAAUUGAAGAAUAAAAGAUCAUAUAUAUAUUAAAAUUAAUUAAUUAAUUAAUUUAUUUAUUUAUUUUUAAUUUUUUAACAGUGAUAUAAUUGAAGAAUAUGAGCAAGAAAUAAAAAAGCUUGCACUAAUAUAUAUAUAUAUAUAUAUAUAUAUUUAAAAAAUAUUUAACAAUGACAUAAUUGAAGGAUAUGAGCAAAAAAUAAAAAAGCUAACAGCCUAGCACUAAUGGACUCUUUGAAAUCGUCUUGAUGGAAAAAGCUAAAAGCAUACAUAGUUUACAACAUAUCUUUCGAAAUGAAAAAGCUAGCACUUGGAUGCAAAAAUAAUAAAAAAGGGAAAAAUAAGUGGAGCUUACUUUGGUGGUGACUGCUGCUGGUUAAGUGACGUUGAUAAACUGUGAAAUCAACCCUGAAUUGCUAAGAGAUGAAGGUAAAGAGAUGUGAAAUGUAAGAAUUAAGAUUAGGGCCGGCUGCUUUGAUUGCUUUGACUUUGCUUUAGUUUAAAAUUACAAUAUUAACCUCUAAAUUUUAAAAAGUUUUCAAAUAAAUUUAGGGAUACAAAAGUAAUUUAAUUAAUCGAAUAAUAAACGAAUUGAUCUGUAUUCGAUUCGUUUAUAACCCAUUUAUUAAACGAAUCCUAAACGAAUAAACGAAUCAAAAUCUUUAAACCCGCAUUUGAUUCGUUUAAUUAGCGAAUCGAAUCGAAUUCACACAUUUAUUAAACGAAUCAAUUUUUUCAAACCCAAACCCAUUUAAUUCGCAUCGAAUCGAAUCGAAUAAACGAAUCAUGACCCAUAUUGCCACCCCUCUCCUCUACGGAGUUAUUACACGUCACUCUUAUUACACGUCACUUUGUGGGAUUAGAGGAAAAGGUUAAAGUUUGCUUACAUAAUCAUAUAGACCUCCUUAAUUUUUUAAAUUGUUACAAUUCUUAAUUUUAUAAACAGUUACACAAGUCUUUUUUUAACCAUUUAUACCCUUGAUUAUAACUAUUCAAUAUUCACUUUAAAUAAACUUUUAAUCCAACAAUUCAAUAUUCAUUUUAAAUAAACUUUCAUAAUAAAUAUAAAUUAAAAUGCAAAAAAAUAUAAUGUAUAAAUUAAGAUAAAAUGUGUAAACUAUUUGGAAUAUUAGAAAAGUUAUUUUAACAUCAUUAAUCUAUCAUAUUCUUUUAAUAAUAAUAAAAUCUAUUUGACAUAUUAAUAAUGUUAAAAUAACUAUACCUAAUAUUCAUAGUAAUUUAUAAAUUUUAUAUUAUUCUAUUUACUAUGUCUUUUUUAAUUAUGUCUAUCAGUAUAAUAUAUUAAAGUCAAUUUUUGGAUUAAUAUAUUUUAGUAUUAAUAAAUUCCAUCAGGAUAGUCUAAUAAAAACUUAAUAUUUAAGAUAAUUUCAUUAUAUAGUCAAUUUUAUUAAAUACACUUAUUGUAAUAUUUUAUUUAUAUCAUAUGAUAUAUAUUUAUUAUUUUUAUCUUAUUGCUGUAUUUAUAUUUAUUCGGGUUGUUAUAAUCCAAGGGUAAUGAAACGAAAGGGGGUUUAUGUGACCACUUAACAAAACUUUAGGGUUGUGGGUGGCCUUUUCCCGUUCGAUUAUGCAGGAAACUAAGAUUCUGGUUACUUUUUUCCAAAUUAUGAAUUUCAAAUUCAAAUGCAUGUUGAAUUGCUGAAUAAGAUAUAAGUAAGGCAAAAUUUCCCGAUAGUAAUAAUCUAUAUAGAAUUAAUUUUUCGUUAAUAAUAAAAAAAUUUGGUUUCAAUUUGGGCCAAUUAUAAAUAAGAAUAAACUCCAUAUUGUAAUAAAUUAUAGUUUUUUAAUCCGAUUUUAAGAAUUUUUAGAUCCCAUUUUAAGAAACUUGCCUCCAUAUAGUAAUAAUUAUUAAUGUAGUGUAAAAAUAUAUGUUAUGUUAUAUUAAAGGAACUUACGUCCAGAUAGUACAAUUACACAAUGAGAGAUAAUUAAUGAAGAGAAUGCAAAUAAUUAGAGAUUUUUAAGAUGACUUUAAUAUUCCUAAUAAUAGUGCAUAGAUACACUGUACUAAUUUUUUGAUAUAUUGGGAUUUGAUAUACUCCAUUAAUAAAUUAUUAAUGUAUUACAUACUUUACCUCUAUAUUCUUACACUAAGAAUAACUAAGUAAAAACAAUAAUUUUCGUAACUACUCAUCUAUUAAGUUAUAAUCACUUCAUUGCAAUAAACUAAUUUCGUCCUAAUAUUAUAACUAUAGAGAGAUAUUGCUAUUUUGAGAUUGAUUGAUAGAGCACACCAGCCUUGUCAACAAAAUUUCGUUAAAGUCCCUAUAUGGUACCAUUUCACACACAUCAAUAAUUUUACAUUGUAAAAAUAUGGAGCCAUUACUCAUGUAAAGAUUGUCAAUUUUCAGCCCAGACCAUUAUUGGCCAUCUAUUUUAUUAUUUUAUUAUUUUAUUAUUGUUUUUAUAAUAACCUCUAAGCCAAUUUUUGGUGGGCUCAAAAAUCAAAUAGCCCCACCAUUAUUAAAUUAACUUAAAAUCGUUUCCGUAGAAAGUAGAGUAUUAUUGAAAUUGAUUAUGCGAAAGAUAUUUACGUGGCCCACUAUCAAAUAGAUGGAAAUAAAGUUAACGUUAUCUGCAAGAGUGUAUUGGCAUUGUUCAUAAAAAUUACAAUUCAUUAUAAAUAGCAAUGCCAUUGAUAACAUUCUUUCACAUUUUCUUUAUUACUGCAUGUAGCAAUGAAACCGAACAUGAGCGGUGUCCUUGGUUUUGCCUUAUUUCUCUUUGAAAUACUUGCCAUAGCAACCAUUAGCAUUAGCUUCUGCAACGGAAGUUCUUAUCACGGGGGUUGCCUUGAAAGUGAGAGAGGAGCACUUUUAAGGCUCAAGCGAGAUCUUAAAGAUCCUUCUAACAGGCUUGCUUCUUGGACUGGCAGCGGAGAUUGUUGAGCAUGGACUGGUGUUGUCUGUGACAACAUGACCGGCCAUAUCCUUCACCUCGACCUUCGAAAUCCUUUCAAUUAUUACAAGGAGUCUGAAUAUGACGCUAUUCGGGGGACAGCGCUUGUUGGUAAGAUAAAUCCUUCUUUGCUUGAUUUAAAGCAUUUGAGUUACCUGGACUUGAGUUUCAAUGAUUUUCAAGGUGAUCGAAUUCCUAGAUUUGUUGGGUCCAUGGGAAAUCUACGGUAUCUCAAUUUUUCUGGAACUCGAAUCGGCAGAAUGAUACCUCAACAACUUGGAAAUCUCUCCAAUCUGCAGUUUCUUGACCUUAGUUCUAAUUAUUUAUUAUACGUUGACAAUUUUUUUGACAAUUAUUUAUCUAUUAUUUCUCUCCUGGAACACCUCGAUUUGCGUUCUGUGAAUCUUAGCAAAGCCUUUGAUUGGCUGAUGGUAUGAUAAGCCCAGACGUUCAGCAAGUUAUAAAACACAUUUAUCUUGGUCAUUCUCACCAAAAGUCGAACAAAUCUAAUUUCUUUAAAUCAUUGUAGCUUGCUCAUGACUUGGACCUAUCAAAUUGGUAUCAGAGCAAGGCUCAACAAUGUCGACAAACAAAGAACGUAUUGAACGUGUGGAAGCUGAAAUUGGAGGCUUACAAGACAAAAUGAAUCAGAUGGAGUUGGGACUCACGGACAAGCUGCACCACCUUGAAGAAGCAUUUAGCAAGUUGGCAGACUCAAUUAACACCUCAAGAGGAACAGCAAGUCAGCAAGAGAAUGUUGGAUCAUCAAGACCGAGCAGAGAAGAGAGUGAGAGAAAUCGUCAACAACUUCCCCCUCGUGUGGCCAAGCUAGAAUUCCCACGCUAUGCAGGAGAUGACCCGACGGAAUGGUUCAAUAGAGUGUCACAAUUCUUCAAGUAUCAGGAGAUGACGGAUGACUAAAAAGUGGCGUUGGCCUCUUCCCAUCUUGAAGGUGAAGUCUUCCCAUCUUGAAGGUGAAGCCAAUCAAUGGUGGCAGUGGCUACGAAGGGCAUAUGGAGAAGAGAAACGCAUUGUUACUUGUUAAAUUUUCACGGAGGAACUAUGGGCUCGAUUUGGUCCAAUAGAGUGCCAAGACUUUGACGAAGCACUAUCACAUGUAAAGCAAACAGGCACUUUGCGGGACUACCAGAAGGAGUUUGAAAGAUUAGGGAACCGGGUACAUGGAUGGACACAAAAAGCCUUGGUAGGUGCCUUUAUGAGAGGGCUCAAGUCGGAAAUAUCGAAGGAAAUUCGAAUUUUCAGGCCACGGAUGUUGAAAGAGGCGAUUAGUUUGGCAAGCAUGCGAGAUGAACAACUAUCACGUCAAAAGAAAAUAUCAAGGCCAGCGUUUAUUAAUCGACCUUCGUUCACACAACCUGCCAACAACAAAGCCAUUCCUACUGUGCCUGUAAAGAAAUUAAGUUGGGAUGAAAUGCAGCGCCGGCGAGCGCAAGGGCUUUGCUUCAAUUGUAACGACAAGUUUACUGCUGGUCACAAAUGCACGAGGGCACAACUUCUAAUCAUGGACAAUGAAGUAGAGAUGGAUGAAAAUACUAAUGAGGAGGCUACUAGAGGAGUAAAAUAAACAGAUCUAGAUGAGAGUAAAGAUCUCCAAAUUACUUACUAUGCACUCACGGGUUGGGCAGCCCCUCAAACAAUGCGUGUGUUGGUAAAGAUUGGCUCAUACGAAAUCAUGGUUUUAAUCGACAUCGGAUCCACCCAUAACUUCAUCAACACUCGGUUGGCUAAUCAAUUUCAAUUACCGAUCAAACACACAGCAGCAUUUUCGGUUCGAGUUGCGAACGGCGAGAAACUAAUGUGCCAAGGCAAAUUCGAGAAGGUACAAAUUGUCAUUCAAAACGUUCCUUUCUCACUUACUGUCUACUCGUUGCCUAUCAUAGGUUUAGAUAUGGUCUUGGGCAUUCAAUGGCUCAAAUUGUUGGGUGCUGUAGUGUGCAAUUGGAAGACCCUCACCAUGGAGUUCGAUUGGGGUAAUCAGAGGCGACAUUUGGAAGGUAUCAGUCCACAGUCCUUGCAAACGGCUUCUCUGACAGAAAUUUCCAAGGAGAUUCGGCAAGGCAAUGAAGCAUUUCCAAUUUGUUUACACACCAAAUUGGAAAAAGCUCUGCGCGCAGUACCAGCAGAUAUGCAACAAUUAUUGAAAGAUUAUGAAGAAAUAUUCCAGGAACCUACAAAGCUACCACCAUCACGAGGAAUUGAUCAUUGUAUUCCACUUAAAAAAGGGACGGAGCCUGUCAAUGUUCGUCCAUACUGCUAUGCUUAUUUUCAGAAAGCAGAAAUUGAGAAACAAUUGAAGAGAUGCUGCGAUCGGGGUUGAUAAGAUCUAACACCAGUUCGUUUUCUUCUCCGGUGCUGCUGGUCAAAAAGACAGACGGUAGCUGGUGAUGUUAGGUCCCAGUCAGAAUUAGCGGAAACAACAAGCGAAUAAUUUGUUCUUCUUAGGGUGAGAACUACCGCAAUUGCUAAUCGAAUUAGAUAAAAGUCUGAUAUUUUUUUAUUGAAAUAUUCAAGUCUAUUUAUAGAACAAAAUUAAUGAAAUAAAGUAGUUAAAAUCAAUUAAACCACUUAGCUAUAAUUUCGAAGUAAAUAAUAAUCUUAAAGGAAACAUGAUUAAAUUUGAAUUCUUCAUCAAUACGGCUUGACGUAGUAAGCUUUCCGUUGAUUUUUUGAAGAGUCCUUGAAGGAACGUGAUGCCCACCUCAUGCAUGGUUACUUGCAUGUGCCCAUGCAUUUUCGUUAUUGGCUUGCAUGUGCCCAUGCAUAUUCGUCAUAUUUGCUGUUGGGUUUUGCUUCUCGUUGGGACUUGCGUAUGCUCUUAUCAUCACCCCCUCCUCGAAGAGAACCCUUGUCCCCAAGGGUUAGUGAAGGAAACCGCUGAUGGAUCAUUGAUGUGUCUUCCCCUGUUUCACUCUCAAGUUCUGUCGUUGCUGCAGAUUCUUCAUGUAUGUUCUCUUUGUCUUCGGCUUCAAGGAUUAACAACUGUGCUUUUGUGCACUUAUGACCUACAGUGAAUUUAUCAUUACAAUUAAAGCACAGGCCAUGAGCUCUUCGCCUUUGCAUCUCCUCCCCAGAAAGCGUUUUAAUUGGUACUGUUGGUGAAGCGCAAUUGUUGAAGAUUUGUGGUGGCGGUGAACGGCUGAAAAUCGGUGAUCUCACUAGCCUCUUCUGUCACUGCAAUUGUUCAUCUCUCAUUCUUGCCAAACUGAUCGCUUCCUUAAGUGAUCUCGGUCUGAACAACCGAAUUUCCUCAGAUAUCUCGGGUUGCAAUCCUCCCAUGAAUGUGCCGACAAGAGCCUUUUGAGUCCACCCUUGAACCCGGUUGCCAAGCCUCUCAAAUUCUUUCUGGUAAUCUCGAAGAGUGCCGGUUUGCUUGACCCUAGAUAGCGCCUCGUCGAAGUCCUCGCAAUCGGUUGGCCCAAACCUCGCCCAUAGCUCCUUCAUGAAGAUUUCCCAAGUAACGUCUCGUCCUUCCUCUUGAUAAGAUUUCCUAAGCCACUGCCACCAUUGGUUAGCUUCUCCCUCCAAGUGGAAUGAAGCCAAGACAACUUUUUGGUCUUCUGUUGACCCUUGGUAUUCGAAGAAUUGAUCGACGCGGUUGAACCACUCGGUGGGGUCGUUGCCGGCAUAACGUGGGAACUCCAGUUUUGCCACUCUUGAUUGAAACUGCUGUCGUCUGCCAUCCUUGUCUUCUCGGUUUGGUCGCGAUGUUGCUAUGUUGUUGUUGAUGCUAGGUGCGUCUUUGGAUGUAUGGAAAGACUCUGCAAGUUUACUCAAGGUUUCUUCAAUGUGAGCCAACUUGUCGUUAACUCCUAACUCCAUGCGCUGCAUCUUAUCUUGCAUCUCCCCGAGCUCCGUUUCUAUCCGUUCGAUGCGUUCCUUGUUGGUUGUCAUCCUUGCCUAGCUCUGAUACCAAUGUUAGGUCCCAGUCAGAAUUAGCGGAAACAACAAGCGAAUAAUUUGUUCUUCUUAGGGUGAGAACUACCGCAAUUGCUAAUCGAAUUAGAUAAAAGUCUGAUACUUUUUUAUUGAAAUAUUCAAGUCUAUUUAUAGAACAAAAUUAAUGAAAUAAAGUAGUUAAAAUCAAUUAAACCACUUAGCUAUAAUUUCGAAGUAAAUAAUAAUCUUAAAGGAAACAUGAUUAAAUCUGAAUUCUUCAUCAAUACGGCUUGACGUAGUAAGCUUUCCAUUGAUUUUUUUGAAGAGUCCUUGAAGGAACGUGAUGCCCACCUCAUGCAUGGUUACUUGCAUGUGCCCAUGCAUUUUCGUUAUUGGCUUGCAUGGUUGCUUGCAUGUGCCCAUGCAUAUUCGUCAUAUUUGCUGUUGGGUUUUGCUUCUCGUUGGGACUUGCGUAUGCUCUUAUCAGUGGUUUUGUACCGACUACCAAACUCUCAAUGAAGUAACCAUAUAAGACCGAUUUCUUAUACCCACUGUUGAGGAUAUGCUCAAUGAACUACAUGGUGCCGCUUACUUCACAAAGCUCGAUUUAAGAGCCGGAUACCACCAACUUCGAGUUAACCCGCCUGACAUCCACAAGACAGCCUUUCGCACACACAAUGGGCACUACGAAUACCUGGUGAACUCUAUCUUUCGGCUUUAUCUCAGAAAAUUCAUUCUUGUAUUCUUUGAUGAUAUACUAAUAUACAGUGCAUCAUGGAGUAGCCACCUUGAACAUGUCAAACAGGCGUUGGAGGUCCUAAAGCAGCAACAAUUUUUUAUUAAAAUCAGCAAGUGCAAUUUUGGCCAACAGGAGAUGGAGUACUUAGGCCACAUCGUUACUUGCGAUGGCAUGAAAGUGGAUGAAAGGAAAGUUGGUGCUAUGGUGUCAUGGCCACAACCACAAAACAUCAUAGAACUAAGAGGUUUCCUCGGCCUCACAGGCUACUACCGCAAAUUUGUAAAAGGGUAUGGUGUUUUAGCUCGACCUCUCACUAAUGUUCUAAAAAAGGGACAAUUUUGCUGGAAUUCAGAAGCGGAUGAGGCAUUUAAGAAUCUGAAACAGGCCAUGACACAAACACCCAUACUACCUAUGCCGAAUUUCAAAGAUACAUUUUUAAUUGAAGCGGAUGCUUCCGGUGAAAGCAUUGGCGCAAUUUUACAGCAAAAAAGGAGACCUAUUGCAUUCCUAAGCCAUGCCCUUGGGGUCUCGAAACAGUCUUGGUCAAUUUACACAAAGGAGAUGCUCGCCAUCCUUGAAGCAAUUCGGGCAUGGAGACCUUAUUUAUUGGGGUAGAAAUUUAUCAUCCAAACCGAUCAACGUAGCUUGAAGUACUUAUUGGAACAGAAAAUAGCCACACCCGAACAGCAAAAGUGGUUGGCUAAACUGAUGGGUUACAAAUAUGUGAUUCAGUAUCGCCCCGGACGGGAAAAUACUGCUGCAGAUACCCUAUCACGGCAACCCGACAGCCCAACUCUUCAUCACUUAUUUGUGCCGCAAAUGGCCUUAUGGGAUGAAAUCAAAGCAGCAGCGGUGGAUGAUGAGUACAUGAAGAAAAUUACACAGGCGGCCCAUAAUCAAGUUGCUGGCCCAUACUUGUCACGUAAAGACUUGAUUGUUUUUUUAAAGGAAGAGUUGUAGUUCCUGUCAAAUUGCGUGAAGCAUUAAUAUUUGAGGCACACGACACCAAGGUGGGGGGACAUUCCGGAGUCCUACGAACAUACAAGUGCCUAGCUCAACAAUUUUAUUGGCCUUCUAUGUUUAAUUUGGUUCAAGAAUAUGUAAGCAGAUGUGAGACUUGUCAACGGGUAAAAGCUACAACUCUGAAACCUGCUAGACUUUUGCAGCCGUUACCCAUUCCUCACCAAUUAUGGGAUGAUAUUUCAAUUGAUUUUAUUGAAGGCCUACCAAGUUCACAAGGCAAGGAUGCGAUUAUGGUGGUAGUUGAUCGAUUAAGCAAGUCAGCCCAUUUCAUGUCAUUAACACAUCCGUUCACGGCCAAAACUGUGGCAGAAAAAUUCAUUGACGGAGUAGUUAAGUUGUACGGUAUGCCUAAAUCCAUACUCAGUGAUCGGGAUCCAAUUUUUGUGAGUAAAUUUUGGCAAGAAUUCUUUACCUCUUCGGGCAAGCACUUGAAGAUGAGUUCGGCGUAUCACCCUUAAAUCGACGGCCAAAUCGAAGUAGUCAAUCGAUGCUUGGAGCAAUACUUGAGAUGUUUUGCCCACCAAUGGCCGCGAAAGUGGAAUUCUUACUUAGCAUGGGCUGAAUUUUGGUAUAAUACAACAUACCAUGUGUCAGCAGGUAUGACUCCAUUCCAAGCCCUAUAUGGACGCUUGCAACAGUGCCAAAUUAUCAGGUGGGAACUUCUCUGGUGCAUGAAGUAGAUAAAGCCUUGUUAGCACGAGAUGAGCUAUUAUCACAGUUGAAGAGAAAUUUGGCAGCCGCGGCUAAUCGGAUGAAACAAUCUGCAGACAAGGUUGAUGAGAUGUAGAGUUCAAAGAGGGUGACAUGGUGUUUCUGAGACUCUAACCGUAUCACCAAUCCUCAGUAUUCAAGCGAGCUCAUCAACAGUUGGCCAACAAAUAUUUUGGGCCCUACAGAAUUCUUCACAAGGUUGGAACCGUGGCCUAUAAGUUGCAACUGCUAGAAGGUGAAAAAAUCCAUCCUGUCUUCUAUGUAUCUUUGCUCAAGAAAGCGAUGGGAGAAUCAACUACUGCCACUGUUGAGUUGCCCCCUAUCGAUGACGAGGGAGUGAUCAUGUUACAGCCGGAGUCAAUUGUGGAUACCCGUUGGUUAAAAAGGGGAGGGAAAUUAAUUGAGCAAAGCCUAGUUCGUUGGAACAAAUUACCACUUGAAGAGGUAACAUGGGAAGAUGCUACAUUGAUAAGACAAAAUUUUCCUUCGCUAGCCCUUGAGGAUAAGGGACCUCUUCUAGAAGGGGAAAUUGAUAAGCCCAGACGUUCAGCAAGUUAUCAAACACAUUUAUCUUGGUCGUUCUCACCAAAAGCAGAACAAAUCUAAUUUCUUUAAAUCAUUGUAGCUUGCUCUUGACUGGGACCUGUCAUGGUAGCAAACAAAAUCCCUUCUUUGGUAGAAUUAAGAUUGUCAAAUUGCCAACUCCAACACUUCUCUCCAUUAGCCACCGCAAAUUUUUCGUCUCUCACAGUCCUUGACCUUUCCCACAACCAAUUUGAUAACUCGUUCAUUCCUAGUUGGGUUUUUGGUCUAAGUCAUUUGCUCUUUCUUGACCUAGGUUUUAAUAAUUUUCAAGGUCCAAUUCCUGGGGGACUUCAAAACCUGACUUCCCAUAAACAUCUGGGUUUAGAUUCCAACUACUUCAACUCUUCAAUUCCCAACUGGUUUUAUAAUUUUAUCCAUCUUGAGUACCUUAGUCUUCGCAACAAUAAAUUGCAAGGUACAAUUGACUCAGGCUCUUGGAAACUUGACGUCCAUCAGUCUGCUCGAUCUCUCAUUGAAUACUGGUCUUGAAGGGAGAAUUCCAAGAUCCAUGGCAAGUCUUUGUAAUUUAAAGUCAAAUCAAUCUUCGGGGUGUCCACGUGUGCCAAGAAAUUUCUGAGAUUUUAGAUAUUUUCUCGGGAUGUGUUUCUAAUGGACUAGAGAGUUCAUAUCAAUGUUCAUUAAAUAGCAAUGUUCAUUAAAUAAUAUUUUGACAUUGCUAUUUACAGGGCCAUUUCCUGUUCAUACCGUUGUCCUAGUACUUCUCUCUUCUUUUACAUUUUAUAUAUGGAAUAUUUUCAAUGCAACAUUGAGAUUCACAACUAUCCAUGUAAAUACUAAUUACAGAAAAACUCUCCUACUUUAAAUUUGAAAAAAGAAAACUUCAUCUUGGUUUAUUUCAUUAAAUAGAGUUAGUUAAUGACAUGUCACGAGGUAUAUAGAUAUUAGUCCAUAUAAUAUAGCAAUCGAUUGAGUUAAAGUCGUCAAAUCUGAAUAUUGUUAUCUUCUGACUUAAAAAGUCGUUUGCGUGGAAAGGACGUAAAUCCUAAUCCAAUUAACAGUAGGAUGAUGUUGAAUUGGAGUAUGCGAACGAACUAUAAGGUCACAAUUUAAGAUAAUUAUUUUGAAAGAGAGAAAUGGCCCUAUAAAUAGCAAUGUUGUUGAUAACACAAAUUCAAAUAAACAUUUACUCUUUAUUAAACCAAACAUGAGUGGUGUCCUUGUUUUUGCCUUACUUCUUGAAUUACUUGUCGUUAGCAUGAGUGGACAAAUUGAUGCGUGAUUUUAAUGUAAAUAUAUACAAGGAUCACCGAUGAUUGACUUAAGUGAUUGUAAAUUAUUCUCGACUGAGAACGUAUCAAUUACUCUAGAGAAAUAAUUUCGUCGUAUAUCAAUCGGACAAGACAUCAAGUAUCACCAUCAAUUCAUCGUGCACGCAACUCUACGCAACUGUAAGAAGGACUAAAUGGCAUCUGUGUGACUGUGUCCAUUACAUGUCCUCUUCAAUUGACUUAAAGUCGGUUCGCUAAGUAGGAGGUUACUUUGUGUCAUGUGCAAAUUGGAUUAUGCAGAAAACUGAGUUUCUGGUUACUUUUUCCAAAUAAAAAGUUCCAAACGGAUGUUGAAUUGCUGAAAGAUAAGUUGAGAUUGUUCACUAGAUCGAGGACAUUGGUGUAAAAUAAAGAAUGGAGUUUAUGAAUAAAACUCUUAUAUUUCUUGCAUUAACGUUGCUACAUAUAUAUAUAGAUGUACAACCCUAAAGAAUAGAAUCCUAACUAGAAAAGCAUUACAGAUUCAUAAUAUAUAUACAAAUCUAAUUGCUUUAAAUAUGAAACUGAAUUCUAUACGACUUCUAUAUACAAAACCGAAUGCUAUACGAAUUCUAUACGUUAAUACUCCCCCUCAAGGUGGAGCGUGGAGAUCAACAACGCCCAACUUGCGUAUAUGAUGAUGGAAAAGAGCAUGUCCGAGAGGUUUUGUAAACACAUCAGCUACUUGCAUGGAAGUAGGGAUAUGCAGUGGUAAUAACAAAUUGGAUUGCACACGCUCUCGCACGAAAUGACAAUCUAACUCAAUGUGCUUUGUUCGCUCAUGAUAGACAGGAUUCUCGGCGAUAUAUAAAGUUGAUUGAUUAUCACAAUAGACAGUCAUAGGAUCAUGUUGAAGGUGCCCCAAAUCAGCAAAAAGUGCUUUAAGCCACUGUAAUUUACAUGAAAGAUCAGCCAAGGAGCGAUACUCAGCUUCUGCUGUAGAUCGAGAGACCACAUUUUGCUUCUUUGUUUUCCAAGAUAUAGGGCUGUCACCAAGGAAAGUACAAUAACCAGUAACAGAUCGACGUGUAGUAGGACAACUACCCCAAUCCGCAUCACAGUAACCCCGGAUAUGUAAGUCACUUGUUGAAGAUAAUAAAAUACCCUUGCCUGGUGAGCCUUUUAAAUACCGAAGCACUCGAAUGGCAGCAUCCAUGUGAGUAGUUCGUGGUUCAUGCAUAAAUCAACUUAAAACAUGCACUACAAAGACAAUAUCAGGCCUAGUAACUGUGAGAUAGAUCAACCGACCUACAAGACGUCGAUAACUUGAGGGAUUUGAUAAAAGGUCGCCAUCUGUAGAUGAAAGCCGAAGUUGUUGUUCCAUUGGAAAAUGAGAAACUCGUCCAGCAAGUAAACCAGCAUCUUUUAAAAUAUCCAGGGCAUAUUUUCGCUGACUCAAGAAAAUCCCACGUGAUGACCGUGCCACUUCUAUCCCCAAAAAAUACUUCAACUUCCCUAAUGCCUUGAUGUAAAAUUUCUGUGCAAGGAAAUCUUUAAUUCUGCUAACCUCGGCAGCAUCAUUCCCUGCUACGAUAAUAUCAUCAACGUAAACUAACACAAAGGUUGAAAAUUUGGCAUUAGUUUUUACAAAUAAUGAAUAGUCAGCUUUAGAUUGGCGAAAACCAGCUUGUUGAAUGGUAGCAGAAAACUUGGAAAACCAAUUUCUGGAUGCUUGUUUUAAUCCGUAGAUAGAUUUGUUGAGUUUGCAGACUAGAUGCUCCCCCUGCUUAGAAAAACCUUGUGGUACUUGCAUAUAAACUUCUUCCUCUAAAUCUCCUUGUAAAAAAGCAUUGCUUACAUCUAAUUGUUCUAAAAUCCAUCCCUUAACAGCCGCAAGAGAAAGUAAAGCUCUCACAGUGACAAGCUUAGCAACCGGUGAAAAAGUAGCAUGAUAAUCAAUGCCUUCUGUUUGAGUAUAUCCCUUAGCAACUAAACGAGCUUUGUAACGCUCAAUGGUGCCAUCGGAUUGAUAUUUAAUUUUGUAAACCCAUCUGCUGCCAAUAGCCUUUUUACCAUUCGGCAAAUGAGUUAGAGUCCACGUAUUAUUUUUCUCAAGAGCUGUUAUCUCAUCCUCCAUGGCUUUGCGCCACUCAGGUAACUUGACUGCCUCAUGAAAAAAACUUGGUUCGGUUGUAGAGGUAAUGGCAGACAAAAAAGACUUAUGUGCUGGAGAAAAACGAUGAUAAGAAAUAAAAUUGUGAAGAGGAUAUUUCUUACCUGGAGACGAAGAAAUAAGAUCAGCAGGGGUAGAAUUGUGAGAAGCCAGAGUACAAUAAUCGUGAAGGUAAGCUGGUGGGCGUCUAUCACGUUGGGGUCGUGUGGGAGUUUGGAUAUUUUGGUUGCCUAAAGAAAGUGAUGAAUCUAAGGUUGCAUCUGCUGGUGAACUAGGCUGUUGGGUAGAUGAUGUUUCAGUGAUGAUGUGUUCAUGAGUGGUGUUAGGAGAAGAAGAAUUGGUCACGGAUGGAUCUGUGUCUUGCAAAGGUGGGUCACGUUCAUGAAGAGCAUGUGAUGAACUUAUGUUUUCAUUAGGAGAAGGUGAUAAAAAAAUAUUGGACUCGAAAAAAUUUUCAUCAAAUAAAACCUCAUUAGUGAUAUGUGUAGAAAAAACCGGUGAUUUAACAUCCUUAAAAGGAAAAAUAUGUUCAUAAAAGAGAACAUCACGUGACACAUAGAUUGUCUUAGAUUCAAUAUCAUAAAUCCGAUAUCCUUUUUGACUAAAAGGAUAACCAAUAAAAAUUCCCAUUUUUGCCCGUUGAUCAAAUUUAUUUUUAACUUGUAAAUUUUUGGCAAAACACAAGCAACCAAAAACUUUUAGGCGUGAUAAAUCUGGUGCUAUACCAAAAAGCAUUUCAUGUGGGGUUUUUCCAUUAAGAACAUCACUAGGCAAUUUAUUGAUCAAAUACGCUGCAGUAAGAACACACUCCCCCCAGAAUUUAAUUGGAAAAUUGGCUUGAAAACGUAUACCUCGCGCAACUUCGAGAAGAUGGCGAUGUUUACGCUCAACCACACCAUUCUGUUGCGGUGUUCGAACGCAACUUCUUUGAUGAAUAAUCCCUUGGUCUAAAAAAAAUUUCUGUAAUUCUUUAACAAGAAAUUCAGUCCCAUUGUCAGAACGCACAAUUUUAAUGUUAGCAUUAAAUUGAGUUUUUAUCAAUGCAUGAAAAGAACGUAAAUGCAAUUGCGUUUCGGAUUUGGUUUUCAUUAAAUAUAACCAAGUGCAUCGAGUAUAAUCAUCAACAAUGGUUAAAAAAUAAUGAGCCCCUGAAAAACUUGAAGUUGAAAAAGGACCCCAAACAUCACAAUGGAUUAAUUCAAAAGGUAUUUUACUUUUGAUGCUACUAAUGGAAAAUGGCUUUCUAGUUUGUUUUGCUUUAGGACAAAUAUCACAAACAUAUUCUNNNNNNNNNNNNNNNNNNNNNNNNNNNNNNNNNNNNNNNNNNNNNNNNNNNNNNNNNNNNNNNNNNNNNNNNNNNNNNNNNNNNNNNNNNNNNNNNNNNNGUAGAGGUGAUUUGGGAGGUGAAAGAAAAUGCAGCUGGAAGUUGGAUGUAGAAAAGACCUUCACGAAGUCUACCCUUGCCAAUCUGCUUCUUCGUGUAUAGGUCCUGAAACUCACAAAAAUUGGAAGAAAAAAUUACCUUAUAUCUAUUUGAUUUGGUUAACUGACUAACAGACAGUAAAUUAAACUUAAAACUCGGAAUGUAAAAUACUUUGUCUAAUAAAAAAUCUGGUGAAAAGGAGACUUUCCCUAUGUGAGUGACUUGUGCUACUGUACCAUCUGGUAAUUGAACGUGAAGAGGAACAUGACAUGGUUCAUAGGAGUGAAAAAAAUCUAGCGAACUACACAUAUGAUUGGUAGCGCCUGUAUCUAUGAUCCAAGUAUGUGAUAAAGAGGAAUUAAGUGAUAUACCUGCAAGAUUCGCAGUAUGUAGACUACCUGAAGAGGACAACAUAGCUAGGAGUUUUUGAUAUUGCUCUUGAGUAAAUAUUGGUGCUUGGACGUCUUGAUUGCUAUUUGUUGCCAAGGCAGCUUUAAUCUCAUUUUUAUUACCUUGUCCACGUCUUCUCCAAUUUGGUGGAUAUCCAUUUAACUCAAAACAUUUUUGUUUUGUGUGGCCUAAUUUUCCACAGUGUUCACACGAUGGUCUGCCCCCAUUUGCAUUCAAGUUUCCUCCUCUGUUAUCUACUGCAGAAUUGUUAUUCCAAUUCCUAUUUCCAAAUGAAUUUCGGCUUUGUGUUGUCAAUGCUGCAGCUUCUGGAGAUCCCCCUAUAGCGUGAAUAUCUUGUUGUUUUUCUUCUUGCCUCACAAGGGAAUAAAUUUUAUUUGCAUUAGGAAAAGGAUCCAUCAACAAAAUCUGACUCCUCGUUGCUGCAUAUCUAUCAUGUAAUCCUUGAAGAAACUCCAUAGCUCGAUCUAGUUGCUGCAAUUGACUGACAGUUUUUGCAUUCGCACAAGUACAUGGUCCUACUUGUUGUAGAGAAUUCAACUCAUCCCAAAGCGCCUUCAUGCGAGUAUAAUAAAGUGAAACAGAUGCAUCUCCUUGUCGUAAAUUAGAGAUGGCCUGUUUGAGUUCAUAGAUUUUUGGCGCAUUGGUUUGCUGAAAACGCUCUUGCAAAUCCUGCCAUACUUCUCUAGCAGACUGUGCAUACAACACACUUCCCGCAAGUUCAUUUGAUAUGGAGUUCAACACCCAAGAUCCAACAAGAUCAUUACAACGCUGCCAUCUACCACCAUCAUCUUCAUCUUCAUCUGGUUUUGAUAUAGUUCCAUCAACAAAACCGAGCUUGUUUUUCGCUCGUAAAGCCAUAGUCAUUGCCCUUACCCAUGUACCAUAGUUAUCACCAGUGAGUAAAGGAGAGACCAAUACAGCAGUUGGACUAUCUGAUGGGUGGACAAGGAAGACGUCAUCCUCCUGUUUAUUAAGGAUGGCAGCUUGUUUUGAUGAUUGACCAUCUGCCAUGAGUAUUUAAACAAAAGCAAAAGAACGGAGAUAAUAAUUUGAUAAGUGAGCAAAGCUCUGAUACCAUGUAAAAUAAAGAAUGGAUUUUAUGAAUGAACUCUUAUAUUUCUUGCAUUAANNNNNNNNNNNNNNNNNNNNNNNNNNNNNNNNNNNNNNNNNNNNNNNNNNNNNNNNNNNNNNNNNNNNNNNNNNNNNNNNNNNNNNNNNNNNNNNNNNNNCCUAAAGAAUAGAAUCCUAACUAGAAAAGCAUUACAGAUUCAUAAUAUAUAUACAAAUCUAAUUGCUUUAAAUAUGAAACUGAAUUCUAUACGACUUCUAUAUACAAAACCGAAUGCUAUACGAAUUCUAUACGUUAAUAAUUGGCCUUGUUAACAAAAUUAACAAACGAACAUAUAAAAAUGAAGUAAUUAUCCAUAAGUACUGCUACAACAAAUAACUCUAAUGCAUAGACUAUAGAUUCCAUUUUGUCGGAGGCAGACUAAGGUUAAAAAUAAAGAAAUUCAUAAGGGUAUUAAUUGAAAUUUAAUCUAUUUCUUAAAAUAUUACAUCAUCGUUAUCCAUUAUUUACAAAAUUUUGAUUAUUGCCUCCAUAAGUUCGUAGUUCUUUUUUGGGCAUGUUUCAACCAAAAUACCGGUUUUGAAUUUAGCAUGCGAAAUUCUCCGCAAAAUUUUUUCUUUGAGACAUCAUAACACAGUUUUCUCAAAGUAAUUGACAUUUAAUUACGAACAAAAUAUCACCAUCGAUAUCGAUCCCAAUUAAAUUCUUCAAGUUCCUUCCAGUCUUGGUUAUUUUUAUUAAAUGGAGUUAGUAAGAUAGUCAUGAGAUAUUUCAUUAUCUACAACGAUCAUCGACUUGUGACAUUACCAAAUUAAAUAGUAUCUAUAUAUCGUCCUAUUUAAUGAGUAGACUUGAAGUCGUUUCCGCAGAAAGGGGGUUAAAACUGGAUUAUGCGGAAGAUUUAAUUAUAUGGCCUAUCGCCACUUUUUCCAAAUUAGAUUACUGGCCCACUUUACUGAUUAUAUCAAAUGGAUGCUGAGUUUCUGAAAGAUAAGCCAAGAGAGUAUCGGCCUUGUUAAUUGCAAUUCAUUAUAAAUAGCAAAGGUGUUGAUAACAUUAUCCUCAUCCACAUUUCCUUUACUAGCUAGCAAUGAAACCAAACAUGAGUGGUGUCCUUGCUUUUGCCUUAUUUCUGUUUGAAAUACUUGCCAUAGCAACCAUUAGCAUUAGCUUCUGCAGCGGAAGUUCUUAUCAUGGGGGUUGCCUUGAAAGUGAGAGAGGAGCACUUUGAAGGUUCAAGCGAGAUCUUAAAGACCCUUCCAACCGGCUUGCGUCUUGGAGUGGUAGUGGACAUUAUUGUGCCUGGACUGGUGUUGUCUGUGACAACAUGACUGGCCAUGUCCUUCACCUCGACCUUCGGAAUCCUUUCAAUUGUUACAAGGAGUCUGAAUAUGAUGCUAUUGGGAGGACAGCGCUAGUUGGUAAGAUAAAUCCGUCUUUGCUUGAUUUAAAGCAUUUGAGUUACCUGGACUUGAGCUUCAAUGAUUUUCAAGGUGUUCAAAUUCCUAGAUUUGUCGGCUCUAUGGGAAAUCUACGGUAUCUCAAUCUUUCUAGAACUCGAAUCAGCGGAAUGAUACCUCACCAACUUGGAAAUCUCUCCAAUCUGCAGUUUCUUGGCCUUAGUUCAAAUUAUUUAUUAUACGUUGAUAAUCUUUUGUGGCUUUCUGGUCUUUCUUCCUUAGAACACCUUGAUUUGCGUUCUGUGAAUCUUAGCAAAGCCUUUGAUUGGCUGAUGGUAACAAACGAACUACCUUCUUUGGUAGAAUUGAGAUUGUCAAAUUGCCAACUCCAUCACUUCUCUCCAUUAGCCACCGCAAAUUUUUCGUCUCUAACAGUCCUUGACCUUUCCCACAACCAAUUUGAUAACUCGUUCAUUCCUAGUUGGGUUUUUGGUCUGAGUCAUUUACUCUUUCUUGACCUAGGUUUUAAUCAUUUCCAAGGUCCAAUUCCUGGGGGACUUCAAAACCUGACUUCCCUUAAACAUCUGGGUUUAGAUUCCAACUACUUCAACUCUUCAAUUCCCAACUGGUUGUAUAGAUUUAUCCAUCUUGAGUACCUUAGUCUUCGCAACAAUAAAUUGCAAGGUACAAUUGACUCAGAGGCUCUUGGAAACUUGACUUCCAUCAGUCGGCUUGAUCUCUCAUUAAAUACUGGUCUUGAAGGGAGAAUUCCAAGAUCCAUGGCAAGUCUUUGUAAUUUGAAGUCAAUCAAUCUUCGGGGUGUCCAUUUGAGUCAAGAAAUUUCUGAGAUUUUAAAUAUUUUCUCCGGAUGUGUUUCUAUUGAAUUAGAGAGUUUGGAUUUGCGAAGUAGUUCAAUAUCAGGACAUUUGACUGAUCAGCUUGGGCAAUUUAAAAAUCUUGACAAUCUUGAUUUAGCUAACAAUUCUAUUGUUGGUCCUAUUCCACAGUCAUUGGGUCAUCUCUCAAACUUGAGAGUACUACAGAUAUAUAAUAAUAAGUUAAACGGAACUCUUUCUGAAAUUCACUUUUCCAAUUUGACAAAACUGUCAUGGUUCAGGGUCGGCGGAAACAAACUGACGUUGGAAGUAAGGCACGAUUGGAUUCCUCCUUUCCAACUCGUUGCAUUAGGAUUCCAUAAUUGUUAUGUAGGGUCUCGAUUUCCUCAAUGGCUUCAUUCACAAAAGCAUUUACAGUAUCUCAAUUUACUCAACUCAGGAAUGUCAGAUUUGUUUCCCAUUAGAUUUUUGAAAUCUGCUUUCCAAUUAAAGUUUUUGGAUCUCGGCCUUAACCAAUUUCACGGGCAGAUAACUGAUCUAACCAAGGUUACUCAACUUUUGUUUCUUAGCGUGCAUUCGAAUAAUAUGUCGGGUCCAUUACCCCUUAUAUCAUCUAAUCUAGUUUACCUAGAUCUUUCUAAUAACUCAUUCUCUGGAUCAGUUUCUCAUUACUUGUGUUACAGAAUCAACGAGCCAAAGAGCUUAAUAGGUCUCAAGCUGAAGGAUAAUUCUCUANNNNNNNNNNNNNNNNNNNNNNNNNNNNNNNNNNNNNNNNNNNNNNNNNNNNNNNNNNNNNNNNNNNNNNNNNNNNNNNNNNNNNNNNNNNNNNNNNNNNCAAAUUCACUGGGUAGUUUAACUUCUCUUAUUUGGUUGCUUCUUGGUAAAAACAGACUGUCUGGGACAAUACCUGUUUCUCUUAAAAAGUGUACAGCAUUAGAGUCACUUGAUGUUGGUGAAAAUGAGUUUGUCGGCAAUAUUCCAACAUGGACUGGAGAAAGAUUUUCAAGAAUGGUUGUUCUCAUCCUUCGUUCCAAUAACUUUCAUGGCCCUUUACCUACAAGAUUAUGUGAUCUAGCUUUUCUUCAAAUCUUGGACCUUGCGGACAACAAUCUCUUCGGAACCAUACCAAAGUGUAUUAAUAAUAUCACUGGCAUGGUGGCAGCAAACUCUUUUACACGCAGUUCUCAGCAAUAUCUACCUCUUCCAUUAGACGGCGAUGUAAUUCUUACAGAGAAGGCAUCGGUUGUGAGCGAAGGAGAAGCGAUUGAAUAUGAUGAGAUACUUAAUUUGGUAAAGGAGACAGAUGUUUCCAGGAAUAAUUUAACAAAAAAUAUUCCUCUGGAAAUGACAAAUCUUAAAGCAACGCAGUCAUUGAAUUUUUCACACAACUCUUUCACAGGCAGAAUUCCUGAAAGUAUUGGCGCUAUGAGAUCGUUAGAAUCCAUUGAUUUUUCUGUAAACCAACUGUCGGGUGAAAUUCCACAGAGCAUGUCAAAUCUAAUGUCCUUGAAUCAUUUGAACUUAUCCAACAACAAGUUGACUGGGAAAAUUCCUUCAAGCACUCAACUGCAGAGCUUCGAUGCAUCUAGUUUCACUGGCAAUGAUCUCUGUGGAGCUCCUCUUCCUAAGAAUUGUGCUGAGAAUGUUUCAGUUUCUGAAGAUGAAAAUGGAGAUGAAGACGAAGACGAAGUGGACCACUGGUUGUAUGUAAGUAUUGCACUUGGAUUUGUGGUGGGAUUUGGGUGUUUUAUAGGCCCUUUGAUUUUCAAUAGAAGAUGGAGGUACAACUACUAUCACUUCCUAAAUCGCCUUGAAAAUAUAAUUGUCGGUGUUGUAAGAAAAUGUAGCUAGCUAGAUUUUCCCUGUUUAUGAGUUGUUCUGCUUCAUGUAAUUUUACUAAAUAAACGAACGGCCGUUCAUUUUUUUUUUUCCUUAUGCCUGAAAGGAGAAAUUAAUGUGAGAUUAUAUUCAUAUUACAAAUCAUAGGGGCCUUUCAAACUCAACUAAAUUAACUUUGAUAAAUUUAAAUUUUUGUUGUAUUUUUAUUAUGGGAAUAAAUUUCCUGUGAAUGACUUGAUAAUUUAAUUUUGCCCUAUCGAAUAGUUAAUUCAAAUUCAAUUGAUUAAAUGUCUAGAUAAAUGAAGGUACAAAUAUUAUCAUUCCCUGAAUCGCCUUGGGGACAGAUUUUUUGGUGUUGUAAGAAAAUGUUGCUAUAUUUUCUGUGUUAUUUAGUUUUUCUGCUUCAAAUAUUACUGAAAUAAACGAAGGGCUAUGAUNNNNNNNNNNNNNNNNNNNNNNNNNNNNNNNNNNNNNNNNNNNNNNNNNNNNNNNNNNNNNNNNNNNNNNNNNNNNNNNNNNNNNNNNNNNNNNNNNNNNAUUGUCUUCGAUUUCUAGCUUUUCUAGUCCCCUAUAAUUGUCAAGAAACCAAAUUCGUCUUUUUUCAUUUGUCUGUGAAUAAAAGUUUUUUUUCUCAAAUAUUCUUUAUUGAUUUCAAAAAUUUUCUCUAAAACAAAUAAUUCAUUAUGAUCGGUUAUAGAUGAAUGUGUAGGUGACAUUCUCGGAGACUUCAUUUGUGUACUUUCACUUCGGACAUAUUCAGGUUCGUUAACAGGAUAAUAUGGAGUUGAUAUGUUUGAAGAAAUUGUCAUUGUCUACCUAGCUAAGAUCAAUUCUUAUUGGAGGCCUAAGAAAUGAAAAACUGGAGGCUCUAGUUGGUUCUCUUGAGGAUUAUCCAAAUUUCAGCCCGGAGGAUCCUAAGUUCAAGUUUGAGAUUCUCUGUCUGGCAAAUGGUGUUGUUACACUACCAUCAGCUUUUGUUUCUAUUUCUUUUAGUUAUGUGUUUUGUACUAUUUUAAAUUGUAUAUUUUUUUGUAUUAUCUAUUUUUCAGUGAGUGUAAUUUGAUCUCAUUUAAUAGAUUUUGAAAUAGUUACAUUUGCUUUGUGGAGAUCAGUUUGUAAUAUAAAGUUUUUUCUUUUGGGAUCUGUUUUAAAUCUUUUGUGUUGAAAGCAGAGAACAUUGCUUUGUAGUGAAUUCUAUGUAUUAAAGUUACAGGAAGUGUUCCUGGUAUGAUUUUAUAAUUGUGUUUUAAUAUUCAAAGUUAAGACAUCCAAUAUAUUUUUCUCAUUUAAUGAAACUGUAAAACUUGGAUAACAAUCAAAAUAUUGGUCCAUUGCCAAGACUUGUUUAUCUCAAUGGUUUAAAUCCAAUUUGUACUAAUCCAACUUCACUUUUUUAUCUCAACAGUUCUUUCUUCAGUUUUGAAAAUAUUAUCAGAUUUAAGAAAUUUAAUCUACAACUAUAUUUUUAGAUUUUGUUUGCUGGAAUUAUUGGAACUGACCAUGUAUCCCAAUUGCCUAAAGCAAAAGUAUUGGCAUAAUUUUGGUCAUUUUCUUCAGGAAAUUUGAUUUCUUCUUGGUUCACGAUUCCGUCUCCAGUACGAGAACCGAAGGCAGACAUUGAUCUAGAUAAAUAGUUCAUUAUUAAAACAUUUUUCUUUUAUUUUCCACCUAUUACGGUUGCUGACGAACAGUCUUACGACGCCAUACUUGUCUUAAAAUGCCGGGACCAUAACCGCAAUGGUUUAGCGUCAGAUAAAAUUAAAUAUUUUUCAAAUAAACUCAUGUAAGUACAUCUCUACUCCUCUCUGGCUCUGAUACCAAAGAGAUGGGAUCAAGUACACCAAAUUAAAAGCUGAUUUUUUAAUAAGUUUCGCUUAUUUCCGUUUUGAGUCUAUUUUGUAGGCUUAUUCUUUUAGAAAUAUGAAGCAGAUCUUCAAAAGGUCUAUCAUAUGACUCAAAACAAAAUUAUUCAGCUAUUAAAAAAAGAGAUUUUGUCCAUCGGCUUGUGCACUAUAAACUUUUAAAGUGGUUUAUUAAAUAAAUAAAAAUUAUCAUUGUACCACUUUUAUUUUGCCUUAUGUUCAUCCAACCACUACAAAAUUCUAACAUGUACUUUGCACCACCUUUCUUUUUACAUUUGUAUCAACUAGCCACUUUUGCAUUAAUACUAUUAACUAAUUUUAAUAAAAUAAUAAUUUUACCCCCAAAUAAAUUAAAAGACUAUUUUAUUUUAUAAAAACUUUAAAAAUAUAUAUAUAAUGAUAAAAAUAUUCCUAAAUUUAAUAAAAAUAAAUCCCAAAAUUAGAAAUUUUAUUUUUAAUAAAAAUUAUUUUAAUAAAAAUUAUAAUUAUAAAAAUAAUUGUAAAAUUUUGGGAUUUAAUAAAAAUUCCCUAAAUUAUUAAAAUUUUAGGAUUUAUUCUUUUAAGAAAUAAAUUCAGUUAUUUUAAUAAAAUUUUACAAAAUUAUAAUUUUUAAUAAAUAAAUUCAUUUAUUUUAUUAAAAUUUUGUAAAAUUAUAAUUUUUAAUAAAAAUAAUUAUUAAAAUUUUGUAAAAUCUAAAUUUAGUAAAAAUCAGUUGAGCACCUCUAUUUGAGAUUUAUUUUUUAUUAAAUUUAGGGAUAUUUUUAUGAUUAUAAUUUUUAAUUUUAAAAAUUUUAUAAGAUAAAAUAAUUUUUUAAUUUAUUUGGGGGUAAAAUUGUCAUUUUAAUAAAAUUAUUUAAUAGUGUAAAGUGGGUAGUUGAUACAAAUGUGAAAAAAAAUAUGAUGCAAAGUACGUGUUAGAAUUUUGUAGUGGUUGGAUGAAUAUAAAACAAAAUAAAGGUGGUGUAAUGAUAAUUUCCCAAUAAAAAAUUUCUUGCAUGUGUUAAUUGAAAAUUUGCAAAAGCCUUCCUACUGUCUCUAAAAGUGGGGGUGGACAGAAUCAAUUGGACCUCAAAACAAUACGAUUUGAUUCAGUUUUUUUGGUUUCAGUUUGGUGUUCUAUAACUAAAAAAAAAAAAGAAAUGGAAUAAUACGAAAUCGAAUCAGAUGGUUCGGUCCAAUUUUUGGAUCAAAAUACAUCUGUUGUAUUACAACCAAUUAAUACAUGUAUGACAUAUGUAAUUGAGUUUAAUACAACCACCAUUUGCAUAAUAAUUUAAAAAAUAAAUACACAUAUAUCAUGACAUUAUUUACUUGUUGUAUGGGUGACAUGGUACAACAGUUGUAUUCAAGAAUUUCUCCAAAAUUAGAAAAUUGGUACCGAACCAAAUUCAAUGGCAUUUCUAUAAUUGUAAAUCUGUAUGUAUGUAUGUAUGUAUUUAUGUAUGUAUGUGCGUGUAUAUAUAUUUUAACACAUAUGUUGGCGACUUGGCGUAACAAUUUAAUUUAAGGUAUAAAAGCAAAAAUAAAAAUCAAUUUCAACCAAUGGGCCUUUGGUCUAAUGGGAGAAGCCUUGCACUUACAAUGUUGAGUGCAAGGGUUCGAGUCUCCAUAAGAGCAUUAUGGAGGUUAGUUUCAGUUCUUCCUCAAUUAUUAAUUAAUUGAGUGGAGACAGUCUCUCCCUUACAAAAUGUGAGUGGAGCAGGCACCCCUCGAAUAUUAAAGAGGGUUUAAAUCUGUAUAACAGAUUUCAAAAAAAAAAAAAUCAAUUUCAAUUCCUAACUGCUAACUUUCAAAUCUAACCCUCCAGCAGCAAUCUCUCUCAGGCCUCGCAAACAACAAUUUCUCUCUCCGACGGCCUGAACUGUCACAGACUCAUCCCUCCCGCACGGUCAUCACUCACGGUCUCACUCUCACUGUCAGCUGCCACUAGCGCCCGUCACUCACGAGUCAGCUGCGGCUUGUCUGCUGUCAUCUUUGCUAACACCCAUCACUUACGAGUCAGUCACCGCUCGUCUGCCUCAUCUUUGCCAGCCACCACUGGUAAUCUCAUUCACCUCGCCAGCCAUUGCAGCCUCUCUCCGUCAUUGCUGUUGCAUCGAUAAAGGUAAUAAUUCUAUGAUCUUUUUUUUUUCUUUAUUUAUUUAUCUCACUUAGGAUUUUGUUGUGUUUGUGUGUGAUGUGUGGUGAGGUUAAACUAAAAUGCUCCGAUUGUAACAGAUAGAACCGUAGAAAUAGAAAUAUAAGAAAGAAGACGAAGCAUAAACAAGCAAAUGAUCUGCGCAAUAUAGAUGGGCAGAACCAGAAUAGACCCAAAAAAAUUUGUUCGGUUCGUUUUUUUAAGUUCUGGUUUGGUAUUUUAUAACUAAAAAAACCGAAUAGGUUAAUGUCGAAAAUGAACUGAUCAGAGGAGGAUGCCAUUAAGAAUCUGGCUGUUUGGGCAACGCUAAACAUCCCUAUUGAAUAAUUUGAUUAACUUUUCUUGGAGAGGCUUGAAAGCAAAAUCGGACGGAUUGUCAAAGUUGACAAGACUACUUCUUGGCUGAAAGAGGGAUUGAAGUGGAUCUAAGGAAGUCAUUACUUUUGAAGAAUUGAGAACAAAAAGAUAGACCUCAUUUGCUUUAAGUGUGGGUUUUAUGGACAUAGAGUGGAGCCAUGUGAGGUGGGCAGACCAGCUAAAGUCGAACCGAUUUGAACCGGUGUCCCCCACUACUGUAAAGGGAAUUUCUCUAAGGGAGAUAAAAAUGACACCUAAAUCCUAAAAGAAGAAAAUCACUAAAAAAAAAAAAUCAAAAGCAGUUUAUUCUAAAUCUUCUAGUACUCAAAAAUCAUGGUAUAAAAUUAUUUGUGAAGAUGAAAAAGCUCAUCAAGCUCAAAGAGAAGGCUACAAAUAGUUCUUCUCCAAAAGAUUUGUCAAAAGAGAAACUUAUCCAAUUAUGGAUUUUAUCACUCGGAAAAAUUCCCAUGAAGUAACUCUUGCUAUAUCUCAGGCCAAACCAGAGCCAGAAGUAAUUCCGCAAUAAAUUUUGAAAUCAUCAGUAAAGAUAGCUCUUUCUUUGAACAAAAAUAAAAAGGUUGUUCUUUGAUACCUCUCAAAAGCUAUUUUCAAGAUUAAAAUAUAUUGAAAAACCUUUAAAAUAAAAAAAUUUUGUUUUGGAAGAUAGUAAAAAAUCGUCCUACAUAGGCAACCACCUACUUGCUCCCUAUGCUGCCUCAAAUGAGUAGUUAAAACUAGUUUCACAUUACAACUUUCAGCGUCUUCCUUUCCUUUCACUUCGCAUUGCCUAUCCAUAAACCUGUCCAUGUCCUUCUUGUGAAGACAAGUAAUUUAGACCAACAUGUAAUUGAGAAAAGUUUCUAGGUCGUUGUGCAGAAUUCGUUUUACAGAUAAAUUUGCUAACGUGGCCAAAAGCGGUUAAGGGUUAUUAGCUGCUUGCAGAAAUUUUCAGAAACACCAGCAUAAAGAGGCUGUUGUACAACAUCUGAUGCAUGGGCUUUUUCUAAUUCAUUUUUUAACCAAAAUGUGUGAUUCUUAAUUCUGAGUAAAGCUUUUAAUCUUCUCUGGAAAAAGAUGACUGUUUUUGGGGAGCUUUAGUAAUGAAAGCACGUUAGUUUUUCCUUCAAAUAUUAAAGCUUGAUUGUUGUGGUAUUUUCUGAUUUCGUUGAUUUUGUUGAUUUGUUCUCUAUUCAUGCUUUGAAUUGGAGUUUCUUGGAAUAAUUUGUCUCAAAGUACAAAAAAUGGUGUUAGAGCAUUAGUUGGUUCUCAACCAUGUCACUUCUAAGACUAGAAAUUGAGAAAUUCACCAUUGGUGGUGAUUUUUCACUUUGGAAAAUGAAGAUGACGACUCUUUUUUCAUCAGGAUCUUGAAUCUGUUCUAGAAGAAAAAGAUUCUAGGAAAUAUCAAGUUCCGUCUCUAAUGACAAGAAAAGACAGAUCUUAAACAAAGCUCAUAGCAACUUGAUUUUGAGUUUAAUGACUCAAUCUCAAGGGAGAUUUUAGGUGAAAAAAUAGCUCCAGGUGUUUGAAAUAAAUUGAAGGAAAUAAAAUAGAGGCUUUGUGAAUGAAGAAGUCACGUGCUCACAAAAUGUUCUUAAAAAAAGAUUGUAUACUUUUCAAUGAAAAAAUGGUUGUCAACACAAGAGCAUAUUGAUAUUUUCAAUAAGACCAUUCUUGAUCUUAAGGAGGUUGAAAAUAUCAAGAUUGUGAUGAAGAUAAGACUUUUCUCUUACUGAGUUCAUUGCCAAAGUCCUACGAGGACUUUGUUGAUACCAUGUUAUAUGGUUGAACAACUCUUACAUUAGAAGAUGUGAAGGCUUCCCUAUGCUCAAAAGAAAUUUAAAAGCAUUCAAAGGACUUGGAUAUAAAUAUAAGUAACGUUUGAUGGCAAAGGUUAAAAAAAAAAAAGAAACCUAGGAAGAAAAAGAAGAACAAGAAUUAGUAUAUAUAAAAAAAAAGAUGAGUCUGACAAGGAAAAGAUAAAGAGAAUAAAUUGUUUCUAUUGCAAGAAAUCUAGUCAUUAGAUUACGAGUUGUGCUAAGAAAAUAGAGAUAAUAAGAAGAAAUCAAAUGAUCAUGUUGUGGCCCAGAUGACUCUUUUGAUUAAGGCUAUCAUAGUGUUGAUUUGCUAUAUGCAUCAAAUGAAAAGAUUAGAUGUCAGUCGGUUCUUGACUCUAGAUGCUUUUUACAUAUAAGUCCAGAUAAGAGUCCUUUUCAUGAUUAUGAAUCUAUUGAUGGUGGUCGAGUCUUGAUUGGUAAUUAUAAUGCUUAUUAGAUUGUUGGUAUGGGUUUUGUCAAAAUCAGAAUAUAUAAUGGAACCACAAAGAUACUAGAGCAUAUAAGGUGUGUGCCUUGACUACAGAAGAAUCUGAUUUCUUUAGGCAUGCUAGAUAGAUCAGGUUACUUCUUUAAAUCAAACUAUGAUGGUUUAAAGAUAAUGAAAAAGGUGUCAAGAAGAAUAGACUCUGUUUGUUGGAAAACUCAUUUGUGCAUGUGUUAUCCGUUUAGCACAUAAAAACUUAUAUUGAUAGAGCUAAGUUGUGGUAUCUAAAACUUGGCACAUGAGUGCUAAAGGUUUGCAAGAAUUGAGUAAACAUGGGUUAUUGUGUGGUGAUGACAUUAAAGAACUGGAUUUCUAUGAAAAUUACAUCUUUGGGACGGGAUACAGGGUAAAGUUUGUAAACUAAGUGCAUAAAUCUAAGAAUGUAUUGGAUUAUAUACAUUUUGACUUGUGGGGGCCUGCUCAAAUUCCAUCUUUAAGUGGUGGAGAGUACUUCAUAACAUUAAUAUAAGCCUACUCUGGGAAAGUAUCACUGUAUGUUCAAAACAAAGGAUCAUCCUCUUAAAAAUUUCAAAAUUUGGAAAGCUCUUGUUAAAAAUUAGAUGGUAUGAAGGUAAAUGCAUUAAGAACUGAUAAUGGACUUGAAUUUUACAAUAAAGAGUUUGAAGAAUAUUGUCAGAGGUGUGAGUUAUUAGAAAUAAGAUUGUUAAAUUCACUGUUGAGUUAUUAGAAAUAAGAUUGUUAAAUUCACUGUUCAACAAAAUGGCUUGACUGAGAAAAUGAACAUGAUCCGUAUUGACAAAAGAAGAUAUUAGCUAAUAAACUCUAAGUUACGAAGAAGCUUUUGGGUAGAUGUUAUUACCACAACUUGUUACUUGGUCAACAUAAGCCCUUCUUCAGCUCUAAAGUUCAAAACACUAGAAGAAUUUUGGACCGGUGUGCUGCAAGUUACAUGCAUCUUAAAAUAUUUGAUGUCCAGCAUAUGUCCAUAUUAAGAAAGACAAGCUUGAUGCAAGGGCUUUAAAGGUGUACUUGUGGAGUAUCUAGAGAGAGUUAAGGGCAUAAGGUCUAAUGUGAACUGCUCACAAGUGUAUUAUUAGUAGGAUGUAGUGUUUCAUGAGGAAACGCUGAUCAAGAAGCCUAACAUUGCAACCUUUGAUACUAAUUCCUAUAUUGAUGAAUUUAGAAGAAGAUACCAACUGUGAAAUGUCCUAAAGUUGAGGUAGAGUCAUCUAGUAGUAGUAAAAAUAAAAUAAAAGAUGACGAUUUUGGAGAAUCUCUCAAGGAAGAUUGGAAAUAGAUGAAUCAAGAAUACUUAUCCUUGACUUACAAGACUACCAAUUAGCAAGAGAUAAAAUCAAAAGGGAUAUCAAACCACCUGACCUAGAAUAAUUGCAUAUGUACUCAUCAAUGUAAAAGAUAUAGUUGUUGAAGAGUCUAGAAACUAUUUAACAACAUUGAAAAGCAGUGAUAGUGGCAAAUAGGUCAAAGACAUGACUGAAGAAAUGGAUUCCUUAAUUAGAAAUCAUACUUGGACUCUUGUUCCAAAUCCAAAAACAGAAGACUAGUUAGUUGUAGAUGGAUUUUUUUUUUUUAAAAAAAAAGGAGUCCAAGUGCUAAAGGUUCAAGAUUCAAGGCAAGUUAAUUUAUAUGGGAUUUGUAGAAGAGAAUGUGUAGAUUUUAAUAAGGUUUUCUCUCCUCUAGUUAAACACAAUCUAUAAGGAUAUUGCUAACUAUGAUAGCAUUACUUAAUUUAGAGCUUGACCAAAUAGAUGUAAAGACUGCUUUUUAUAUGAAAAGCUUGAAUAGAAUAUACUGAUGACAUAGCUUGAAAGAUUUGAAGUUAAAGGGAAAUAAGAUUGUGUUUGUCUUCUAAACAAAUCUCUUUAUGGCCUUACGUAGUUCUAAAGGCUAUGGUAUAAGAGAUUUAAUGAGUUUAUGGCCUCAAAUGACUAUUUUAAAAGUAAAUCUAAUAGUUUUAUCUAUUUUGGAGGCUUUAAUUUAGGUAAAGUAGUUUAUUUUCUACUAUAUAUCGAUGAUAUAUUGAUUACCAAUAGAAACAAAGGUGAGAUUAGGAAGGUUAAAGGUCUAUUAAGCGGAGAAUUCAAAAUGAAGGAUCUUGGUUCUGUUAAAAGAAUACUUGGCAUGGAAUUAUCAUAUAUAGAAGUGUUGGAACUUUUUUUAUAAGUCAACAAAAGUACAUAUAAAAAGAUUCUUGAUACGUUUGAUAUGUUGAAUUGUAAACUGUUCAGACUCUUCUAGGCCAUCAGUUUAAACUCUCUAAAGUACGAAUACCAGUGACACGACAAGAUAAGUUCUUAACGUCUGAGAUACCAUACGCUCAAGCAGUUGGAAGUCUUAUGUAUGCAAAAGCGUGUACAAGGCUAAUAUUGCUUAUGUAUUCAGUAUUGUUUGCACAUUUAUAAGUGAUCCUGGUAAGGUGCUUUGGGAUGCCAUAGAGUCGAUUAUGAGAUACCUUAAAGGCACUGUAAUCAUGGUUUGAUGUGUUGAAGAGCUACACAGGAUGAAAAUAAAGUUGUAGGAUAUAUUGACUUUGAUUUUACUAGAGAUUUAGCUGGCAAAAGUCAAUCUCUAGCUACUUAUUCAUGGUGAUUGGUUGCUUGGUUAGUCAGAAAGUAAAUCUACAGCCUAUUGUUGCUUUGUAAUCUCUAGAGACAUAGUUUGUUGCUCACUACGAGAAAAAUAGUAUUUGGUAAUACUUAGCUCGUGACACUUUAUUAACAAAUAUCAGUAUUUAUAUACAUGUAGACCAUUUUCCAUGUUUACUAUAUAAGUAUCACAAAGUACUGAUAUUAUGGUGGCUCUAAAUUUUACAUCAAAGAUCACUACUACUAAGGUGUCAGUAAAAAAAAUCAAAAUAAUUCUAAUGUUAUUUCAAAUAGAACUUGAACCAAAGGCCUAUAAAAAUCAAGCUUUUAAGUCUUAGACAAAAACCAUUCAAAAUUGUGAUAAUGACACUAAGGUAUCACUAACAAUUGAAAAAAAAAAUGCGCACACAUUCGCACGUGAUACCUCACAUCUCACACUCAUAAGGCGCCAAAAAAAAAACCCUAAGUCCCUAACAAUUAACAUUACAAUACUUUAAAAGAAAGAGAGGUGUUGUUGCUCUCAAUUUAGUGCUCCACCACCGGCUCACGUCUCAUACAUUCCCGUUAAUGUGUCAAGCCUCUUUAUCACGCCGUCAAGCCUUCGUUACGGGUCACAGCGUCAAGCCUCUCUGUCAUGCCGUCAAGCCUUCAUUACAAGUCACAGCGUCAAGUCUCUCUGUCAUGCCGUCAAGCCUCCGUCACGUGUCACCGCAUCAAUGAAAUGCAAGUUAUGCAACUUAAGAGGGGGGUGAAUUGGGAUUUUAAAAAUUUAAGUUAAAUAAAUCACACAACACUUCAAUCUAAUGUCUUAAUAAAUUCAAAAACAAUAAAUUCAAUAAAUCACAAUAAUAAAUGAGUAAGGGAAGAGACAACAAACAUAAGGAUUUUUACGUGGUUCGACAAUCCCUGCCUACGUCCACGCCUCCAAGCACACCGGACUUGAGGAUUUCAUUAUCGAAGCCUUCCAAGGCUUCAAAUACUUACGAUUGACUUCCAAGGUGUCAAUGAACCUUUACAAUAAGAGAUUAUCCCUAAUCUCUUAACCCAAGUGUAUCCCAACACUUACAACCUCUCAAUUUGAUUUUACAAAAAGGAUUAUAAAAACUUUUCUCACACAAUGUGUUUGAAUACAAAUGAAAGCCCAAUAUGUGUGAAUAAAUGAAAUGAAUACACAAAGUUUAUGCUUUUAGAUUUGCAGAGAAAUGCUCAAAAUAUUAAUGGUUGCAUCAUAUCAAAUGAGUUUGAUUUGAGUCAAUUUAUAGUUGAGGAAGAAAACUAGAUAUUAUUAACUUUUUGGUGAUAACUAACUUGCCGCUUUUGUGAAUCUGGUUAGCUGUUUUAUAUUACCGUUAUGUUCAAAAAUUUAAAUUUUUGCACAUCCGAUAUGCCGCUUCCUGAAUCCAGUUAGCCGCUUUCAUUCCAGAGAGUUUUUGCCCAUAAUCGGUUUGCCGCUUUCUUUAAUCCGGAUCGGUUAGCCGCUUUGCUACAGUGACCGCUGCAGUGAACUAUUUUCUAAAAUUAUAGUUUGCUCUAAAACUUUAUAUAAUUGCAUUAUGGCCCCAAAAUCAUAAAACUUUACAAAGACGUCCAAUUUCAGAAUUUCUAAAUAAUGCUUGUUAUUCUCAAAACUUUGUGAAAUUAUGAUAUGGCCCAAAUAUGUGGAAAUUAUAGAUGGCUCAAAAUGUUUUAAAUAUUUACAAAUAGGCCCAAAUUCAGAAUUUAAAACAAUACUUAUUAAAAUCAAUCUUUUUCAUUUUCGUCCACAUCUUGAAAACAUAACUAAUUUCAUAAAAUCAUUUUCUUAUUAUAAAAUCAUAAUGUGUACUUAUUUUUUAUCCAAAACAUGUGGUUUGUUAUCAUCAAAAUCAAUCAUUUUAUAGUUAUGUAGGCUAACAAUCAAGCCUUUCUCUACUGUCAUGAGUCACCGCCAUGCCACUGUGCCACCGGCAGCUAACAACCAAUAAAAUUGAUAGCUACGCUAGCCUCCCACCACCACAGUACCACGCCACUGUUUACCAAUACUCCACAAAAUCUCUUCAAGACUUUGAGCCAUAGUGGCUAGGUUUGCUGCUUUAAGUCUUAAAGAGUAUCUUUAAAUCUUGCUUCUUCAAAUGUUCAAAAGUUAAAACAACAAUUUUAGGUCUCAAAUCUUGCUUCUUCAAGUCUUAAAGAGAAUCUUCAAUUGCUAGUUAUAUUUUAAUUGCCAAUUAUGUUAGAGGGUAUUAACUGAUUUGUUCAGUAAUUUUGUCAAACAGAUGGGGUGUCGCGUUAUAGCGACCUUGUAUAUAUCUAUAUCUAACAUUGAAUGAAUGAAUGAAUCCAUUUAUAGCUUAGAAAUGCAAAAUCAAGAGUAGUAACGUUUAAAGAAUAAUUAAAAAUGAAAUGAAAGCUUAAUUACAAGUUGUUUGUUGAUUUACCUUUCAACAAAUCUCUCGCACACUCACACACUUUGCUCCUUACACUACCUUUUUGACCUGGCUCCUACGAAUAAAAAUAAUAAAGUAAAAUUUUAGUCCUAGGAAAGUCUAAUUUCUAAACAUUAGGGAAAAAAGUUAAAAGAAAGUAAGAUUUAUUUUGCAAAUUUUAUUGUGCUUCCUUUAUGGCACUAUAUAUAUAUAUAUAUAUUCAAAAAAUAAGAGUAAUAUGAGUUUCAUAGAAAAUUUAGUUGAUUUGAUCAUGUCCAUUGAUUUGCUUUAACAAUGCUUUAUGAAUUCUUUUUUAUCUUUUUUACGAAAGAAUGAUAGAGCAGAUAAUAUCAAACUAAUUUUAUAAUAAAUGGCAAAACAUGUGAAAUUUAAUUGAAAAAAUAUUGAAAUAAUCUAUUUAAGAUUUUUGUGCCCUCUGAUGUUAGCUUAUUUGGUAUGCUUUCAUUUUAUGUUUGUAGUUUGCUUUGUUUACACCAAAUACAUUUUUUUUUUUGGUGGUCUAGUCUAACUUGCUAGAAGCUGCAUAUUCUCUGUAAUUUGCAUAAUCUAUUUAUUCUUUUUUUUUGGGAUAUGCAUAAAGAUUUGGGUGCAUACAUUACUCUCUACACUUAUCAUUUUUAUAUAAAUGAAACCACGUAACACAUAUUAACAUCACAUGCAACUUUACUUUCUCAAAGAUUUAAUCCAAUAAUAAAAUAACAUUGUGUAAAAAUAAAGAUUUAAUCAAACAAUGCAUGCAACUGCAUAUGGAGUCAAGCUCAAAACUAUAUCCUAAGUUUGAUUUACAAAUAAAAUACGUAUUUCAUUUAUUUUAUAAUCUUUCACUGAAUUUAGAAGAAAAUUGUUUUCUAAGUGUGAAAAGUGUUUGUAGUAAUUUUCUUUUAAAUAGGACAUUGUGCUUCUAGUAAUCACAGAAAAUUAUUUUUAAUAGUUUUCAUUUAUAGUUCUAACUUCUACAUAAUGCAUUUAAGUUUUGCUUGUUACAUGAAAAAUCAACUGGCUUUUGAGUCAUAUGCAUCUUUUUCUUGUAACAGACACUUACAAAGCUGUUGUUUUCAAGAAAUGCUUUUAUAAGAGAGGACAAGGAGAAAUUUAAAGUAAUCUAGAAUUCUCCAUAGUCUUGGUUACCUUGAUUUGCUAUUUGGCAGGUUGGCAUUCUAGAAUAUGUAAUAUGUUUGUACCGUUUUUGUAAAAGCUAUGGCAAGUUGAUGACGUCUAUUUGAUUUGCUAUUUGGCAGGUUGCCAUCCAAUGCUGUGAGCCUCCUCGUAGGGAUUGCAUUAUUUCAUCCAUGAAAGCAGUAAGUUGCCUAAUUAAUUCAUUGUUUUAUACUCAAAUGCUCUUUCAUUUGUUUGCAUCAAUUUGUAAGAUUGUUUUAUAUGGGUAUGAAUUGUUUUGUGUAAAAUAUCCUUAAGUUCAAGAAACCAAAAGAUAGAAUACUACAAUGACAUGGGAUAUGUAUUAAACAAACUAAUUUAUUGUGCCAAAUGAGAUAUUACAAUCUAAAGAAUUAGUUAAAUAAAUGAAAUGAAAAAUUAAAAUGUAUAUGCAUGUUUUGUUGGUUUGUUGAACGUGUACAUGUAUUUAAGUGAGUUUAAACGAACAAAACUCAUCUUUGUUUUGUAAUUUGUAUGUUUAUCUUUAUUUAAGUUUAACUUUGAAGUUUAGAAGUAUUCAUGCACAUGUAUGAAGUUUAUGUAUGCAGUCUCUAUACUCUUUUUUGUUUUGUUAAAUUCAAAUAAGGUUUAAAAUUUUAGUCUUAACACUUUUUUCUGUUCUAUAAAUUGAUUAUGAUGAAUUUAUUUAAGCUUUUCUUAUGAUGAAUUUAUUUAAGCUUUACUUUGUUUUAGAUAAAUAUUUGAGAAUCUUCUAAUCAUUAUUUAUUUCAUGAUAUGUGAACUUUAUGGAAGGGUGCUUUUAUGCUAUUCAUAUUUGUAAGGAGGGGCUUUGAUUUUGAUAAAUUAUUUUAUCGACUUUUUGAAUUUAGAUUUCUUUAAAAGGGGUAUGUAGUACCUUUAUUGUGUUAUUUAUAUGUUAAUCUUCACUCACGUGCUCUUGUUAUUUUUCAUUUAUCAUAAUUAUUAUCAAGGUCCACUAUAUAUUAUAUAUUUUAACAUUAAUAUUAGGAGAUUUCAAUAAGGUCUACUAUAUUUUUGCCUUCUUGUUAAUAGAGCUUUAAGAUUGAAUAGAUCAAGGAAAUGAUUGGUGAUUAGUUUAUAAUAGAGCACCUGUCACUACUAGAAAAAUGGGCUUUACUGACACCAAUUUAGUGUCAGUAAUUACUUUUGCUGACAUUUGUUAAUUGUGUCAGUAAUGCUCAAGCCAGAACACACUGACACUAAUUUUUUGUGUCAGUGAUUUUUGCGUCAGUAUUUUGUGUCACUAUAGUAUCACCACAAUAGUGAUACUAUGAUGUUAGUAUCAGUUGAUACUAUUUCUAUGUCAGUAUUUUGUGUCACUAGAGAGUCACAAGGAUAGUGACUCAAUUGUAUUAGCAUUUAAUGAUACUAUUUACAUGUUACUGAUUUAUGUGACUACAGUAUCAGGAAUCCACUGACUCAGUAACAUAAAAAACUCUUAUCAUCAUUUAAAUAAUUAGUGUCAGUAUUAACGGUGCUAUACCGGUUGUGUUUUAUUUUUUUAAUCACAUUAUUCCUGUUUAUUUUACAAUUAAAAUAAACCCAAAAUAUAUUAAACAUACCAAAUCUUGUAAUGCAAUUCACAUAAUACACAUUUCAAAUACAUCAGUUAAAUUAAAAUAGUUCAAAUACAUCAUUGUUUGGGGGUAAAAAACAAGUUCAAGUACUAAAUUAAGCUUUGAACAAGUAGUAUACACGAUAAAGUACUAAAUUAAUUUCGGAAAAUUUAGCCAAGAAGAAAAAACAGAUAACAAUGUCACUGAUUUUGGAGUCACUGAUUUUGGAGUCCGCAUAUGCCUUCAUUUUUUUUCCACCUACAAGUAUAUAAAAUCAAUUAGCACACCACAAAAAAUAAGUCACAGAUUUGUUUUAAGGAAAAAUAAUCAUAAAUUACUUGUAUGUUACCUCGCGAUUGUAGGCUGUAAUUAACUUGGCAACGUAUGCAGCCCACUGAUCACGAAGUUGCGAGAGGUCCUUGACAGUGUAUUCCUCAACUCCCUUGAACUUUAAUUUUAAAACAACAAGUUAUUCACCGAAAAUCCUUGACUAAACUACUUAAUUAUCAUUCAUUUAAAUACAUUUGUGUGUUAACAAUUAAAGCCAACAAAUAAACUCCAACAAUGUUACUGUUUUAUCCAAAAUUAUAUAGGUAAAUACUGAACAUCCUGAUCAUGGUAAUUCCAAAAAAAAAAAACAACUUGUGAACCCCAACAGUACGCGAUUUAAUACAAAUAUGGAUGUAGAUACAAAACCUUAAUUAGGAUGACAACUUAUCCUCAUCAAAGUAAAGUACAAGCAACGACACCAUAGCACAUCCCCACUAACAACUACUUUGCAACCCAAACAAUUGUUUUGUGUUGGGAUAUGCAGUACAUUGUGUAUAUCCCAAAUCCUAAUUCAUGUCUAUAUGAAUAUUCAUAUAAUCUAUUCAACAGUAUGCAACAUAGUCACCAUUAUAAGUACCCUCACAGUUUAUAAAAUGCAUACAAUACGCAAUAAAAAGUUAACUGUAAAGAAGCACACAGGUGUUUGAGCUGAUUCAUUUCACAAUAAAUUAAAACAAUAUGAUACAGUAUUGUAAAAAUCAUUUUCAAUACUUACAUUAUUUUUCAGAACGUUCACAUUUGUGAUGAUAUCUUGCAUGUAUUUCAUCACAUAGUAACCACAUUCAAAGCUGCUCGGCUGCCUCGGACACUACAAGAUCAAAAUUACAUUAAUACAUGCAUAUACAAAUGGAAAUAAAAUAAUGACAUGUAACAGGCCAUAUACCUUUCUUUUUCGAAGAGUUUCAGGGGAUUGUUGAUCAUUGUCAAUCUGAACACCAGUGGAAGUUUUGGGCUUAGGAAAGUUAGAACUUCCAACUUCAGUAUUGUUGUACGCAUUUAACCUNNNNNNNNNNNNNNNNNNNNNNNNNNNNNNNNNNNNNNNNNNNNNNNNNNNNNNNNNNNNNNNNNNNNNNNNNNNNNNNNNNNNNNNNNNNNNNNNNNNNGAUACAUCUUUCUUUCUCUUGCUAAUUCAGUGGCAUCAGGGACAUGAAAGUACAUAGAUGAGGUGACGAAUUGCCCCACUCCUUGCACCCUGCUUCCAUUUGGCUGCUUCUGAAGAGCUUCACCUAGAAUGUCAUGUGACCCUUAUGAUUGGAAUGUUCCUUGUUCAACCUGACUCUUCAGCUCAUUCUACAAAAAAAAAAUAUUGUAAAUUUGCAAUUACGAGUACAAGAUAUCAGCUAAACUAAACUAAUAUCCUUCUUAAAUCUUUAACAAAGGGCAAAUCCAUAUACAGUUCAAAUUGAAACUACAGAAAAUAUUACAAGACAACACCUCACACAAGUUUUAACCUUUUUAUAUGCAAAGAAAUAAGUUCUGAUAAAAUCUUACUGAGUUUCUGUCAAUUGUAAAUGUUGCCAUACAAUUAUUACAAAAAACGGUAUAUAUGUACGUAAAUAUCUACCCCCACACACACAUAUUAUAAAGAAAAUUCAUAAGAAUUAAGUAUACAAGUGACUUACUAUUUUCUCAGCAAUUGGCGUCACAUCAGAAGCAUAUUUGCCAUCUCGGUCUGCUCGUGCCAUUAACCAAGCUUCACUGCGAUCAAUCUCCCGCUCAGAAACUCCACUCUCCUUUUUCUGUUACAAGGUGACAUAAAACAUAAAUAAUUGAUUCUAUUAUAUUAUACGCAUUAGAUUACUUAUGUUACUAUAAUUACUCCAUAUUACCACACUUACUUUUCUAUACAACAUGCCACCAUAUCAUGUGCUACCCAAGCGAUGGUUGUAGACAUUCUUUGCUCUUUUGUCUUUUGCCUUCUUACUUUUUUCCUGCACAAACAGUUUAUAUGAAGAACAAAAAGUUACCACUGAUUAUUAGUAACUACCAACAAUUAAAUCAGGUAAUAUUAACAAACAACACACCUGAAAUUGUUCAGACAAAACUUUGUCAACAAAAAGUUUCCAAUCUUCUUUUUUAAUGCUUGGAUAUUCAAUAGGAGGCAACCUUAGUGACUUUCGAUCGUCCUUGUUAGGUAGAACGAAUUCAGUUGCCAGUUCACAUCGAAAGUUUCUUAAUGCAACCCCCAUCCACUUUAAUACUUGGCUUUUGCAUUUCAAGCUCAAUUUGAAUUUUUUCUGUCAACCAAUCACAUGGAUUAGAAAAAACUUUAAACAAAUCUGGAAGUUAUAUAAAAUCUUUAAACAUACUAUGAAACAAGAAAACAAAACUUGAAAAUGAACCCUCAAAGUUUCCUUCAUCUCCAGUGGCACACGCCUCCAAUCAUCAAGUAAAAUUGAAAUUGUUUCACGUACAAUGACUCCAAUGUAACUCCUAAGAUCAUUUCUUCCCUUUCCAACUGGAACAACAUAAGAAUUGUACUCAAUUGUAGCUUCAUGACUAACUUCUUGUUUUUGCAAACCUUUUUGUUUGUUUGUUUUCUUCUCCUUAGUCUUCCGUCGAGCUCCGGAAGAGUGAACUCAACAUCGUUAGCCAUCUCCUACAAUCCUGAAAAUGAUUAAAAUAAAUAAGUAUAUCAUUUAGAUUAAUAAGUUAAUACAAAAGCAAUAGCAUAUAAUGAAAUAAAUAAAUCACUUACUAGAAACUAACUACAAUAAUGCAUUCACUGAUUUUCUAAAUCAAUAUCUAUUGGAAUAACAUCAUAAUCUUUUCUGUCAUAAAUUCCUUCAUCAUCUUUCUCAUCCAACUCACAUACUGGAAGUUUGUUAGAUAAUGGAGAAAAUACAUCCACGUCUUCACAUCUUUCCCCAUUUAACUUAUAAGCUUUGUCGGUCACUGAACAAACUAUUGAUUUAUUAUUAUCUAGCUAGUCCUUUACAUAAAAUACUUGCUUUGCAUGACAAGCCAGAAUAAAGCAAUCAGAUUUAUAGCCAAUCCGAUUUAAAUCAACUACAGUGAAACCUAAAUUGUCAGUGCAAACCCCUCUAUCAUCUACCCAAUCACACUUGAAAAGUGUUUUUUUUACCAUUAGAUAAUCAAGCUGCCAAAUCUCAUCAAUGACUCCAUAAAACGUCAUGUCUCUAAAAUGAGGACUUUUAUCUUUUGAGCUUGAAAUCUGUAGAGUGUUAGCACAACCCUAACACCACUAUUUUGGGUCACACGAUUACAGUCUCGGUCCCUCGUUGUAAAAUUGAAGCCAUUUAUCUCGUAGCCAAAGAAGGUCACCAUGCUUGAGCAUGGUUUGUUUGCCAACCAACACACUAUUUCGUCAAUCGGCACAUUAUUUGCUUUAUCAUGUGCCACCUAUAAAUUAAAUUAACAAGUACAGUAAUUAGUAACAUGUAGAAAAAUCUUGUUAAGUUUAUAUCCUAUAUUGUAUUUAGUUAAGUAAUUCUAACCUUUACUUGUAACCAACCAGAAAAUGUACGUAUGUGUUCAUUUUGCAACCACAUAUUUGUUUUUGCCUUAUAGGGGUUUCUUGAUGCCAAAUAAUGCAUAUGCUCCCUACAGUGAGACAUAUUAAGAUUUAAAAACUAGUAUAUUAAUCUAAUAAUAUAAUAGUAAUGUUUUUUUGGAAAAAUUAACAACUUACUCGAUAUAUAUUUAGAUUUCAGGGGUGUUUAUUAGAACACACCGGUGUGCUUGUGCCAACAAAUGAUCAUUAACCACCUUUAUGUUUGCACCUCCCAAAGGCUUUUCGAUAGAUAAAUCAGUUGGACAACUAGUAGGCAGUCCAAUAACAUCACAAUUUGAGAGGUACUCAGCACAAAAUGCAAGUGCUUCUUCUACAAUAUAACUUUCUACAAUACAACCCUCAGGACGGUAGCAAUUAUGAACAUAAUCCUUGAGAGUUUUCAUUUGUCUCUCAAAAUGAUACAUCCAUCGAAGAUAAAUAGGCUCACAUAACCUAACUUGUUCAACUAAGUGGAUUGUUAAAUGGAUCAUUAUGUCAAAAAAGCUAGGUGGGAAGUACUGCUGCAGUAAGCAUAAAGUGAUUACAAGUUCCUCUUGCAAUUGGUCAAGAGUAUUAGGAUCUACCGCUUUACAGCACAAUGUAUUAAAAAAUAAGCACAUCCUGAUUAUGGCACUUCUCACAUUUAUAGGCAAACAGUUUCGAAUGGCUAGUGGUAGAAAUUAUUGCAUCAAAGUAUGACAGUCAUGGGACUUAAGGCCUUGAAGCCGACAAUCAUCUAUUGAAACAAGGUUUUGGACAUUGGAAUAAUACCCAUCAGGGACUUUCACACUCAGCAAGGUUUUACAAAACUAUUUUUUUUCUUUUUUACUCAAAGUAUAAGGAGCUGGAGGUAGGACUUUGUUUUUUUUGUUUGUUUCAUCAGGAACUAGUUUUCCCCUGAUCUUCAAAGACUUAAGAUCUUUUCUAGCAUUAAUCCCAUCUUUUGUUUUGCCUGGUUGAUGAAGUAAUGUGCCAUAUAUGUUCUCGCACACAUUUUUUUCAAUGUGCAUCACACAUCUAAUUGAUGGCGAACUAAUAAAUGCUUCCAAUAAUCUAACUAAAAAAAGAUUGACUUUUUUUUGUACAAUUUUUUAGUUAUGUUCUCAUCAACAUCACCGCCUUCAUGUUUCCGCUUUUUGGCCUUCUUUUUCCCGAACUUAAUAUCUAUAUCUUCCACCAUAUUAAAGAUUUCCUCACCAGACAAAGUUUUAGGAGGCUCAUUCCACUCUUGCUUCCCAUUAAAAACCUUUUUCAGUUUCCGAAAUAGGUGACCGAGUGGUAGAAAGCGGCGAUGGCCCAUAUAUGACAUUUUCCUACUAUGUGGCAGCCAACAUGCACAAGUGUCUAUCCCACAAAUUGGGCAAGCAUAAUAGCCCUUAACAGUACAACCAGGGAGGUUUUCGUAUGUUGGAAAGUCACUGAUUGUCCACAUCAAGACAGCCCGUAAAUUAAAGGUUUCUUUUCUAUAAGAAUCAUAUACAUCAAUACCUACAUCCCAUAGAGUUUUUAAGUCCUCAAUCAAAGGUGCUAGGUAUACAUCUAGAUCAUUUCCAGGUUGUUUAGGGCCAUAUAUCAAAAGUGACAACAUCAAAAACUUUCUCUUCAUACACAACCAUGGAGGAAGAUUAUAUGUUAUUAAUAUAACAGGCCAACAACUAUAAGUAGUGCUAAGUGUACUAUGUAGGUUAACCCCAUCAGUUGAGAGAGCUAAACGUAGAUUUCUAGGUUCUUGUGCAAAUUUUGGCCAUUUAUUGUCAAUUAGUUGCCAGGCUGGUGAGUCUGCUGGGUGGCGAAGUUUGCCAUGUUAAAUUUUGAGUUGUUUGUGGUGAUUGAAACAAUCUUUUCAACCUAGGAAUAGGUGGAAAAUACCAUAAUACCUUUUUAGGAACCCCUUUCCUAAAUUAUGUUGAGCUAUCUUUUUUUAUUUGAUACCUAGAUGCUCCACAAUUUGGGCAUUCAGUAAGAUCAGAAAAUUCAUUCCUAUACAAAAUGCAGUCAUUUGGACAUGCAUGUAUUUUUUCAUACUCUAAGCCUAGCACUUUCAUUGUUUUCUUAACCUCGUACAUUGACAUAGGUAGAGUAUUAUUAUUUGGCAAAAUAUCAGCAAGGACUUCUAACAAAGCAGAAAACCCUUUAUCGGACCACCCAUAGUUCCCUUUCACAUUGUAAAGUCUCAUUAAACUAGAUAACUUUGAAUGUUUUGCACCCGGGUACAAAGGCUUUUCAGCAUCUUCAAGCAUAUCCUUAAAAGAACUAGGAUCUCUAUCACAAUGCUCGUAAGCAUCUUCGACCAUGUCAAUUAUAUUACUGUAAUCAUGACAUCUAAAUCUUUGACUAUGUGAAUGGUCUUCACAGUUUGUAAAUGUAGAUUUAGAGUCAGUCUCACCAUGCCAAGUCCAAACAAUAUAUCUUGGGAGAAAACCUUUUUCAAAUAAAUGAUCCUUCACUUGUUGAGGAGUAUGAAACUCCAUAUUACAACAAAAGGUGCAAGGACAUCUAAUUGACAUUCGAUUUUCAGCAUUCAAAAUGGCAAAAUCUAAGAAAUCAGCAACUCCAGAACGAUACUCUACAGACAAUCUAUCACAAGUUAUCCAACUUCUGUCCAUUUCAAAUAUUUUACCUGUUCACAUAUGUAAUGUCAGUUUAAGUUUAAUUAAAUUGCAUGAUUAAUUUAAAGUUCAAUGUUAUUAUGAUUAUAGUUGUAAUAAUAAACUUAUAAUUCUGGAAAAUCAUUAAUAGCCCUAUAAAUCAUUAAUUAUAAUAAUAAUUUAGACAAAAUCAUGAAAUUGAAACAAAAUAAGUUUUGAAACUUAAAUAGGAGAUUAAUAGGUAAGAUGGGUGCUAAUGGCUUUUUAAGUAGUCGAACUAAUUCAUAAGUCAAGUAACUAACAAAAGUUAAGAGUUCAAAUAAAUAAUGUCUUCAUACCACUUUGCAAGCCAUUUUUUAAGAUUCUAUAAAUCAUUUUUUAACUUCAAAUAAAACAUGCAGAACUACUUUAAAACAAGCAUUUCUUUAUUGAAUCAAACACAAAUCAUCAACUUUAUACAAUCUCAAAAUACUCACAACCACGAACUUAAUUAAUUCAUAUCAUAGUCAUUGUCUCUAUUACAAAUCGUCCAACCAAAACAGAAUAAAUAAACAAGUAGGAUUAUAUAACAACAUUUGCCUCUUUUUACAUGAAACAGAGAUGUAAAUAGUUUGUAACCACUAAAUACAAAGUCAUUCAGCCAAUAUAACACCCAAACAAUCAUCUCCUAAUCACAAAGGCAAACCCUAAAAUCAAAUUUCAUAUUUUAGUACAUUCAAAAUCAACUAACUUAUUGCUCAAAGUUAAGAAACGAAGCUAACAAUUUAUUUCAGAAACUAACAAAAAUGCACAUUCUUAGUUUUAAAUAACAAUGACAGUAAAUCACAUGCACAAAAGUUUGAAACUGACCUCAAAUGUGGCAGAAAAAACAGAGUCGCAGCAGCAAGUGUUUUGAGUUUAAGUAAUGCACCACUUAAAAUGCCUGUAUUUUUGGACUGCAUGUGAGUGAAGAUAUAGAAAAAUAAGAACAAAAAUUUCAAGUUACGAAUAAAUAAAUAAAAAGAUUUGGAAAACAAAACCCACCAGGGUUGCACGACUGUUCANNNNNNNNNNNNNNNNNNNNNNNNNNNNNNNNNNNNNNNNNNNNNNNNNNNNNNNNNNNNNNNNNNNNNNNNNNNNNNNNNNNNNNNNNNNNNNNNNNNNAAACAACCCAAAAAUAAAAAUUCAAAAAUAUUAUUCAUAAGCCAAAUUAAAACAAACCCAAUAAUUAAAUUGCACAAAAAAAUAAAACAUUCUGCCAUUACCAGCUGAUAACCUCCUCUACAGUUCUUUCUCUGGACUUAACUUGUCAGGGAGAAUGAGAUUACCUGAAUACCGAACCGAUGGUGCCACUUCACCCCUUGUCGAUGGCUUUUACUUGCUUGCCUAGUAUAGGCACUGGAUGGUUAAGUUGGAGAAAAACCCCUUCGAUAACAAGCGAUUAAGGUUUUGGUUUGUGUUUCAAUUUGGGGAAAAUGGAAAAACGAAAUAGAGUUUUAGGUUUUCAUUAUCUAUCUAAAUUAAUUGAAUUUAAUUUGUAAAUGGAUAGUGCAAAACAGAAGAGAUCGAGAAGAGAAAAACGAAAGCGAAAGUGAACGAUGAAAGCAAGAUAGAGACAGUCGAUAUAGUCUAGAUGGGGAGAACAAGUGUGUUUUAUGUUGUCGUUAUUUAUAUUUUCAUUUUUUAAUAAUUUAAAUAUUAUUAUGACUUUGACUCAUCGAGAUUUGAUGGUCUGUGCUCCAAACAUUAAAGCUUUAAAUCUUAGAGCUCUCAGGUUCGAGUUGGAGUUAAAACAAAAUUUUUAUGAAUUUUUUUUAUCAUUGAUACUUUAGUGUUAGUGAUUUUUUAUGUUUAGUUCACUGACAUCCUAGUAUCAUUAAUCUCUUAUUCCUAUUUGUCAAAAGCGGAAAAUGGUGCAUAUGUACAUAAGUACUGACACUUUUUGCAAAGUGUCAGUAACGAAGUGUCAGUAAAGCCCAUUUUUCUAGUAGUGAUGUGAAUUUUGUAAAUCUUAAUUUAAUAUAACGCUUUAAUUGUUAGGAGCUAGCAAUAAGUUGGUUGGGGAGUGUGAUUAGUGUUAAAAAUUGUAUGUUUAUUAAGGGGUAAAAAUAUUAUUUUACGCUUAUAAUAUAAUUUACAUUUGUAAUUAUGUAACAUAUUAUGAAUUUCUACUUAAAUAUUUGAUUUUGUGUAUUUUUGUGUGUUUAUUAGGUAAAAAUAAUAAUUUCACACAAUUUGAGGCUCCAAACAAAUGUACGGAUGUGAAAUUUGAAUUCCGGAAGUCUGAGAAAUUAGGUCAUUAUUGAGGAGGAUCCACCACUUUUGUUGUAAAUUUAUAAGUUUUUACCACGGUAAAUGUGGUAGUUGUGAAUAUAUAAGUUUUUGCUAAUGUGUUGGAUGUGCUUAAGUGGAUUAAGUUAGGUUUAUAUUUUGUUAGUGGGACAAAUGUAUGGCUAAAAUGUAAUUAGCUUUAUUUAUUUGUGUGGUGUAAAUUAAUCAUGUAUUAGUAUAAAUAGAGGGGGGGAGACACACCUCUCCACACAUUUCCUUCUCUUCUUUCCCCUCAAAUUUCUUCUUCUCAUCUCUCUUUGUAAUAUAUUUUCAAUAAAUAAAAUUAGUUUUAUUUUUAAUUUUCAAAUACUUUUUUUAAUUAUCAAAUACUUUUUUUAAUUAUGUUUUUUAUUUUAAUAAUUCCAUUUAUUUCAAUUAUGUUUGGCUAAAUACCAAUAGUUAGGCGAAGGUGAAACUCUUAGUAAAAACAUAUGAUUUAAUCAAAUUUUAUUUUUAAUUAUAUAAAUUAAAUUAUUUCUAUUUAAUUUUAUCCAUAUUUUAAAUUUUUAAAUUUUGAUUUAUUGUAGAAAAAUAUAGGAUUUUGGCAAAAUGAAUUCUUAAUAUCUUAGUAUAAAGUAUGGUAAAAUGGUAUUUUGACUUAUUGUAAACAAGUUAAGUUUUGACACAUUAAGUACUUAAUCCACAAUAAAAUUAAUAGGAAAAUAAUUGUAAUUUAUACAAUUAAUCUUUUGGGUAAUAAAAUAAAAAAAAUAUUAUUAAAUUGUAUUUAUUACUAAGAGUGGAUCCAUAACCCUAACUAAUUUAAUUUCAUAAUUUUUCUCAAAUUAAAUUGCAUAUAUUUAAAUUUUAUUUUCAUUUUUUUAGAUAAACUUAAACAAACAAAUUAAAUCUUUUCUCUGUGGAUCAACCUCGGACUCAUCGAGCUAUAGUAUAAUUAGGUACUCUUAUACUUGGGAGUAAAUUAAACAUUUUUAAUUUGUGUCAAUCUGCUUUUAAAGAGGGGCAGCCAAGUGUUUUACCCUUAACCUUUGGCUCAAGAAGAAAAGUUGAUGCUGGAUUUGUGAGCUCUUUUAACUUUCUUAAUAAUUGAACCUUGGCUAGAUCAUCACUAUCAUUGAAACGCUUUACAAUCAUCUCUAUCUCCGGCAUGCAACACACAAUGUUUUUUAUUCAUCUUGAUUGACUUGUAAUAGGUCUAGUUUCUUCUAGUGAGAAUGAAGAGAAGACAAAGGAAUAGGUCGACCUUCACGUUUGUACUCUGCAAUCUCGGGUGCUCAUGGAAGCCCAUGAGUGUGUCGUAUUAUACAUCCACAAGCAAAAACAUCUGGACUGAGAGAAUCAGCCCGUCUAGACUCAUCAAGUAUCAUAGUGAGUGCAUUCAUUGCGACAAAUCCUCUCAACUCUUUGAAAAUUAAUGGUUUAAAAUCAUGUUGUACCAUAGUUAAACUCCUCUCCAGUGAAGCCUUAAUCUCGACCAAUUAAAAUUCCAAAAAAGUAUGGAUUUUUGUCCACGAUGACUCAAAAGUGCCUCGGGAUGUCCUCAACUGCUUCUUCAAUUUAGAAUGUGACGACUCAACCUUUUAACUAGUGCAAUAAAAAAAUUUUUAUGUGAAUAACAACUUUUUUUGUUAGAUAUCAAAAUAAUAAUGAAAUAUAAACAAAUUACAAUUUUAUUAUAAUAGUUUACUUAUUCGAUGUCACGUUUCUAAAAUGCAUAACUGAGUUUGUCCAUGCAGAAACAAAUUUUUCCUUACACUUAUCUAGCCACACAUUCCUUAUAUAAGUAAGUGCUAUAGGAUAUUUUGAAAAAUCAGUCUCCAUACCUUUUAAUCGUUGUGCAAACUCUUCUUCUGAUGCAGAUAAGACUAAUAGAUUCCAACUAGAAAUAAAUGUCUGCCAAAUCUCAUUAGUCUCAAACAAAUUCUUACAAUUAGCCAAUACAUUUCUUGAUAUAUGCCACCUGCAAAGAAAGGUAGUUGCACUUGGAAAUAUUUUUUGAAUAACUUUCAUCAAAGCUAGUUCUCUAUCUGUCACAAUAACACUUGCCAACAUAUUUUCUUCCAUUAUACUUUUUAGUGUAACGCCCCAGACCGAAUUCCAAGGGCAAAUAUGUCCACAACUGACAUAUGAAUUUAAAUAACUCUUUACAAACGACAAAAUUCGAGCCUCCAAUACAAAAGCCAGCGGAAUAACUUAAAAAUUUAGCCAAACCAUCUAGUAUCUUCAAUUCAAAUCCAUCUUCUCACUCAUUAUGAAUCAAUCAUGACUUCUGGAAACUGAAUCACAAUAAACUAUAAUGAGUACAAAACCCAGUAAACAAACUAGUUUUUCUUAUACGGAAAUACAUACAUACUUAUACAUAAUGCAAUGGAUGAUAUGACAUGAUCUUUUGGAAAUACUGUAAACAAAUUCACCAAAAUCUCUUUUUGUCGCUUUCAAACUUUCUCAUUUUCUUUCAAUAAAAUAUGUAUCCUACAAUGUGGCACUUUGUGCUGUGCAUGGCACUUUAUGGCACUCUGGCCCUCAAGAGGUGGCCCCCGCAAUGUCUCAAGAGGUGGCUCCCAAUGCAAAAUCUCAUAAAACAAAAAUUCUGUUUGCUAAAAUCCACUUUCUCAUUCAUAGAAAACUCAAUGCAUUUUCGUGCUCAUGCCAAUGAACCAUCACACAUACAUAUGCCCAUGUACAUAAUCACGCCCAUUACAUAACAACACAUCAUAUAAACACAUGAGCAGAGACAUAUAAAUUCAUAUUCGUACAUAUCCAAAUAGGCUUUUCAUACAAGUCAAACAUAUAUAUUAUUUAUUGUGAUUCGUUUUAAAGUCUAGUUCACUUACCUCUUGGCAUCCUCAUGCAACAAAUGAGUACUAAUAUCAUCAUUCUAAAAUCGUCAAUAAAUAUCUCAUAAGAUAUAAUCAAGUCUAAACCAUAAACUCUAAUUUCCUCAACUAUCUCAAUUUAAACAUCUCAUAAGCUCAACCUCAAAUGUCCUCAAUAAUCGGUCCUCAAAACAGAACAAUCCAUAUUCUCUGAUUUUUAAUAAAUUAUUCCCUCAUUGGAAAAAUCUCAAAUUUUACAGACCAUAUGCUGACAUAUUGAAAGUUCAUUGAUAAAACUUUCAUAAUUUGAUUCAUUCAAAAACUAUUGAAAAUAAUUGACGUUUUAGACAUCAUCAAUACUGUCAAAUAAUUUUCUGUUUGGCACAAACUUGCUUUAAAAAUACAAAACAAUUUAUUGCUUUAUCAUAAAAACCUGAACAUUUACAGAAUCACACUAGACAUAUAUAAAAAUCAUUGAUCCAAAUUUCAUAAUUUUUUAAGAAGUGUAGUUAUGGUAAAAAUAAUUUCGUAAUUCACGAUAUUCACUGAAAUCAGAAAUUUUCAGGUUUUCAGACUUGAAUUUGAAAAAUCGUAAUUAAUUGAAAUCUUAUCCGAUUAACUUGAAACAAGUUUCAAGACAUUUUAGACUAUGUCUAGUUUAACAUAGCAAAAAAUCAGAAUCAAAGUCAAUUUGUACAAAUUACUAUGAGUUUCAUAAUAAUUCACUGUCAGCAUAUUUCUGCAAAAUCUUAUGUUUCUACUUCCAUUGCAAUCAUGCUUCUCCACAACAAUUUAGUAAAAACCAAAAAGUAAAACUUAUCUCAAAAACUUCUCCCAACAAUAAUAACUUGAUCCCAUGUGUUGUCUAUGCAGAACUAAGAAAAGAGAAGAAUACUUUUUCUUUUCUUUUCUUCUUUUUCUCUCCAUCUCUCUCUCUCUCUCUCUCUUUUUCUUUUUUUUUUUUGUCGUUCUCUUUUGCUUUUUUUUUCCUCAACCGAUUUCUCUUUCCCACUCUCUUAUGAUGGGGAAAGACAUCUUAUUCUAUUUAUACUAGGGUAAAAAGGAUUACUAAAAAUUAAAAAGACUUAAAUACCCUUAGGAGAAUUGGGGUAUUACAUUUAGUCUCUCUAAUGCCCAAAUAUACUUAUUCUCCCACUUUAAUUUAAGAUAUACACAGCAAACUGAAAAUGUCAAAUCAGUUGAUGUAACACCAACUAUCUCCAGUAACGGCAUAUCAUAUCUAUUGGUUUUAUAUGUGCAAUCCAUAAUCAAUACUCGCGAGAAAGCUUGCAACAACUCUAUUGCAGCAGGGUGUGCUAAAAAUAAAGCUUUGACACAAUCUGUAUCCACAUCACUUUUAUGCCGCUCAAUAUAUUUAUGCUCAAUUAAUUUACUCAUAAGUAGUUGCAUUUGCGAAUGCCUAGCUUGUUCUCUGAGCUUAUAUUUUCGUCAGGCAUUGUAGAUUGCUCGUAUUGUAAUGACAUUAUGCAUAUUUCUUUUCUUUAAGACAUGUAAUAUAUCUUUUGGUCUAACAUUGUUCUUCGACAUAUCAACCAAUAAAUUGCUCUUCUCUUUAUUAAGUAUGCCAGCAAAUGAGUGGCCUUCAAGAUAUUGUGUAGCAAGAUGGUUUUGGAACCCAUUUAUCACUAUCAAUGCCUAGUCAUCAUUAUUUGCCAUUUUCUGACCUUUUAGUUUAAAUGGACCCUUGUAUUUCUUUGUUCCUGUCGCCUUUAUCGGUUUUGGCUUGUGACCUUGAGGACAUCUAUGCCUAUAAACACCACUUUUUUCACAUGUGAAAAUUUUCCUUGGUUUUCUACCAUUUGCAGUUACAUCAGAUUUUUCAAUCAUAAUAACAAGUCCAUUUCUCUUUCCAACAUCUCGUGUCCAUUCUACUUGAAAAAACUUGUAACAAAAGAAAAUACAACUUACCUGACUAAAUAUUGUAUACUGCAUGUGACUAGAAAUAAAAGAAGAACUUGAUUAAUACAUACCAUAUUAGUCGUAAAUUUAUCAGUAUUGUCUAAAACCGCUAAAACCUUUGAAACAUCAUGAUUAUGAGUUGGUCUUUCAUCCUGUAUUGAGAAUGAAUUAUAAAUUAAAUAAAAAAAUUUAAAUAAUUUAACAUAUCAAAGAAAGAAAAUCAUGCUUACGAAAAUGCAAGUAGCCAAAUACUCAAAACAAUUUAUCAUAUAGGGAUGGUAAAAUUCAGAUUUGGAUCCAGAUGUAGGUGGAUCCGAAUCUGCAUCUGGAUUAACAUUUUUACAUCCAGAUCUGCAUUCGGAUCCGUAAAUUUUUUAAGGAUUCGGAUGCAAGUAGCAUCCGCAUGGAUUGCGGGCGGAUAUCUCAGAUAUUCGGAUUCGCAAAAUUAAAAUUUAAGAAUUUAGAAAUAAAAUUAAGAAUUUUCAAUUUUAUAUAUUAAAAAUCAAUGCAUUAAAUUAAAGUAAUUAAACCAAAAAUCAUAAAUUAAUUUUUGACUACUUGUCAAUUAAUUCAUCAAUUAAUCAAUCAUAAUUUUGCAAGUCUUCAUUGAGAUUCAGAAAAUGAACAGAGGGAAAAACCAUUAAAUUCAAUCUUCAAAAUCAGCAGCAAUAGCAACAACAAACUAACGGUGGCCAUUUGUCUCCAUUCAAAUUCGCCAAGUAGUUAGAUCUGACAGAUCAUGGGACAAGAUCAAUUGGGAAUGUGCUCCAUUGUGUUCGACAAGUGGUUUUUAGACCCAAGAGUCAUUAACAUUUUUUACAACCCUCUGACGUGGAGUGUGAGUAAUCCAAGCUGAUUACAAACAUGACUGGGAAAACAUGGAAUAAAGUAUUAAAAACUCUUACUAUAGAAGGGACAUCAUGGGCUAAUGAGGAAGGACGAGUGAUCAAUCGAAUUGACCUUAAACUUGUUGCUAAAAUGUGGGUCAAAUUUUUAAAAUCUAGAUUGAUGUAGUAAAAUACAAUAAAAACAUGUCAAAAUUUCAUCAAUGUCCUUAUAUUAUACCAUUUCACACACAUGAACAUCUUUAUUAUUUACGGUGUAUAAAUGAAAUUAUUAUUUAUGCAUACUGACGGCACAGAUGUUAUGACAUGAAUGAACCCUAAAAUUUCUCUCUCUUUUAGCUUAAAUGGAGAUCAUAUUACCCACAAAAUUACGAAAAUGACACUUUAUCUGAUCUUUUGAUUUUUCAUAAUUCCAUCCCUAUCAACAUUCUUAGUAUUAUCUGAUAUUUUCAAAUAAGUUCAAUCUUAAAUGUUUUUAUUCCACAAAUAAUGUGCAACUGUCUAUGUACUAGUCUUUCUGAAGACUAGCAUUGAAUCAAUGUAGAAAAUGAUUGAUAUUGAAAGAGUUGUCGUUGGCAGACUAUGUUAUGCCUUAGGUCCAUAUCCACAUUUCUUUGAAAAUAGGAAACAUUUAAGUUCAUUCAACCCAAAAACUAUCUUAUUAUAAAAAUGCUAUAGUAAUUUAAAUUUGUUCGAUUUUAUGCCCAUUAUUUAUAAUGUGUAUCAACCAUUCAUUAAAAAGAUAGAACUACCUUUACAAAAUGACCACCACUAUAAUUUUUAUUUACUUUUAUUUUAUUAUUUUGUAAGGAAAAUUUUAUCUUUGUGAUGGAUGGUAGAUAAAAAUUUCAUAUAUUGAGUGUAAAAUCAAACAAAUUAACAUAAUAUACUUCAGUGAACAGUUAAUAAUUUUCCUCAAAACUAUUUUUAAUAACAAAAUAAACUUCAAUUUCAAUUUCUAAUCUUUGGCCAAAGGCUAAAAGAAAAAAAAAUCAUUGUUUACAUCUGGGAUUUGAUGCAAUAGUCAUUUCAUCGUUGCUUUUAAAUAAUAACUCAUUUCAUUCCUAAUUUUAAAUUAUAACCCAAACUACCCUUAUGUGAAUUUACAGUUAGUUUACUGUAUAGUUCUUUGAGGACAAAAUAGAAUUUUCAAUUAAAUAUAUGCAAACCAUUUUAAAAUAAAAAUAUCAAGCACAAUUACAUAACAUUUGACUUUCUGUAUAAAUUUAAAAUUCAAAUAUAACUUAAUAAAACAAAAAUAACACUAAAUACUAUGCAAUACAUAUGUGUUUGUUGUGUUCACUAAAGUUUUUUAAUUAAGUCAACUUAAUUUUUUAGUGAAUAAUAAUAAUAAUAAUAAUAAUAAUUGUGUUAUGUAGAUUUUGGGAUGCAAGAAAGAUGGCAAAACCUAACAAAAAACAAUGAAUUUAUUUUUGAGGUGCAGGGUGUCUCACUGAAUUGGGGUGUGUAUGGUCUGUUUUAGGCUUUUUUAAAGAUGAAAGGAGAGUUAGAGAGGAAUGGUUAUGGUGAGAGAUCAGAUCUGGAGUGAGAGAGCUUGAAAGAAUGUCUUAAACCUGCAACACAAUAAAAAGGAGGUUAGAGGUGGAGCCGUUGGUAGCUAACAACCACACUCCGCCGCUCAAGUCAGGUUUUGGGACUAUUAAUGGUAUUAAGAGGUUGCAAAUUCUCUAAAAGGCUAGGUGGAGAUUGAAGGAGACCUCAGCUUUUUUAGUGGAGCUUGUGUUUUGUUAGGGACGAGAAAUGUAGAACUUGGUAUCUUUGUAUAUGGAGUACCCUGGCUGCUCUGCCACGUGGUGCAUUUCUAGUGGUGAUCUUGAUGUUCUUUCCAAGAUUUUUUUUGUCUUUUUACCUUUAUCAUGAUCAGGCCGUUAGAAACAUGCUUGAGAAGCAAGAAAGACGUUAUUGGCGGGUUUGUUCUCUUGUACAUGUGAUGCAUGUUGCAAAUACCUUCAAAAAGGUUGUUUUGGUAGUUUUUUAGUGUGGCAGCUGAGGAUCACUGCCCUCAGCAUGCUGUUUCUUGCUUUUUGCUAGUGUGACAGCUUGUUAUCCUCUCUUUUUUAGCAAGAUAUUCCAUAUUUAAUUCUGUAAAAUCAAAUAUUCUCUUUAAGCAAUGGAGAUAUUUCACACGUGGUAUUUUAUAUAUUUUAUCUAGUCUUUAAUACGGCAUACCUAGCAGAUGUUAUAUAAUUGUGUUCGAGAAUUUUAUUUUAAAAUGAUUUUAUCUUUUUAUUGAAAAUUUUUUAUUUUAUUUUUAGUGAAUUAUACAGCAAAUUAUUAACAAAUUGACAAAAAGUAUUUUAGAUAAUUGUUCAAAAAAUAAUAAAAUAAAUUAUUAUUUAAAUAAUAAGAAUUAAAUACAUUAUUGCGUCAAAUGAUAUGGUUCUCACGGCUAAACUAAUCAAAGUUAAAAAACGUGUCACCCCCCAAACGAAUGCCUUCGCAUGGAGGUCACCCGGUGGGGCAACACGCAAAUUGGAUUAGUGAGAAAACUGAGAUUCUCGUUGCUUCUUUCCAAAUUAAAAUUUUCAAACGGAUGCUGAAUUGUUGAAUAAGACGCCAAAUUCUAUUUCCACCUAUGUCGUUGUAAUGAUAUUAUAUCUUUGCUGCAUGUGUCACACUCUCACAUCCGUACAAGAAAUAUAAUAAAUAAAUAAUAUGAGAUAACGGAUGGUAAUAAUAUAACAUGCCACCUCAGGUAUGUACCUCAGAAAAAUAAUUUUAAAAUAAAAAUAUAUAUAGAAAACCCUUUAAUUUAGGUUAAUUUAAAAUGUAUAAGGAAUAUUUCAAAUUUGAUAAAAGGUUUAAAAUGUAUAAGAAAUAUUAAUGUUUAUGUGCAUAUAAUUUUUAAAAAAUUAACAUGAAGUUUCACUUAAUUAGUAAUUAAUUUUAAACCCUUCAAAAUUAACAUGAAAUUUCACUUAAGUAGUAAUUAAAUUUUUAAACACUUUAUUUGAGAUUAAAAUCCUCCAUAAAAAUUAAUGAAUUGCACUUGAUAGUCUCAACUUACCCGAGCGGUUCGGCAUUCAUUUGAAAUUGUUAAUAUAUUGUGGACUUCAUUGUUAUCUCCUAGUUAUGGAAGUGACUAAUGUAGCGUUUGUUUUUUUAUCUGAAAUUUAAAUAAACUUGAAUAAGUCAGCAUUUUAAAUAGUGGUGAAUCUAUAUAUUUUUUUUUGUGUGUGAAUCACUAAAAAUAAGUAUUAAUUUAUUUUUUCUUUUAAUUUAAAAAAAUUAAAAAUCAGUAUUUCUACAUUUGUGCCCAUAGAAAUUAAAAAUGUUAAACAAAUAAUAAAUAUUUCAAAGAAUAUACAUAAAAUAAUAUGUUAUCAUAACAUAUGAUUAUUGCGAUCUUAAUAAAAAAUUUACUUUCUUUAUCCGUGGGUGUAGGCCAAUGAUCGAACUAUGUUAAUUCUCUGUGUUUUUUUUUAAUUAUUAUAAAACCUUACCUAAACUAGUUCUGUGGUUGACUGGAUUUCUACGUCUAACAGUUCUUGUGAUGUAUAGGCAGCUGAAACAAUUUUUUGCGUUUUAGAACCUUUCUGACUGUCAUAUAAAAUAAUAAUAAUAAAAAAUGACGUCUAUUUCCACCGCAUAUGACUAUUGGCGACGAUAGACGACCGUGCAAAAAGCCCGUUUUCUUGAACUGACUUAAGAUGUUGGCUAUAUAGUCUUGCUUAUUUAGACAAUUGUAUAUUUGAAAUAUCAAUAUAUUUUCGGAAAAUAUUGCUAAUGAAAAGGAAAAUAUUUCGUGAAGUUACCAAAAAUGUAUAGGAUAAGAAUAUAUAUAUCACUACUGAAAAGGAGAGUAAAAGGUAAACCCUAAAAGAACAUAAAUUUUAAUACAAAAGUAUAAAAAGUAAAAAUAAUCUUAUAUUGUUUAUCUUAUGGUUAAUUUUUAGUAAUAGUAUUUUUUUUUCCCACAUAUCAGAUAAAUACAUCAAAUUGAAAGUGUGUCAUAAUGUUUUAUGACACCUAUAGAAAAACCCACUCUGCCCACGAAAACGUGCCAAUGAUGUUCCUGUCCUUUUUUUAUUCAGUCCGCCCCAGCUCAAACUUAAUUACGCCAACGUUAUGGAAGUUCCUCACAAAUUUACGAAAAUGACCCUUUAUCUAAUAUUUUGAAAUUUUUGUAAUUCUAUCUAGGGAUGGUAAAAUUCCCUACGGAUUUGAGGUCCCACGGAGUCCCACCCCAAAUGAAAAAAAAAAUUGAAUAAUUUUUGGGAAAUGAAGUGGGGAGUGAGAAAAAUAAUCCUCAAAUUCUUAACGGGGUGGGGUUUGAUUUUGUACUCUCCACCCCACUCCCACCCCCACCCCAAUCUCCAUUAUAUAUAAAUAUAUUUUUUAUUCUUAUUUAAUAAUUUUUAUUUUAUCAACUAUAAUGUCAAUUAAUAAUUUUUUAUUUUUAUGUAAUAUAAACAUGAUAUGAAUAAAAGAAAAUUCUAUAAUAUAAUUCUUUUUUAACUUUAAAAUAUUAUUAUGUUUUCUUUUCUCUUUUAAGAUGCUGCUCUCUUCAAAUAUUUUUCAAUUUUGAUAGCAUUUUAAGAUAUUGUUUCAAACUUUUAGAGAUGUUUUUAAAAUAAUUUAUACUUUAUAAUAUCAUAAUAAUUUUAUUUUAAGUCUCUAAUUUUUAAUUUACUAAAAUUAUGUAUUUAUACCUACUAUAAAAUAGACAAAUGAGAAAUAGGGUGAGGAUAGAAAAAUCUUCCCCACAUGGAGAUUCACCAUCCCCACCCCCACUAAAUUUAUUGGGGAAUGAGGUGAGGAAUGGAGGCAAAAAAUUAGCCUACCCCAUUCCCCACCCCAUUGCCAUCCCUAAUUCUAUCCUCAUCAACAUUUUUAUAUUAAUUAAAAUUUUUAACGAACAUCAGUUGUAAGGUCCACAUCACAAUGACACAUCAUUAGAUACGUGACUACACGCACUAUGACACAUCAAGAUCACAAUGUUUUUAAUUAAGUUCAGUCUUAUUACAAAUGCACAACUGUCUGUCUACUAGUCUUUUUAUGUUUGGGAGCUAGAGUAAGUGUAGGAUUAGAUUAAUUUUCUAGACAAAAUAUUUAUUCCAUGUUUGACGGGCUCGCUUAAAUUUGAUUAAGAGGAUUAAAUUCAAAUUUACUUUUACAAUCAUAGGAUUAGUUAUCAUAAUUUUCACAUGGGUUUAAGGAGAAUUAGAGUAAGCAAUGUUUGUCCCUUUAUGACAAUCUGUUUGUUUAUUAAUGAGUUGUUAUCUAUUUAAUUAUUUAUUUAUUUUUAUUCAUGAUUUCUUAAAAAUUAAGUAUGUAUUUUUUAUUCUACCCAUGUCAUCUUUUAUCAUUUAUUUAUUUAAUGUUAAAAGUAAUGCAUUAACAAAAUUACUUUUUAGAAACAUGCCAUUUAUCAUUUGAUUAUUAUACAAAUAUUUUUAAAAUAUUUGAUUAAUAAUUAAUUUUAUAUUGAACUAUUUUAGUUAUAUUUUAUUUAAUAGGCAAUAAUAUGCAUCAUAUAUAAAAGCAUAUAAUUUUCAUAAUUUUAGUUGUUCUUGUUAAAAACCAUUUAAUUUCACUUAAAUUUAAUUUAACAUAGUGUAAUUAAAUAUUAUACUAAAUAUAAGAUUGUACUACAUAUAAAAAAUACAAUGUAAUCUAAUUCAAUUUAAUCUAAUUAAAUUUUAAGUGUUAAUUCAAUUUAAUCAUGCUUACUAAACGUAGCCUAACCUAUAACUAAAUCAUACAGUAUAUGAUUGAUUGAUAAUGAAAGAGUAAUCGCUGGCAGACUUAUGUUGUGGCUUGACUCUUGAGUCCAUUUCUUUGAAAAUAUUACAUCCAAUUUGGCCCUGCCAAUCGAACAGAUAGUUCAAAUUGACAAAAUGUCAAAAUCAAUUCAAUUGCGUGCACGUGUUGGCUUUCACUAUUUCUAAUUUUUGGCAAAAGGCUAAACUAAUAAAAGUCAUAAAGCUGGUCAAUCCCACAACCAAACACGAGGUCCAUUUGAGUUUGAUUUACCACUCCUCUACGGAGUUAUUACACGUCACUCUUAUUACACGUCACUUUGUGGGAUUAGAGGAAAAGGCUAAAGUUUGAUUGCAUAAUCGUAUAGACCCCCUUAAUUUUUUAAAUUGUUACAGCCCUUAAUUUUAUAAAUAGUUACACAAGUCUUUUUUUUUACCGUUAUACCCUUGAUUACAACCAUUCAAUAUUCAUUUUAAAUAAAUUCCAUCAGGAUAGUCUAAUAACAACUUAAUAUUUAAGAUAAUUCAUUAUAUAGGCAAUUUUAUUAAAUACACUUAUUGUAAUUUUUUAUUUAUAUCAUAUGAUAUAUAUAUAUUAUUUUUAUCUUAUUAUUGUAUUUAUAUUAAUUCGGGUUGUUAUAAUCAAAUGGUAUAAUAAUCAUUUAUGAAAUUAAGGUGUCUAUCUGACCAUUUAUGAAACGAAAGGGGUUUAUGUGACCACUUAACAAAACCUUACGGUUGUGGGUGGCCUUUUCCCAUUCGAUUAUGUAGGAAACUAAGAUUCUGGUUACUUCUUUCCAAAUUAUGAAUUUCAAAUUCAAAUGCAUGUUGAAUUGCUGAUAAGAUAUAAGUAUGGCAAAAUUUCCCGAUAGUAAUACUCUAUAUAGAAUUAAUUUUUAGUUAAUAAUAAAAAAAUUUGAUUUCAGUUUAGACCAGUUAUAAAUAAGAAUAAACUCCAUAUUGUAAUAAAUUAUAGCUUUUUAAUCCAAUUUUAAGAGUUUUUAGAUCCCAUUUUAAGAAACUUGCCUCCACAUAAUAAUAAUUAUUAGUGUAGCGUAAAAAUAUAUGUUAUGUUAUAUUAAAGGAACUUACUUCCAGAUAGUACAAUUACACAAUGAGAGAUAAUUAAUGAAGAGAAUGCAAAUAAUUAGAGAUUUUUAAGAUGACUUUAAUAUUCUUAAUAAUAGUGCAUAGAUACAUUGUACUCAUUUUUUGAUAUAUUGAGAUUUGAUAUGCUCCAUUAAUAAAUUAUUAAUGUAUUACAUACUUUACCUCUAUAUUCUUACACUAAGGAUAAAUAAGUUAAAACAAUAAUUUUCAUAACUACUCAUCUAUUAAGUAAUAAUUUCUUCAUUACAAUUAACUAAUUUGGUCCUAAUAUUAUAACUAUAGAGAGAUAUUGCUAUUUUGAGAUUGAUUGAUAGAGCACACCAGCCUUGAAUUUCGUUAAUGUCCCUAUAUGGUACCAUUUCACGCACAUCAAUAAUUUUACAUUGUACAAAUAUGGAGCCAUUAAUCAUGUAAAGAUUGUUAAUUUCCCCCCCUAGACCAUUAUUGGCCAUCUAUUUUGUUAUUUUAUUAUUGUUUUUAUAAUAACCUCUAAGCCAAUUUUUUAAAGGAAAUUGGUGGGCUCAAAAUUCAAAUAGCCCCACCAUUAUUAAAUUAACUUAAAAUCUUUUCCGUAGAAAGUAGGGUAUUAUUGAAAUUGAUUAUGCGAAAGAUAUUUACGUGGCCCAUGAUCAAAUAGAUGUAAAUAAAGUUAACGUUAUCUGCAAGAGUGUAUUGGCAUUGUUCAUGAAAAUUACAAUUCUUUAUAAGGGGAUUGCCAAUUGCCCCCCUACAGUAAUUAACAUAUAUUAUUAUUUUUUUUAUUAUUUUUAUAAUGAUUAAAAACUCCCUUGAUAGCAUAAGUUUAUAAUAUUACUCUUAUUUUCAACUACUCUUUAUUUAUAUUUAUUAUAAAUUAAAUAAAUGACAUGAAUAGAAACUAAAUAAAAAAUUAAGCAUUAAAAAUAAGAAAUAUAUGUUUUGAUAUGAGAAAAAAAUUAAUAAUAAAUUUUUUUUCUUGUAGUUAUUUAUUUUGUAAAAAUUUCUUAUAAUAAAUAUAUAAGAAAGUUAUUAUAAAAUAAUAAAAAAAUUAUUAUAAGAAAAUUUGAAUGACAAAUAAAAAUUUAUUAUAAGAUAAAUAAUAAAAUAUUUUACCUAUACUUUUUACAUUUAAUUUUAAAAUAUUACAAAAUGUUUAUUAUAAGAAAAUGUUCACAAAAUAAAUAAUUACAAGAAAAAAAAUUAUUAUUAAUUUUUGUGCUCAUAUCAAAACAUAUAUUUCUUAUUUUUAAUACUUAAUUUUUUUAUUUAGUUUCUAUUCAUGUAAUUUAUUUAAUUUAUAAUAAAUGUAAAUAAAAGAGUAAUUAAAAAUAAGGGUAAUAUUAUAAACUUAUACUAUUAUGGGUUUUUGGCCAUUAUAAAAGCAGUAAAAAGAUAAAUGGUAUAUGUUAAUUACUGUAGGGGAAAGUGGCAAUCUCCCUUCAUUAUAAAUGGCAAUGCCAUUGAUAACAUUCUUUCACAUUUUCUUUAUUGCUGCAUAUAGCAAUGAAACCGAACAUGAGCGGUGUCCUUGUUUUUGCCUUAUUUCUCUUUGAAAUACUUGCCAUAGCAACCAUUAGCGUUAGCUUCUGCAACGGAAGUUCUUAUCACGGGGGUUGCCUUGAAGGUGAGAGAGGAGCACUUUUAAGGCUCAAGCGAGAUCUUAAAGACCCUUCUAACAGGCUUGCUUCUUGGAAUGGCAGCGGAGAUUGUUGUGCAUGGACUGGUGUUGUCUGUGACAACAUGACCGGCCAUGUGCUUCACCUCGACCUUCGAAAUCCUUUCAAUUAUUCCAAGGAAUCUGAAUAUGACGCUAUUCGGGGGACAGCGCUUGUUGGUAAGAUAAAUCCUUCUUUGCUUGAUUUAAAGCAUUUGAGUUACCUGGACUUGAGCCUCAAUGAUUUCCAAGGUGGUCGAAUUCCUAGAUUUGUUGGCUCCAUGGGAAAUCUACGGUAUCUCAAUUUUUCUGGAACUCGAAUCGGCGGAAUGAUACCUCAACAACUUGGAAAUCUCUCCAAUCUGCAGUUUCUUGACCUUAGUUCAAAUUAUUUAUUAUACGUUGACAAUUUUUUGUGGCUUUCUGGUCUUUCUGUCCUGGAACACCUCGAUUUGCGCUCUGUGAAUCUUAGCAAAGCCUUUGAUUGGCUGAUGGCAGCAAACAAACUCCCUUCUUUGGUAGAAUUAAGAUUGUCAAAUUGCCAACUCCAACACUUCUCUCCAUUAGCCACCGCAAAUUUUUCGUCUCUCACAGUGCUUGACCUUGCCCACAACCAAUUUGAUAACUCGUUCAUUCCUAGUUGGGUCUUUGGUCUAAGUCAUUUGCUCUUUCUUGACCUAGGUUUUAAUAAUUUUCAAGGUCCAAUUCCUGGGGGACUUCAAAACCUGAUUUCCCUUAAACAUUUGGGGUUAGAUUCCAACUACUUCAGCUCUUCAAUUCCCAACUGGUUGUAUAGAUUCAUCCAUCUUGAGUACCUUAGUCUUCGCAACAAUAAAUUGCAAGGUACAAUUGACUCAGAGGCUCUUGGAAACUUGACUUUCAUCAGUCGGCUCGAUCUCUCAUUAAAUACUGGUCUUGUAGGGAGAAUUCCAAGAUCCAUGACAAGUCUUUGUAAUUUAAAGUCAAUCAAUCUUCGGGGUGUCCAUGUGAGCCAAGAAAUUUCUGAGAUUUUAGAUAUUUUCUCGGGAUGUGUUUCUAAUGGACUAGAGAGUUUAGAUAUGCGGAGUAGUUCAAUAUAUGGUCAUUUGACUGAUCAGCUUGGCCAAUUUAGAAAUCUCGUCACUCUUAAUCUUGCUAAUAAUUCAAUUGUUGGUCCUAUUCCAGAGUCAUUUGGUCAACUCUCAACCUUGAGAGAACUACAGAUAUAUGAUAAUAAGUUAAACGGAACACUUUCUGAACUUCACUUUGCCAAUCUGACAGAACUGUCAUGGUUCAGAGUAGGUGGAAACCAAUUGACGUUGGAAGUGAAGCAUGAUUGGAUUCCUCCUUUCCAACUUGUUGCAUUAGGAUUGCAUAGUUGUUAUAUAGGGUCUCGAUUUCCUCUUUGGCUUAAUUCACAAAGGCAUUUACAGUUUCUAGAUUUAGUCAACUCAAGAAUUUCAGAUAUUUUUCCCAUUAGAUUUUUGAAAUCUGCUUCCCAAUUAAAGAUUUUAGAUCUCGAACAAAACCAAAUUCACGGGGAGAUGCCAAAUCUAACCGAGUUUACUCAACUUUUGUUUCUUUCCAUGGAUUCGAAUAAUAUGUCUGGCCCAUUACCCCUCAUAUCAUCCAAUCUCGUUUACCUUGGCCUUUCAUAUAACUCAUUCUCCGGGUCAAUUUCUCAUUUCUUGUGUGACAAAAUCAACGAGACAAAGAGAUUAGAAGCUCUUAAGCUGAAUGAUAAUUAUUUACAAGGAGAAUUACCUGAUUGUUGGAUGAGUU
rnacentral:lncRNA from 1 species